rnacentral:lncRNA from 1 species
UAAAUAUAAAGUUUGUGUCAACAUUUCUAAAGAGCUUACCUGCAGCAGUGAAAUAUAUAUAUAUAUAUAUAUAUAUAUAUAGAGAGAGAGAGAGAGAGAGAGAGAGAGAGAGAGGCGCCUGUAAUUUCGCAAGUACGGAGGCCUCCGCGCUUGUAAAUUGUUUUCGAUGAUAGGACAUCCGAUUCAACAAUCGGUUCCAUUAGACAUUAUUUACAGUGUUGGAACUAUCUAGAAACCAAAUUUCAUAAUUUUUUUAACUUCGUUUGCUUAGUGAACGAGUAGUCUCAAAAUAAACGGCUGAAAAUAAAAAUCUCAUAAAAAAUAGUGAUAAAAGACUCAAAGGUCAAAUCAGAAGUAUUAGUCUUGCUCUUGAUGUUCGUAGAAUUUUCUAUUAAAAUUUCAUAUAAUUUGAUUGUUCUACGCCAUUGAACUUACAAACAUACCACAUUGGCUGUGAAAAUAGUCAUUUUUUAGACCCUUUGAUUACUUAGUAAAUGAUGUCGAAAAAUUAUGAAAUUUGGUUUUUAAAUAGUUCUAAUAGUGUAGAUCAUGCCUAACGGAGCCGAUCCUCAAAUCGGAUGUCGUAUCAUCGAAAAAAUUUACAAGCACAGAGGCCUCCAUGCUUUCAAAAGCACAGGAGACGUACUCUAUAUUAUAAGUUAAUCUAAGAUAGAGUACGCCAAGUUAAUCUAUUGAUAUAAUAUCACGGUUUCUAUUGAUAUAAUAUCACAGUUUCAAAAGCACAUUGGGCUGCAUUCACAGUUUCUAUUGAUAUUAAAGUUUCAUAUAUAUAUAAGUUAAUCUAAGAAAAGGAAGGUAAUCAAGCUUAUUUACUUAUAUGUUGUUUUCCGAGAACUAGGCUACAAGGCUGAUCAAUAGAAACCGUGAAUGCAGCCCAAGUUUUAUUAGAAUUCUCUUUAGCUUGUUUAAAGAACAUUUUCCCCCUGUUUCUUAGUUGGGUUUUUGUUAGUACUAGUUAGAUCAUUUAAUGUGUAAUGAGGUAACCUUUUUUGCUUCAUUGCAUGAUGUGUCAGCUUCGAAGAUGAGGGGAUCUUCUAUCUGUGGGAUCUUUUAUUGCUUUGGAUCGAUUCCAAUUUGAUUUUUUAAUGUAUUUGAUAUCUAAAUCGCUAUUUUAAACUAUUUGGGGCUCAAUUUGAAGUUUAAAAGUGGUUCCAAAUAUAUCUAUUCUCUGUUUCUGAUUAUUCGAUGCUAUUCGCACUUAAUUUCGUUUAUCCUACUGUUUUCCUGAGCAACUGAGAAAGACUUGAUUUACUGCUCUUUGAUUCACUGGCUUUAAAUACCAUCCUAAUCUAAUGAGGAUAUGCAUUUAGAGCCUUUAUCAACCAUUUGCCAUUUAAAUCUGUUGCAGACCCCACGUUUUCACAUACAUCUGAACUGGUUUUAUUUCAUUCUAUUGCAAUAGCUCUUUAUUUCCUUGAGGUAGAAUUGUAUGCAAGUUACCUGAACUUCAGGCCAUUGGCAGACAAGUGAACUUUAAAAGUUUGCACUUCAAUACCUAAACUUUCUAAAUUUCUUCUUUUAGCAACUACGUACUACUACAAAAAGUUGCAGAUAUACAUUCGGUGUAUUAGCACAUCGCUACACCAGAAUGCCAACUGCCCUUCAUCCCAUCUCAUACUUCAAAUCAAAUGAUCUAGAUUUUAAUAAAGAACAUUUGCAAUGAGGUUGGCAGAAGAGACUGAAGUUUGAGAUGAAAAGAAGGCAGACAACAUAGUGGUGUAUGAUGUACAGAUGGACUGGGUGCAAGCAAAAAUUUUGGAUUUGUUGGUGACUUCGAGAGGUACCAUAAUGAUAAUGUAAGAAAGGUGAGGUAUUGAAAUACAAUCUUUUGAAACUCAGGUGCCUAUUUGCACAUGACCCAAAAUUCAGAUAGCAUUUAUACAUUUUCACUUUUCCUCAAUUAGCACCAGUCACCCAAUGUUAGCUCCAUGUUGAUACGCAUCAGACUCCUACUUUCCUUUCUGUAACAACCCUAGUAGGACUGCCCCCCGCCUUUUCUGUAAUCCUAUUUGGAAAGUAACAGAUUGCCAUACAGCCCUGCACUAAUCAUCUUUUGAGGAGUCUAGAGAAAAAUAGGAAAUAGAACAACCGAUUUUGAGUUUCCAAAAUAUUCUUAUUUUUCUCUUUAUGGAAACCUUUUUCUUUCUCUUUUCUUCUCCCCUUAUCGACAAAAUAAUCCUCUUCAUCGAAUUCUUCCUGUCAACUUCAAUUAAUUUUUUUCAAGAGACUCUAUUCUAUUUUGUCGAUUUUCCAGAGCCUGUUUUCAGGCCUAUUUCACUACCUUCAUAUUUGGAGUUGAUUGGAAUCCCACAUGAGAAAAUUAGCAUACAAUCUUUUGUGAAAAUGAUAACUACAAACACCUUCCAGCUAUUCUUCUAAAAAGCACUCUAUGCAGAGCACCGCAGAAGUCAUAUGCGGCUCAAUAUGUGGUUUGGCUACGUAUGCGUCUUUCUGCAGCCAAUAUGCAUUCUCAUGAGGCCGCAUAAGUGGAUGGUAUAGAAUCUGUGAUCUCUUUUGUUAUUUUGGUUGGGUUCAAAAACUUUAGGGGAUUUUUGCGUUUACUAAAUGAGUAAAAGAGCGACAAAUCGCAAUUAACUAUGACACUAUAGGAGUGAAACUCGUCCCAUCCGUAGUUACACUAUUAAAAAUGAAUUUAGCAUGACUUAUAUGGGUAAUACUUCAUAGUUUUUUGUAUAACAUAUGUUAAUACUUCAUGUGGGAUUCCAAAUAUGUUACUCCACAUGAAGUAAUAGCUUAACCUUUUUUCAGGCCUAUUUCACUACUUUCAUAUUUGCAAUUGCAUAUGUAAGCUUAAUACUUCAAAAGCUAAACCACAUAUACAUCUGCAUAUGCACCAGCUACCGCACAUGUGUUAUGUGGUAGCACAGCUGCCUACAUACCACAUAUCACUUUUAAGAACAUUGCUUCCAACAUUAUAUGCAUCUCGCAUAAAAUGUCUUUCAAUUAAGAACUGUGGAAUUCAAAAUAUUUCAUUUUCCAAUCAUUUUGCCAUUCCAAAAGAUAGAUAAUCAAUAAGCAAGUGAAGCAUAAAUCAGCUUAACACUAGAAACAGAAUUACAUGCAGCUUAAUGAAGUAUCAAAGGACCUUGGUCCAAUCUAACACUGUUUUGGCAUCCAAAUUAUCCUAGAAAAAAGAACUAACAAACAUGCUUUUACUAGUCAGCACAUUUGACUAGUAUGUCAAUAGUAAGAGACAAGGACGAUUUGGAAGUACAAAUCAUACUGGUCUUUUCAUAACACUGUUUUAUACUAGUGGCAAUACCAAGCAAAAACCUAAUCACAGUAUUUGGCAAUCAAGACUUUGUUUUGAGCCCUUAUCUUUUAUGUUUUGAUUUUGGAUAAGCCUGCUAAACCCUUCUGAUGCAGUCAAAAAAAAUCAACUGCUAUUUAAAAAUAUUUUUUAAAUUUUCAAAAUUAUUAUUUUUGUCAAUCUAUUUUAGAGGAAUUUUUUAGAUUUUUAAGAUUUUUCAUGUCGAACAAAUCCUUAAAAAUUAGAUAUAUGGAUUUGGAAGUUUUGAAUUAGAAUUAGAUAUGUUGUAUUAGAAAAUUUUCUAAAAUUAACGGAUUUGAUUAGGAUUAGAAUUAGGGUUUUUUUAUUAUAUAUAAAUUCAAAGGCCUAUUGGAGAGGGAGAGUUUUUGGGUAUGAAAAUUUUAUUUAGAUUUGUGUGUUCUUAUCACUUGUGUGGCCUUAUUCUAGCUUGUGUGGUGUCCCUCUUCUUCUUUCCCUUUCUUCUUGAAUUUAUUCUUCAUUUCUUCCCUCUUUCACCUGCUACUACAGUACCAUAGCCACAGUAAUUGCUACGGUAUUUUUGCCCUCUAUCACCUUCCAACAAGAAGUAUCGAUGCAAAUAAAAUUUUGAUUCUAAACUCCCUCUUGUAGUGUGUAGUGCCAUUUGAUGAAGUGAUUUUUACAUAGUACUAUUAAGAGAAGCACCAUAUUAAAAUUCCCGAGAAGAUUCUUUUUGCAAGAGAAUUUAGAAUUUCUGCUUUUGGGCCUAAAAAUCUCAUUUCAAAUCCUCACUAUACAAGAAGAUCUAGACCUUUCUAUUUAUCAAAUGCUCUACUAGAGAUGACUACAUGUAAGAGGACAAGAAACUAAACAUGCACUUAGAAAAGAAUACAUUUAGGGCACAUUUGACUUGGGAAUUUUAGGCAUGGAUGGAAACCGGAACUAUCGCUCCCAUUCCAAUGGUUUAAUCAGAUAAAAUCCCUUCUGCAACCAUAAUUUAAGUCCUUCCUAUAAGACAGGAAUGAAGCCCCAUUCCAAGGUGGAAUAAGAGUAAUUCAUUCCAGUUCCUACUCCAAUUGUAAACCUAAUAGACUGAAGGUAUUGAUAAUUCCCACUCUACUUCCAAUUCAUUCCAAUUCCGAUUCUAAUUGCAAACCAAACAUGUCCUAACUCCUAUGUUUACGAUUGAUAGGACUAAGAGAAGCAAGGAAGACAGAUUGAAGAUUGAAGGACAAUGCACACUCAUAAGUGAGCAUUAUCGAUAUCUCAGAUCAUUUAUCUGCACAACAAGGAUAAAAAGAAAGAAGUAGAAUAGAAUAAAGCCAGAUGGAUAAUGUGAAAGGGUGAUGUAGGUGAACAAGUACUUUCAAAAGUUAAAACUAAAGAUAGAAUAUAGUGUCCACUCCGCAAUGCUUUAUCAGAUGAAAUGAUGAGCCAAAAUGAAGCAAAAUGCACAUUAAACUGAGAAUAAACUAAGCCUCCCAGGGGCAAGAAAGUUAAGAUAGUUAAUUUGUUAGACAAGAAAGAUAGGAUUAGAAAGUACUAUAAUCACUCUAAAAGAGCAGUUAUUUCAAUUGAGAAUAAGUAAGGAGAUGUCAUUAGGCAUACUGUAACUAUCCCUAUCACCAAGAGUGAAACAUCCCAACAGUAAUGUGAAGAGAAGUAAAGGCAAGCCAGAAUUUUAGAGGUGAUUAUAAACGAUCUAGCCAAAGAGGAAUCAUCUUUGAAAUAAAAAGGAAUCAUCUUUAGAAUAAACCACUUCUAAAUGGCUUGCAUAGUUAGCAAGUUAACAAAUAUCGCACCCAUAAACCUAGAAUUUAGAACAUAAGAUACCGGGGCUUGAAAUUUCAGCAACUCAAACAUGCUCUGUUUAGUUCAUCAAAUUUCGAUAUUGUCAAAAUCCAUACUUCAUUUAGGGCAUGUUUGGUUCGAAGGAUUUGAGGCGUGGAAUGGAAAUUGGAAUGAUCCAUUCCUAUUGUUCGUGUUAGGUUUGAAGGAUUGGCAUUCCAAUUCCUAUUCACGGUGGAAUCAAAUCCCUCUAAAAUGAUACCCACCAUGGAGGUGGGAAUCAACUUUGAUUUCGGAAGGAAGUGAGAAAAGAACUCCCUUUUUUCCACUAACAAUUAUUUCAAUUCAAAUAUUAAUCAUAUAUUUAAUCUAGAAUAAAAUUAGUUAUAAUUUUUAAUUUGAAUUUGAAUUAUGAAUUCAAAUCCACUUUUUAACUUCUUAAGUUGAAAUUUAAAGUCUAAUGUAAGUUUGAUAUUUGUGUAAAUUUAAAUUUUGAUGUUGAAGUUGAAUUUAAAAUAUAAUUUAAAUUUUAAGUUCAAAUCGUGAGUUCAAAUUUGAAUUCAAAUUUUGAUUACGAAUUUGGACGGUAAAUUUAGAAUUUGAUUAAACUUUAAAACUUUUUGAAUUUCAAUUUGAACAUGAUCCAAAAUCAAUUCCUCUUAUAUACCGAACAAAUUAGGAGUUUUCAUCAUUCUGUUUUCAAUUUCAGUCCAUUCUCAUUCCUAUUCCAAUUUCGAUUCCUAUUUAAACCAAACAUGCCCUUAAUGUAUUUUAACAGUUAAUAAGAUAAAAUAUAUAGGGUAAAUUACAUUUUUGGUUCUCAAACUAUAAGAAGUAUGACACUUUUGGUCCUCAAACUUUAAUUUGUUGCAAUUUCUGACUCGAACUUCUUAAAUUGUUAUAAUCAAGUCCCACAAUCCAAUUUAGUUAGCUAUAUGUUGACAAAUUAUUCAUGCAGAAGUUACGUAGAAGUAUUAUGAUUGAUGAUGCGACAACAAUUAAAAUACUAUAGUACUUCUGCAUCAACAAUUUGUCAAAAUUUAGCCCCUUGUGAAAGAAAGAAUUCCGGAACUCCUAACAACCUAAGGCCGGGGUGUGCAAAUUGCCACCUAAUGCCAAAGGGGUGAUUGAUACCUUCGAGCCUAUGGUCGGGAGUGUGCGAAAAGCCACCUAAUGCCAAGGUAAGAGGUAAGAUGAAUGAACUCGCUACCAAUAACUCCGGCGAUCGGGGGUGCUCGGAUUGAUACCUAAUACCAAAGGAUGGAGCGACUUCACAAAUUAUGGACUUAGGGCCGGGGGUGGACGAUAAUCUCGCCACCUAAUGCCAAGAAGAGGAUGGCAGUACUCUGCUAAUGAUUGACUCAAGACUGAGUCGGAUGGUAUAGCUUGGCUAAGGUAAAAGAACCUUAGGAGCGGAUUGGAAAUGCGAUGGAUUGUGAAAUAGAAAGUAGAAGAGGAAUACCUACUUGCGUGAAUUUCAUUAUUGCAUUUAGUUGAGGCAUAAACAUGGAUGUUUAUUUAUUUGCACAUAGGACAGUUAUAUGUUUAUAUGUUGGAGUAAUAUGCUUAUGUUGCCUCCUUUGGACUGGUGGGUCGAGCUCUUUCCUUGGGUGGCCGUACCCACUGGAAAUUAUUUUCAUAGUUCUCACCCCCAUGUUUUUCAGGUCGGCACGUGAGCGGCGCGGCGGCACGAGGAAAGGGCAUAACUCAAUAGAUAGCACCCUACCACUUGUGACCAGGAUAGAAGUACCCUUUACUACGUAGCUUAGGGGUAUUGAAAUGUAGAGCAAGAAAAUAUUGUAAUAAUCAUUGAUUGUAUUUGGAAAGAAUGAAAGAAAAAUGUAAUGCGUAAUUUGAAAAUGAGACGAAUGCUUGUAAUAGCGUAGUUAUUUAUGUCUAUGAUGCUCUCCUUAUGCAAUUUGUGUGUGAAUUCUGUUCUUGGUUGGAACAUCUUGAAUUGUACUGAUUGCAACGCCUUGGACGUUGUUACGUACCUGACUCGGCGCAACCCGUCGAUGGCGAGAUAUCGCUAAGAUGUUGGACGACGUCGAGGAUGAUGGUUCCCGUAACCAUAUGACUCAGAUCAGAUUUGAUCAAAAUCACAAUAGUUUGAUGAUAGAGAUGAAGAAAGAAAGAAUAAGGAAGAAUAGAGGGAAUAAGAUAAGAGGGAUUAAGAAGAGAUCAGGAGAAUGAGAGAUGGUGAUGAAGAGAAAGAUAAAUUUCAUUAAUCUCCAUAAAAAAUUCCUCCAGUUACACGCUGCCUUUUAUUCACAAUGAUAGAUGGAAACAAAACCCUAAUUCUAAUUGGGCCUCCAAGGCUUUCACUAACGGUCCACCUUCGAGUGAGUGGGCCUCUUCUCUGGCCUCCUCCUGAUGCCAUAUCGGAUCCACAUCUCCUUGCGCCCGAAUCCGCCAGAAGUCUCGAGACUCUGGGUCACUUCAUCAACUGGCCUAGGUUCCUGUCGAUCCGCCUUAUCCCUUCUUCCACUUCUCCUGUGUCUCUCUCUCCUUGCGGCACACUCUCUCUCCAUUGUUGAGGGCGGAAGCUUUCAACCCCCAGGUUCUGAAGCUGAGAAAGAUAAGCCCUUUUUCACCUCUUUUAUUUAUCUUAGCUAACCUCCUUACUAUUACUCCUAAUCACUUCUCACGACUCGGCAGGCGUGACAGACGUACAGGGCAGACUCUGUCCGUUCGGUGGGUCUGGCGCACACGUCCGUGAAGGACUUUUUCCACCUAUUUGGGGAAGGGACGGCAGGGCGUGACAGACUAAGGUGGUAUCAAAAAGUAUAAGAAGUUGAAUUUAAAAUAUAAUUUUAAAAUUUAAGUUCAAAUCGUGAGUUCAAAUUUGAAUUCAAAUUUUGAUUACGAAUUUGGACAGUAAAUUUAGAAUUUGAUUAAACUUUUAAACUUUUUGAAUUUCAAUUUGAACAUGAUCCAAGAUCAAUUCCUCUUAUAUACCGAACAAAUUAGGAGUUUUCAUCAUUCUGUUUUCAAUUUCAGUCCAUUCCCAUUCCCAUUCCCAUUCCAAUUUCGAUACCUAUUUAAACCAAACAUGCCCUUAAUGUAUUUUAAUAGUUAAUAAGAUAAAAUAUAUAGGGUAAAUUACACUUUUGGUUCUCAAACUAUAAGAAGUAUGACACUUUUGGUCCUCAAACUUUAAUUUGUUGCAAUUUCUAACUCGAACUUCUUAAAUUGUUAUAAUCAAGUCCCACAAUCCAAUUUAGUUAGCUAUAUGCUGACAAAUUAUUCAUGUAGAAGUUAUGUAGAAGUAUUAUGAUUGAUGAUGCGACAACAAUUAAAAUACUAUAGUACUUCUACAUCAACAAUUUGUCAAAAAUUAGCUAACUAAAUUGGGUUAUAAGACUUGAUUGCAACAACUCAAAGUUAAAAAAUUGAAACAAAUUAAAGUUUGAGGACCAAAGUGACAGGCACCUCAUAGUCUAAGCACCAAAAGUGUAAUUUACCCAAUAUAUAGUAGAGACAUAUAUCAUAACCAUUCAAUACCUCAAGUUCCCAAGUUUAGAGUUCACCUUCCAUCCUAGGAUUAUUUAAGGCAAAAUUACGAAACAUGUUUAAAAUAAUUCACAUUGACUCAUCCUAAUUUGAACAACGUCUCUCUUAACCCCACGAUAACUCUGAUGCUAAAUCAUGUUUGGGCUAAUGGUCAUAACAAAGUUAGACUUACACCUUUGAGAAUAGUGACCUAUGUAAACUCAUUAGCGACAGAAGCAGCAAAUUGAGUCCCUCAAAUGUUUCUUAUCCAUCACAACAUCCAAAGCAUAACUAUAAUUGUCUUAAAGUUGACUUUGUAGACCAGAUAUGAAAAUAUUUCCUGCAUUUCUUGUGCACCUCAACCUUUACAGGUACGCAUUUCCUCCUAUUUUUUUGAAUAGGACCUCAAGUUCAUUUUGGUAUUGUGGCAUCUACUGGCACACGAAUCCACAAAAAAGAACAAUAUAUACACGCAGAAGUUCAACAGUAGGGAUUAGUCUUCGCAUUUGUAUCGUUGUAUUACAUGUUAUUAAUCAUUCAAUCAGGCCUCUUAGUAGCGAGAAUCGAUAUCGAAUUCUCAUACCAAUGUGUGUAAUCCUUAAUUCGAUGAUAACUUAAAUGGAAUAAGAACAGAAAGCAAAACCAAGAAAAAAACUUACUAGGAGUAAGCUCUCCCUCAACACGACCUUCUACUUCACCAUUGCAUCUGCAUCCAUCCCGCAAUUCUGAACCUCUCCCAGCUACAAAAGACCGUGCUUCGCCCCUCUUCCUGCGGCUCGUUGGAACCACCACCACCCCAUUCAAGACGCCCUUUUUCUUGCAAGAAUCUCCAUUUCCCUGCCCCGACGACAAACCCCCACCCUUCUUCGCGGCCCGACCCUUGAUCAGCGGCCUCAGCGGGAAAGCCCUAACCCGGCCGACCUCACCGAGGAUCAAGCACCCCAUCGCCGCCGCCAUCGCGUAGAUCGGGGUCGAUAAUUCGAUCACCGCGCACUUGCUCAGCUCGACAACGGCCGCGGCCUCUGAGGUCCGCGCGGCGAGGAUCCAGAUCUGGGCGGCGGCGAGGGAGUGGAGGGCGACGGCGUUGACGGAUCCGGCGAGGCGGACGCCGAGGCCGAAGGGGAGGGCGUCGACGGCGAGGCCCCGCGCCGCGGGAGCGGCGGGGGCACGGGGGUUGAGGGCGAGCGAGGCGGGGGCGAAGGCCGAGGCGCGGGAGGGGAGGGACCAGGCGCGGAGGAGGACGGAGGCGGAGGGGGAGGGGGAGGCGGCGAGGAAGAGGACAUGGGCGGGAGAGGAGGGCGAGAGAGGAUGCGUGACGAAGCAUCGCGGCGGCCGAUGGAGGACGAGAUGGGGGGCAGAGAGGUAGAGAGGAUGAGGAGGCAAGAUGGGAAGAGGAGGGGGAGAGUCGGAGAGAGAGGAGCAAGGGGCGAGGAAUGGAGGAGAGGGAGGAGGAGAGGGCUCGGAGAGGAGAGAGACCGCGGCCGAGCGGGUGAGGGGGAGGGAAUGAAUUGUGGGCGUGGAGAGGCGCGCGGCAGCGCGAGGCGGACGGAGGCAUAACCGGCCGCGUGUUGCGGAUAGUAGCCUAAGCGGGCAUAGUGAUUGGAUGUCGGGAUGGUAAGCGAGAAGGAUCAAACGGGAGGGUGGUUUUGAUAUAUAGGACCACUGCUGUUGAGACUUUGAGGAUAGUAAUUGCUCUACAGUUCUUUUUUUUAUUUUAUAAAAAAAAUUAAUUGAUUAUAUAAUUUUUUAAAAAAAUUAUUUGAUUAAAUAGUCUUUUACCAUCAACUUAACGCCAAAGUGGAUGAAACUAUACAAGACGGUAAAGCGGUCACCGUCUUCAGAAAGACGAUGAAUCAUCUUUAUUGUCUUUUAAAUUUUCUAUAGCUUUCAAAUUUAUUCUAAACAAAUACAAACCGCUCAAUCCAAGCCGCCACCGCCCCCAUCGAAGCUGGUUUUGAAUUCCUUCACAAAAAAAGGAUUUUGAUGAGAAAGAGUGACGUCGGAACUUAAAGGGGACGAGAAGAUAGAACAAAUAUGAAUCGAUAAACACUUGACCUGUCUUAGAAUCUACUACGUCGAACUCGAGUAUACUCACCACUAUACAGAAUCCACCAACACAAUGAUUGAGCAACACUCUUCUCUCACAAUAAAUCAAUCUAACAGAUAGAAGUAAGAAGAAAUUCUUCUUUUCAAAUAAAAGUAGAAACUUCAACUCAACUUAACUUAUUUAUUAUCAUAAAAUUGUUAUAUAUAUACAGGCUUACAAAAAAUCUUUCAAUGUUCUUACGCAUUAACUCACUUAUAAUUUUCACAAAAAAUCUAAAUGACAUUUCUAGAAAUACUAUAAGCUACACAUUAUUCUAGACUACCAUAAUUUUUUUAAGAAAACAAAAAAGACAAUUUAUAAAAAAACUAAGGGACACAUUUAUUUCAAAACUAUUAUUUUUUGAGCAAUGCCUUCAUCCAUCAAUUUCAAGAAUGGUGUCAUGCUUCUCCUGUUGAAAAGAAUUAAUCCUCAAGUUUGGUAUGUAGAUCGUUUUUAUAAUACCGUGAAAGAUCUACAAUAUUGAAAGUCGCCGAAAUAUUAUAAUUAACAGGCAACUCGAUUAUAUAGGCAUUCUCUCAUAUUCUCUUAAGCACCUUGAAUAGUCCAUCUGCCCUUGGUUUAAGCAUACCACGUCGGCCUUGUCAAAAGCGCUCCUUGCAAAGAUGCACCCACACUAAAUCCCUCCUCUUUGAAGGUUGCCAAUUUGCGAUAUUUGUUAGCAGCCUUAUUAGGUUAGUAGCACUCGGCAGUAGGUCGAUACAAUGUUGGAUCUCCCGUAAAUGUGGAAGGGCGAGUGGAAUCUUCUCCAGUAUUACAUCUUGAAACUCGUGAAUAAAAGAUUCAAUAAUAGAAGGUAUUUCAUUCUCUAUUUUAUUUUCCUCUACGAUAAGUAAAGUAUAGGCCUCAUUGGACCUUGAUCCUGACAACUCCUUAAGAAAUAGUGAUUUAGAGCAUAAGCUUUUAUCCUAUUCUAUAGAAAGUUGGGAUAAAUGCUUAGGUUUGGAUGGAUCUAAUGUGACUUUAACGCCAUUUUUGGUAAAGGUAUAAGUGUUCUUAAAGCCAUUAAGCAUGACUUUUCUAUCACAAUGCUAAAGACAUCCAAAAAGUAAGUGACAUGCAUCCAUAGAGAUGACAUCACAUCACACCUCAUCUUUAUAAUUUUUUCCAAUAGAGAAGUAAAUCAAGCAUAUUUUCUCCACUUUCACAUCACUUUCUUUCUUAAGCCAAGAGAGCUUAUAUGGUUGGGGAUGUUUCUCUACAUGAAGUUGUAGUUUUUCUAUCAUAGUAAUAGAAACCACAUUUUCACAACUAUCUCCAUCUAUAAUAACAUUAGAUAUUUUGCCAUGAAAAGUGCACCAUGUGAAAAAUAUUGUUGCAAAGCCAAUCAUCAUUCUUGACGGAUGUAGUGCUUAAGGCUUGCUGUAUGACAAGAGCCUCACCUCCAUUGCCAUAAGUGACUUCAUCUUUCUUUUCAACCUCUUUAUUAUACACGAGUGAUGUAGUUUCAAGACAUUCAUUUUCAUUAGAUGUCUCCUCCAAGAGAGUAACAAUUCUUUUAUUUGGAUAUUCAGAGGCAAUGUGUCCGAGGUCUUGACAUUUGUAGCAUCGCCGUGGGUUGGAGUUAGAAAAACUAGGAUGACUGGAAGCAGCCACCAUCUCUUGUUUUUGUGAAGAUUUUUGGGAUACGGCCUUAGAAGCUUCAGAAGAACUCUCCCGAUUAGAAGUGUUCUCACGGCCUAUGGAUCAAGUACCACUGGCAUUUUAUAGGCAACGCUCUUCCUUUGCCUUGAGUUGCCUCUUUGCCUUAAUCGCAAACUUGUAGACAUUAUUGUAUGCCCAAUAAUGUUGAACGUUAAUGAUGUCGAAAGUCUCACGAUGAAACCUACCAAGAAACCGAGCGAUAGUUUGCUCAUUCGGUUCAUAAAUGCCACACCACAUAUCAAACUCCUAUGAGUACUCCUCAACGGAGCGAUUCUCUUAUUUCAGGCAGUAAAACUUAAGAAAAAUAUUUUGCAUAUAGUGUUUUGGUAAAUACUUCUUCUUGAGUUCUUUCUUCAUUUUCUCCCAAGUUUGUAUUUUUUAUUUUCCUUCAUGAGCUCGUCGAAUUUUGAGUUACUCCUACCAAAUAAAUGUAUGCUUUUUAAACUUGAUGGCCAAAGGCUUUACUUUACAGUACUCGAGUACCUCUUCAUAUUCAAAUAUCCACUCUACAGUGUGAAGCCAAUCAGUGAACUCAUUAUGUUGCAUCCUUUUUUCGAACUCAGGAAUAUUAACUUUGAUGCCGAGAUCCCGACAGAACUCAUACAAAAAAAUUAAUAAUUAGUCGCAUAUAUAAAUAUUGUUAUAUGAAUAAGAAAUAUAUCUAGAUCUUUUAACAACAUUUAAAGAUUAAUGUUGUCUAUGCCCGUGUUGCUAAAUCAUUUAGCAGCAUAUAGAAAAUUGUUGCUGAUACUGAAUGGUAGCAACACUUGAUAAAUAUGAGUAGAGCUACUAUACUAUCGGAAGCAUAAAUUGGUUGGUGCUUUUGAUUUUUUAGUUUUUAGAUCAACUCAUUGAUCAUUUCUAACUAUUGGAUUAAUAUUAUUAACCAAUGCGGACCACUCAACCCUAGGGGGACCACUCAACCCUAAGGGGACCGCUGUCAUCCCAACCGUAGAAUCUUUGAUUCAAUGGCUAAAAAAUCGGAAGCACCAACUACUUUAUACUUCCGAUAGCAUAGUAGCUCUACACGACAAAUAUUGCUAUAGAUAAAUUUGAUAAGAUAUUUUCAAAAUAAUUGUAUAUGUAAUGUAAUUAAUUCUUACAUUAAUAAAUACUGCUAAUUCAUUUUGAAUUUUUUUGUCAUAAUUGACAAUUGUAGCAUUUAAAAUUAAUUUAAUUAAAUUAUUAUUAAUUUUUUGAUUAAUUAUUAUAUUCAUAAUUUAUAAAACUCACUCAUACCAAAUAACAAACAAUAAUGUACAUGAUAGAUAUCAAUCAAAAUUCUAAUUAAUAUAUAUAUAAUAUAAUUAAUUUGAAGAACAAUGUUAUACAUUAGAUAUUAAAAAAUAUCACAAAUUGUUUGAUACAAAAGGUAUCUAAUAAAAUGAUAGUAGUAUAAAUACUAUCAUAAUAAAAUGAAAGCUAAUUACUUCACGAACAUUUCUUCAAUUUGAACUUACCAUGAUGUAUGUAGCUCUACUUGUGCUUAACCUUUUAAAAAAGAGUAUCUAAAAAUUAAAUUUGAUUUACAAAGUUAUAAAAUAUAAUAAAAAAAUUUAAAAGAAAAAUUAGUAUUUUGUGCAUAAAAACGUAUAUGGUCAAGCCACCGAUACACCUACGAUAUCUCUAAUGGUCAAAUAACUUUUAUAAGGUCUUAACAAUGGCCCAUUGCGAAGUAUUGGUACAUCUAUCUAAACUUUCCAAUAUUGUGAUCCUAACUCAACUCUUACUUUCGUCGUGGAAUUUUUACUUAAUAUAUAACCUCUUACCACGUUACCAUAAUACCUUUUUAAACUUUUCAAAUACACUUCAUUUCCACCCUUCAAUCAACAAAGAAACAAAUCAAAUAUUACAUGCAUUUUGAUGAAAGAAAUAUAUAAAAAUAACAAAAAGAAAAAUAAUAAAAAACAUCAAGAAGAUAACCCGACCAUCUAAUAGGAUGAGAAAAUUCUUCACAAUAUUUUUAGCUCAAUGUGUCUGUAACAAAAUGUCUAAUAUACUUAGCCAAUAUUAUUUUUCAAUAUUAUAAAUCAAUCCGACAAGAAACAUAUAGCUGUAAAUGAUCUAAGGUAUCAUGUAUUUUUAAUUGCGUUACAUUUAUAACUAUAUACAAUCAAAAACUUAAAUUAAAAUAAUAGCUUCAUAAUUUUAAUUAUUUCAACAAAAUUAAUAAUGUUAAUAUACCUUUAAUAAAUAAAAUUUAGAAUAAUCAACGGCUAAUAGAAAAUAGAACCAUUAAAUUUAAUUAAAUUGUUAACUGAAUUAACUAAAACAACUCAAAUUCAAUAUGAAGUUGAUAAGUUAUUUUUAAAAAGAUCUAUUUCAAUAGGAGAAAUUCUCUAUAUAUUUUCACCACUAUUUAUAUGAAAGAAAGGAUAAAAAUUAUAGAUGCGUAAUUAAAAUUCAAAAAAAUUAAGGGCACAUUAGUAGGGCCAUAAAUUUCAAAAAUCAAAUAAUAAUCAAAGCUAAUUUAAGCCAAUAGCACUAAAAAAAACAUAUAAUAUAUAAAAAUAUCUAAACCAACAAUAAAAAUACAAUUCAAAAGAGUAGUUUUUACUAUUUCCACCCAGUUAAAAAGCUACAAAGACUUUUUAUUGAAAAAUAAAAUGCCAUGAAAAGCUCCAAAAACUAUUUCUCCUCAGAGGAGGGGACUACAACUAGCGGACCAUAACCACAUAUGUUAAUUAAAAAAUCUAAUAUUAUGACAAUAAAAAAGUAUAGACACUAUUUAAUUCCAUAUAUUUGAGAAUCAGGAGGAGAAAAAGAUGCACCAAGUUAAGGAAAAAGAAACUGCCCAAGCUUUUUCCGCUUGUAAAGGCUGCGAUGGCUUUUUUUUUUUUUUUUUUGAAACGGGUAGCUAGCUAACUAGUUAAGUAAAAAGCCCACUUUAUUUUAUUUCAAAUCCUAAGUUUGCCCUAUUCGACACCCCCUCCAAAGAAAAAAAAAAAAUCAUAUAUGAAAUAGAAAAAUUUAACCACACUAUUUAAUGUGCUAAAUAUUAAAUUAGUAUAUUAAAUAAUUUAUAUAUAGUAAAUAUUAAAAUAAAUAUCUGUAUAUUAUAUAUAUAAAAUAAUUUUUUUACGAGUCUAUUUUCGGCAUCGGGUACCGAUAAAAAUAAUAAUUCCAAUCGGAAUUUAUUGAAUUUUUAUUUUUUAUACCCAUAAUCGAACCAAUACAUCUUUACUAUGGAUUAAACCCGACACAUUUGGGUUUGGGGUUGAGUUAAUUUUCAGUAUCUUUUCUCAUUUACAUGACUAAAAAUAGCAAAUAUUGUAUUGUGGCUUUAAUUAAUUGAUCAAAUUAAUAAUUUACAUUUACAAUUAAAAUUAAAGAAUUCCAAUGUAAAUUUAAAUUUAGAAUUAAAAUUAAUAAUACAAAUUCAAAUAUGUAAUUUACUACAACAUUCAUAUUCAAGUUAAAAUGUAUUACUAAAAUUAGUUCCAAAAUCAAAUUUAAAUUUGAAUUUUAUGUUUGAAUUGUAAACUGAAAUUUGAAUUCAUAUCUUAAACAACUAUUAAAUUUAUAAUUUUAAUUCAUAUAUAAAAUUUAUAAUUUGAUAUCCAAAUUUUUAAUUAAAAAUUUAAGUUAAAAAAUUAAACAUUUAUUUUUUACCUAAGCUUUAAUUCAAUUUAAAACUAUAAGUUAAUUAAAAAAUAUAUAAGUUUGUAUAUGUGGGCAAAUUAGUUUGACCACUAAUAAAUUUCCAUGCACUUGUUUGUGCAUCUAGGACAUUUCUUAAUUAACUACCAAUAUUUUGUAUAACUUAUGUUAUUUUCAUAGUUAUUUUAUAAUUAUUCUUGUAUACAAGUUUUAAAUAUUAAUUCUUAUUGUGAAAUAUAAUAAAUAUUAAUUCUUAUUUUCAUAGUUAUUUUAUAAUUAUUAUCGUAUACAAGUUUUAAAUAUUAAUUCUUAUUGUGGCAGAUAAUACUAUAUGCCGGUAAUUAUAGUCUUUAGCAAUGUUUAUUAUAUAAUGUUGGUGAAUUUAUAUAUUCAGCAACACUUUUAUUUGUGUGUUAAAUAGUAGCAUAUUCUUAAAUAUUGCUAGAAAAAUAUUAGUAAAUAUUAAUAUUAUUGUAAUGAGGUUGCCAUCGUAGAAAACCUUCCUCAUUAGGUGCCCUUUUACGAGCAUUAUUAAAAAUGUUGAUAUUCUCCUUGUCUUCUUGCUUUGAACUAUGAUGGGAAUCAUCAUAUUCUAAAGCUUUAAAACGAGCAAGUCGCUUCUCAAGAAGUCACACUUGUCUCCGCAAGUCAUCUUCCCUCUCAACAUCCUGUAAAUCUCGCUCGCGCAUUGCAGGAUCCUCCAUGUACAUACCACAAUUUCGGUUGUUGGCUAUCUUGAACAUAGGGCUCUAGUACCAAUCUGACGCCAGAACUUAGAGGGGACGCGAAGAUAGUACAAAUACAAAUCGAUAAAUACUCGAUCUGUCGUAGAAUCCACUAUGUCAAACUCGAGUACACUUACCACUAUAUAGAAUCCACAAACACAAUGGUUGAUCAAUACUCUUCUCUCACAAAAAAUCUAUCUAAAAGAAAAGAGUAAGAAGAAAUCCUUCUUCUCAAAUAAAAGUAGAAACUCCAACUUGUUUAUUAUUAUAAAAUUGUUACAUAUAUAUAGGCUUACAAAAGACCUUUCAAUUUUCUUACGCAUUAAUUCAUUUAUAAUUUUCAUAGAAAAACUAAAAAAUAUUUCUAAGAAUACUAAAAGUCACACAUUAUUCUAAACUACCAUAAAUUUUUUUUUUUAAAAUAAUUUAUAGAAAAACUAACACAUUUAUUUUAAAAUUAUCAUUUAUUAAGUGAGUAAUGACUCCAUUCAUCAAUUUCAAGGAUAGUGUGAGAGAGAGAAAGGGGAGGGGGCGAUGAUUUGAUUGUUUGGGUGCUAUAGUGUGUUGAUAGUGUAUAGAUUGAUAAAUUCUAUACCCACCAGAUUUUCACUAUAAUUCUAGUAUUCAUCAUAACUUAUUGGGCCUGAAAGAAGCCCACAAACUUUUAGGGGAGUUUACAAGUUUGAAAAACAAAUGGCCGGGCCUCCCAUGCCCACAGCUUCUUUUAUAUAUCGAAGGAUUUCUAAAAUCAAUCGAGAGUCCGCCUUCGCUCGCUCGCUCGGUCGCCCUCUCUGUCUCUGUCUCUCUCUCUCUCUCUUCUCCCCUCCCCUCUCCUUCCCCGACCUCUCUCCCCUUCUCUUUCUUUCUCCCUCUCUCGUUUCCUCCUCUUCCCACGCACGUCCCCCUCACGUGCUCUUCGUCGACCCUCUUCUCCCGAAACCCUAGAUCGGUACCCGCUCUAACUCCCAAAACCCUAGGGCUAGGGCUAGGGCUAGGGCUAGGGCUAGGGCUAGGGUUAGGAGGCGUCACCCUAAUUAAGGGCUCAGCUUGCGCCGUAAUGGAGCUCGACGACCGCCGCCGGAGCGGCGCGGCAGCGGCGGCGCCGCCUCCGCCCGAGCGCGCCGUUCGGGCUUCUCGCGCCGAUUCUUCUCGUGUCCUCGAGUAUGAUCCCCGCUCCCCUGUCCUCUCGAUAUUUGUGUGUUAAUUUUGUUUGUGUAGUUUUGUUUUCAAGAAAUUAAGAUAGGCGACAAAUUUUUCAUGGCGUGUUCGCUUAAUUUGUUCGGUGGGAGGAGUAAGCAAUUGGCGCGGGGGAUUUGUUUAGGGUUUUGUACUGCAAUAAUUGGGAAUCACUAUAUUUUUCGGAAGAUUUGUUUUUUUUUUUUUUUUUUUUUUUUUUUUUUUUGUUUUGUUUCUCGAGAAUUAGUUGUGAACUUUUGUGAUUCUAUUUUGUUUUCUGUUUUCAGAAUUAGGUUUAGUUAUAAUAAUUAGUUCUGACAUUUCAAGAAUUCGAUUCUAUUUCCCUUUGAUGAGUAGAGAUCGAAUGACUUAAUUUUGUAGUUUUCAUGUACUCAGGAGUUAUUAUUGCGCCUUUUCUUUGUAACUUUUUUUUCCCCCCGGAGUAAGAGUCUGUUACAUAAUCAAUUCUGAUAAUUUUGAAUUCAAGUUGUUGCCUAUUUUAUGACUAGAUUUCGAAUCCCUGAUUCUUGUAAGUAGCUGUAUAAAGUUUAUUGUUUUUUUUUUUUUUUUCCUUGCGAGAAUUACAAACUGUGGCUGAUAUUUCUUUUUGUCUGAAAAUUAGGUUUUCAGUGUUUACCACACAAAGUUAAGGUUUCAGUGUUUACACAAAUUAGGAUUUCACUGUUUGUCUGACAUUUUUUUGUAUGAAAAGCGAGAAAGAUUAUUAUUUGACUUAUAUAAUUAACUAGUUAUUUGGUGGGUCAUGAAAAGAUCUAUUGUCAUGAAAAGAUCUAUUGUAAGUGUUUUUGGCAAGAUGAAGGGCAUGCCUUGAUUUCUUGGCCUCAAUGUUUGAUGAUUGCUAUUUAUUUUUAAGCUCAAUUCUUGAUGCUUCCCUUCCAGGUAGAAGGAACAUAUUAAUUGCUUGUUUUUCCUCGCUUCUGAAACAGUUUUGCUAGUUAAAUUAGCAGCUUUUGUGUUUGACAAUUAAAAAUUUGAAGUUUUUUCUACGGUAGGAAGCUCCUAGGAGGGUCAGGGUCCCAAGAUAGCAGGCUCUGACUAAAAGAUUUUGCUUUUGCUGCAGCGGAACAGUGUUGGAACAAAUUAAUGAAAAAGCUGUACUUUGUUUUUUGAGCAGACUGACUCAAACAAUCCAGCUGGGUCAAACAUGCUCUCAUAUAAGAAAAGCAAAACUGCAAAAGAAACCUUCUACUAUUACUUCGGUGUUUUCAUCCGGCUUAUUUUUUUUGCAUUGAUUGAUCUUAGUAACUAAUCUAUUUGAUACUUUUCUUCCUUGUAUAUUGAAUCCUUACGAUUUUGUUUUCUCUGAGCAGGUUUUUGAAAGAGGUCGGCAGGGAGAUAAGUGAAGAUUUGGUUGUACUGAUGCCAAACUUAUUAUCCCUUUUGAAACAUGACGACCCUGCUGUUGUUAGGCAAUCAAUUGCUAGUGGGACAAUUUUAUUUGGCGCUGUCUUGGAAGAGAUGGCACUCCAGGUGCUUUUUUGUAAAAACGGAUGCUAUAUUAAAUGGAUGAAUACAAUUCCUCAUUCGUGUAAAGAUGACUUUGUGGUGCUGCUGUGGUUUCUUGAUGAGUUUUUGUUUUUAUUGUUUCUGUUGCUAUAUGUUUGCCCAAACAGCUAAUGAGAGUGACGAAUUGAUGUUAGAGAAGCAUUUCACUGCAACAGAAGCCUUUCCUCGAAACAAAAUCAAUACUUAAAUUUUCUGCCUCCAAUUUAAUAAUAGUGUGUUUAAAUUCAAUGUGCAUCCCACUAAUGAAAACAAAAUUCGAGGCUUUGCUCUUAUUGCUAUUAAGGACAUAAAUGAGGCACAAAUUAUGGAACCUUGGUUAUGGUUUUGGAUCCCUUUACACUGUAAACCACUCAAUUCUGAUGCAACACUGAAAGGAUACUGGAUUUUCUGUUAUUGUGAUCCUUGAGAAUGUAUAAAAGGGAGAGAGAGAGAGAGAGACAUGAAUUUGAGAAGAUUGCACAUUGCAACCAAGUGAAUUACUCAUUUGCUGUGAUUAAGUUUGACGAUUCCCCAUGGCUUUUGAGUUCUCCCAACCAUUCUAUGUGUAAUAUAUAAAGAUUACCAGCAGAAGCAGAAAAGAUUCUUAUGUUGUCCUCUUUUAAGAUGCUUAUGAAAGAAAUUGGUACUACUUUUCCAUUUUGGUCCCAAUUUAUUCCUUUGACCUUUAGUGCUGCUAUUUUUCACUUGAUUUUUGACAGCUUUUGAUCAUGCAUUACUGCAUAGUGGGAACACUAGUUAAGAUAGGGGGCAAGAAUAAAACGGAGCGACCGCGUGAUUGUUAUACAUAUUGCACUGGUAUCUUGUACAAGAACAAGAAGCCGCAAUUCGUGUUGGUGUUAUGAAUAGAAAAUUUGUAGGUGGACAGGGUACUGAAUUGUGCCUAUUCAGUAGGUUAGUGCAUGUGUGGUUUAAAUAAGAUAAAGAAAAUUAUAAUGAGAAAAAUAAAAAGCAAGAAUAUGUAAUUAAUAAGAAGAAAAUUAGAAGAAUAAAAGAGUAAGAAUAUUACAGAACAUAUAAUUAGCUACUUAAAUGUUGUAGGACAUUGUGACAUUAUAUGUGUUGAAGUUUCUAGUAAAGUAGAAAAAAUAAUCUUAGUACGAAAUAAUGAGUAAGAAAAAUAGAAACAAAGUUUAUCUAUCAUUCUGAAUAUAUCAUUCUUAUUUGACUCUCACUAGGAUAAUCUCAAUGGUUAAAAAGUUAGAAAUCCCUUAGAUCGAUUGGCAAGUUGAAUUGCACAUUAUGGUUUUAAAUUUGCAUGGAAGUAACACAAGAACCAUAUAUUGUUCUAUUUUCAGUGUUUGCUGAAAGCUGACUUUUUGCAUAGCGAGUAGGCGUCAUAUAUCAUAACUAUAAAGCAACUCGCCUGUUGUCAUGCACUUAAAUAUAUAUUGAUUAAGCAUGCAGAUGAUCAGCUACAUAAAUAUUAGGACAUUAAUAUUAUUGUGUAGGUUUAUACAUUUUAUCUUGUAUUGAUUAAUUUGGAUUUCUGUUUUCUUGCAUUAGCUCAUUGCAUUUUCGCACAUUUUUUAUUUGGUUAUAAUUCUUCUAGUAAGCAUUUUUUGGAAAAGCUCUGAUAUGUUAUACAUUGUUUUUAGUAUCCAGGUUAUUUUUAGUUAUGCUUUGCAUAAAUUGCGUUGUUACCAGAAUAUUAUAUAGACACCAGGAGGUACCUUCCUUUCGGAAAUCAGAAUCUUAGCAACUAGCUGUGCUAUAUGUUCAGUAUAUUGGAUGAUCACAAGGUAUUUACAAACAGGGUGCAGAUUUGAUGAAAAUACCAAUUGGUGAUAUGAUUCAAGAAAUCAUCUAAGGUGAUUGUUCAUGUCAGAAUUUAAGGAUUCAGAUCAAAUGGAAGAUAUUGCAGAUGGAAAUUACUGAAAAUUCUUGGUAAAGAAAGAUACAGUGGUCACUUAGGAUGAUUGUGCAUGCUGCAUCAAGUUUUAGUUUUUGUGUAGAAGCCAUAAUGUUAUUUGAGUAAUACCUAGUUUUGGGCCCUUUCUGUUACUAUUUGAAGUUGUCAGACCUUGAUUGAUCUUUUUGUAUGUGAACUCCUAUAAGUUAAUUGUUUCAAAGUUUAAGAUGUCGAUUAGGAAUAGUUUAAGUUGGUCUUUUGAUAUCUCAGUUUUGGUGGAUCAAUUUGUACAAUUUUGAGAUUUAGGAGACAAAAUAUCUGAAGUGACUGGCAAUUGAAUAACCCUAGAAAUUUAAGCUGUUCCACUACCACUAUGUAUUAAGAUGAUGCUGUCUGUUGUUUCAGAAGUACUACUGCUUUGAACAUUAUCCUUCUGUAGGAUUCCAGCUAGAAAAUAUAUAGUACGGUAAUGAGAGCAGAGCAUGUUACUUUUUUGAUUUGACACUACACAUGCAAAAUUCUUAGUAGAGGGAUCCCAAAUGUAUAUUUUGCUGUCAAGGUUGUCUAAUGGUCACUAGGAAGAGUGAGACCCCUAACUGCCUAAGUGUCACUUGGGGUGUUCGGGGCAAUCUAUGGGCUUAUUUAAAAUGUCUGCUAAGCAUAUUUGGAAAGCAACUUGGAAAAGCUUUGGAAAAUCGUCUCAUUUACCUAAUCAGAUUGUCUCAGAUAUUGAUCAUAAGAAACUAGAAUCUAGGAUAUUCCCAAUAUGAAUGUGCUGCCACUUGACUCGUAUGAAUUCAGUAGUACAUUUUCCAAAAUACCAUAAACCCAGGAAAAAGAGUGCAAACCAAAUAAUAAGGUACAUAUUUUUGUUAAUUGUACUUCCUCAUCCUCCUCAUUCUAUGUUCUCUAUCUAAAAAAGAUAAAUAAAUAAACAGUAUAUAUGUACCAGUAUUAUGAUUUCCUUUAGCUAAAGUUAGUAGUCACAAGUUAAUAGUCACCAAGGUGGCUGACAUGGCUGGGCUAAGGUGGGAGCUAGGUAGUUAUCUAAUUUUUAAUGCAUCCAAUCUGUUGAAAGCUAUCUAAUUAACUUGUGCCUAACUGCUCGGAGCUUAUAAAACUCCUUGAUGGAUAACUUAGAUUCCUGUGCAGUUUUUUGACAAAAACCUUAAGAACUAAAUUUUUUUACUUCAAAAGGCAUUACACUGACAAUUUGCAUGAAAUUCAUGAAGACCCUCAUUGUGGAUUUCAUAGUGCAAUUUAUUUCCUUGAUAUUGAGUGAACUUGUUGGAACCAAAGGGAUAAUUGAACAGCUAUACCUAGGCUGCAAUUUUGACAACUUAUUUAGUGCUAAUUUUUCCUUCAAAGAGGGUAAGCCUCAACAGAGCUAAAUCAUUCCUCCACCCUUUUUGAAAUUGAACAAAUAAGGAGCAAGCUAACAUGUUUUUACAUUUCUAUUCAUGAUCCUUUUCGCAAUUCAUUUCUUGUUUGUUUUUGUCCUUGGCCUUUAAUAUGAGCUAUCAUUUCCAUUGUGUAGUAAUAAUGUUUGUUUGUUUUUUUUUUUUUAAGUACAGCUAAAUUCAUCUGGUAGAGUUGAUGGUUGGCUUGAAGAAAUGUGGUCUUGGAUGCUUCAGUUCAAGGACAGAGUUCAGGAUAUCAUGAUGGAGGUGUGCUUCAACUUUCUAAGCCAAUGAUAAAUAUUAUUGCAAAUUUCCUAAUUGUUUACAUUGCUAUAUUGUGUAGUGUUAUAUGAUGUCAAACGCAUUUUAAAAAUACUAUGCAGUUACAAUAAAUUUUUGGCAUGAAACUAGUUUGCUUUAUAGUUAUUAUAUUGUUGUUCUCCUCCCUUUUGUGUUUCUGUUUGCCUUUAGUAUCCAGUAAAGUGCCCAGGGAUUUAAGUAUUGUGGCACCAAUACCUGGUUGGUGCCGCAGGGUUAGGAAAAUAAAAUGGAAAAGAAAAAGCCAGAGCGGCUUGGGUAUCGCUCUGGAGCGGCAUAAAAUUAUACUAGGUUAUUGUGGCACCACCCCUAUACAUACUAGGUUAUUUUGGCGCCAUCCCUAUACAUGUUACGUUGUGCAACUGGCAAGACUUGCACAAACUUCUUGCUUGUGCAUUUUUUAUCCCCAUUUAUCGUAGUGCUUCCACUGUUAGAUUAGAUUUUGAUAUGGGCCCAGGGCUGUGUUGCUAGCUAUUCUAUCCACCUAAAGAGAAUUACAUUAAUUUUUAUUUUAGAAAUCUCAUGAUGCUUCUUUGAAUAGAAAAUGCUGUAACAUUCUUUUAUAGAUUACUUGCUUAUAUUUGUUUUUCCAUUGAAAUUGUUCCAGCCUGGUUCUAUUGCUACGAAGUUGCUUGCUCUGAAGUUCCUUGAAACUUGUGUUAUCUAUUUCACGCCUCAAGCCAAUGAUGAGGAAUUAACUUUAACAGAAGGUACUAUUCACUUUUUCUGUACUUAGUGUCAGUUGAUUUACAGUGGAAAGACUCGGUAAGAAAACACGAAAAUACAAAGAAAUAAAAACAUAUACUAGCCUGCAAAAAUUAGUUUUACAUAUAUAUACCUGCUUCUUUUUCUUAAUGUGAUAUGAUUUACGACAGAAAGGCUGUUCAAGAAAAUAUGAAUAGAUGAAAACAUAUAUUACCCUGCAAAAAUUAGUGUUACAUUUAUAUCCCUGCUAAAUGGACCAAGUAGCAGCACAACUUUGUGGAAACCAUUCAUAUUUUUUACUCACUUGAAUAUGUACUCGGCAUUUGAUCAUGACUGAUCAUUUGGAAGAGAGCUUAUUUCUUCCUUUCAUCUUAUCUGGCUAGCUGUCCCUCACUCUGGCGCUUGGUUUAUUGGUUGACCUUUUCAGCCGCUGACUUGCUUUUACUGCUCUCCUAUAGCAUAAGCUCACUCUUGUAAAAAUUGCCUUUCUUUGAGGACUCCUAACGCAAAACCAACCUACGUGUAUUGGAUGACUUCCCUGUUCAUGAGGGUAUUUUUAUGAGGUUAUGAAAGUUUUCUCUUCAAGGAUAUAAUGAAAAUCAGAUAUGACAGAGUUGUAUAUUGAAUAGAUGAUUUUGCAGGGACAUUUGUAAAAGUCUUAAUAAAAAUUAUUUAAACAUGUAAUUAGCAUCUAUUUAUGCAAGAAGCUUAGUGUGUAUCAUCUUGUAAAUUGUUCAAUCAGGAAAUGGACGGAGAUUCACUAUUUCCCAAUUAACUCGCAGUCAUCCUAACUUCAAUGUAGCCAUCCUGGAAACUGAUGCAAAUAUAAUUGUUGGUUUCCUGCUGGAUAUGCUGCGGUCAGCGAAUAAUUUUCGUGGUUCCUUUACAGUUUCUGUUAUUACUUGGUGAGUUUUGAGAUCCCUAUUAUCACUUAUUUUACUUGCUAACAUGCAAAGCAAAGAAAGAAUUCCUUAGUCUCGAAAUUGUGUUAAUCUUAUACUGCAAAUUUAUGGUGGUAAGGAGUUCGCUUUCUCUGUUUCCUUUGUGCAUUUUGUUAUGCUGGGAGUAAUGAUGAUGAGGAAGUUUCUCUAUGUUCAACUAACUAGAAAGUAAAGUAAGGAUUUUUAGAGCUGUCUGAAGAUAACAUUGAUGACAGUCAGCAAUGAAUAUAUGAUUGACGCUCGGUAGAACACUAUUUUUGUCUUUCUUUUCAAUGUGAAAUUUUAUUGCGUAAGAAUUACACAAUAAAACUAUAUCUGUUUUUAGUUUUAGUUAUGCAUUUCUUUAUAUGUCUGGUUUCUCUGUGCAUCUGAACUCGGUGGGAUGGAUUGGGAGUGGGGGUUGGUUGUCCUUAUCCUGUUUGUAGAAGUCAAUUUUACUACUGUAGUUCCCAUGGUUUAUGGUAACUGGCCUUUGGCCUCUCAUAUUUAUGAGAAAGACUUUGAGCCAAACCAUAUGCAUUGUCAAAUUUUAGGUUCCAUAUUUCCCUAUUUUCAGUAUUUCUCUAGCAAAAAUUUACUUGCCUUUUAUUUGCCUUCCAUUUUAUGUUUUGCUUGCUGGUUACUAAAACCUUUUCAAGACUUUUUUUUUCCUCUCCCGUUAAGUAACAUAUUUUCUACCUAUCUAAAAACGCUGGAUCACUAUUGCAACCUUUUGCAAAUCUUUUCUUGACCAAUUAAAAUUGUUUUCUUGAUUGUCAGUCUUGCAGCCAUUGCAAAGAAUAGGGUGCUUCACUAUGAUCGCAUUCUCUCUUCGUUGCUUGGUUUUGAUCCUUAUGUUGAAACUGAGAGAGCUCAUUCUGCAAGCAUUCGAUAUUCAGUGAGGACAGCUUUUUUGGGAUUCUUGAGGUGUAGUCAUCCAUAUAUUGUUGAGGUGAGCAUCCUAUUUUGUUCAAUGAGCUGUUAAAUUGCAUUUUACAUCUUUGUCGUACCAAAGAAGUAGCUCCACUUCAUUGUGAAUAUGUUCAAUACAUACAUACAUAUAUAUAUGAGAGAGAGAGAAAGAGUCUCCGGCUUGUAUCUUUAUUAAUAGCAUGGAGGCCUUCAUGUUAUCAAAUUGUUUUCGAUGAUGGGACAUCUGAAUAGACGAUCGGCCUCAUUAGACAUGAUCUGUUAUAUUGAAAGUAUCUAGAAACCAAAUUUUAUAUUUUUUGAUAUCAUUUGACUAGUGAUCAAAAGGUCCCAAAGUUGAUAAUUUUAAUGGCAGAUGUGAUGCUCUUGUAAGUUUAACAGUGUAGAACAAUCCAAAUAUAAUGAAAUUUUGAUAGAAAUUUUUUUGUCACUAUUUAGAGCAAGAUUAGUACCUCUGAUCUGAAAUUUAAGUCUUUUAUCAUUGCUUUUUAAUGUGAUUUUUAUUUCAACCGGUCAUUUUGAGAUUAUUUGUUCCAUAAAUGCAAUCGACAAUUCGGAUGUCCCAUAAUUGAAACCAAUUUGGCAUAUAUAUAUAUAUAUAAUUAAUGAGAUAAUUAAACUAUCAUGGCCUUUUCUUUUCUUUUAUGUAUUCGACAUGCAAGGCAAUGGAGGAUGCUUCAACUCAUGUAUGAAAGGUUGUGAUCUGUAGGUAUAAUUUCAAUCAACAUGAAAGGCAUAGUGUACAGAUUUAAAUAUUUUAGAGUCAGUCACGAUCUAAGCUUUUAAGGCCUGUGCAAUUUGGAAUGGCUUGGAUUUCUUUUUGACUGCUCUAAGGGGAUUCUUUUACUCCUUUGAUUCUUGCUCGAGCCGGAUGAUGAAAAAUUAUCAUGUCCGGUUCCUUCGGAGGAUGGAUCCGUAAGAAUUCACCUAUCCCAAUAGCUCCAACCAGAUGACUUCUUGCAAUUUGAUGAAAGCAUCCAACUAUUAACCGAACUCGUUCUCACCUUCUUCUCUGAAUAUGUACCUUGCUAUUUCUGUUACUUAUUUUCGCUAAAGAAUAUUGUAUAAUUAUAGAAUGAUUUGAUUGGUCCUUGAAGUGUGAUUUUGUUAUUCCUAUAGUCCUAUGCGAGAUCUUGGAUAAUUUUAAUCUCAAUACCGGUCCUGAUUGGUUUUUGCUCCUUGUUACUAGAUUGUCUUCAUGAGAAGAUUUAGGUUUUUUUCAUAUUUAUAAAGAUUUUCAGAUGUAAUUUCCCCGAAGACUAGCUUAUUUUGUUUAUUCAGGUGUCAUCUGCAGAUUUCUAGCUGUAACUUCCUAGUUUUUUCCUUUUGGUUGUGGUGGUGGUGGAGGAUGAGGAGGAGGAGGAGGUGGAGGGAGGUUUUAGGGUUGGUGGUGGUUUGUGGCUGUUGGUGUUUGACUCUCUAUUUUAAAUGAUUUUAAAAGUUGAGACAACAUUUUUAAUCAAACUUGAUAUCUUCGUCUGUUAUUUAGACAACAUUGUUUUGAUCUUCAGCGUAUUUCUUACUUCUUAUAUCUUACCAAGAACUGAAUUGCUGAUUCUAUGCUUAAUUCUUUUUUUUCUCAUAGUUCUAAAUUGGCCUGAUCUCUAAGAUGCUGUAGAAUCUUUCUUGCUGCUUCUUUCUGGCUUUCUUAUGGUGAACCUAACAUUUGUACUCAUUUUUUAUAGUCCAGGGACAAGCUGCUGAGGGCAUUACGAGCCUUGUAUCCCGGGGAAGCAACAGAACAAUUAAUUAGGCAAGUUGAGAAGAUGUCAAGGAGUGCAGAGCGUGGUUCUCGUGAUAUCCGGGUUAGCAAGGUCAGGGCCUGUUUGUCAUGACUAGAGCUUUCACACAAGUCUUAAUUUACUAGAGCUGUUUGAACUAGCACUGCUACUACUUCAUCAAAGUCACAUAAACAGCUUGCUCUGCAGCCUCUGCUUCAGCGGAAGCAGCACUCAAAAUUGGAGCUUCUGUCUCUGGGGACAAAAAGACCAUUUCAGCAUCUGAUCAUAGCAUAAUAUCCAUUUGUUUUUUUAUUUGCAAAAGGCUUAAGCUUUUGUUUCUGGAGUAGAGAAGUUGCUCUAGAAGUUGGGCCAAAAGUGUCACCAAGAUUUCUUUGGAAGUUUUACGGCCUUUAUUAUCAUUUAUCAGUGAGUAGUCUGUAUGGUAUCAUAAGGAAUUAUGAGGUUUCUGAUGCAAGGUUUUAGAUGCCCAUUGUUAGGGGCUGUGUUUACUGUGCCGUACCGUGACAACAAGAUAUUGGCACGAUCAAGGUUUUAAGUGCUCGUCGGCACGGGCCGUAGCGUGCCAACAAGAUACCGGCACGAUACAGACCCCGUGCCGAUGGGACAGCUCAAAACUCUCUAUUCUUUAAAUUAGUAGAGAAUUUCCUCAAUAAAGUUCAAAAGAUGUGAUAAAAAGACAUAAUAAUACGUAGAACAUUUUGUUACUAAAGAAAAUAAAUAUUUCAUGCUAUUAUGUGUCGGCACAUAAGAAUUUUUUUGACUGGCACGCAUCAGCACGGCUCGGCACGCACCGUGCCAGCAAGUUUUUGGCACGAUCCCGUGCCACGGCACUUAAAUCCUUGAAUACGAUAUGACCUCCGUGUUGAUGGCAUGGCUCAACAUUGUCUUUUUUUUGAAAUUAGCAAGUAGUUAUCUCAAUAAAGUACAAACAACAAAAGACUUGAUAGAGAUAUAUAAUAAGCGAUUAUACAAUAUUGUUGCCAAUGAAAAUAAAUAUUUCAUGUCAUGCUGUGUCGGUACAUAGGUAUUUUUGUGACUGACGCACAUUGGCACGACACAGUACGCAUUUUGCCGUACGCCCGUACCGUGCCAGUAACUUUUCGGCACAAUCUCAUGCCAUGGUACUUGUCCUUGUUCUUAUGCAAUUUUGAUUUCAUGAUAACAGGAUGAUUCGGUGCCUGCUGAAGUGUCUGCUUCAGGUGAUCUGAUUUGGAAGAGGACUGCAUUGAAUUCUAGUGACAUUUCCACUACAUUUAAUGAGUCUCCUGCUAAGAAAGCACGAUUUGAUUUACAGGAUGAGGAUGAUCUCAUCACGGAUAAUUCUUCCAAUGGAAAUUUAAUGAAUAGCACUUUGACUCCUGCUGAGAAAAUGAUCGCAAUGAUCGGUGCUCUAAUUGCAGAAGGGGAAAGAGGAGCUCAAUCCCUUGAACUUCUUGUCAACAAUAUACAUGCAGACUUAUUGGCUGAUAUUGUGAUUGAAACUAUGAAACAUUUACCAGAAAGUCCUUUCUCUUUGUCUGCAAUUAAGCAAGAAAACCUGCCUCCUACAGAUCCCUAUAUGUCUUUUGGUGUCCAAUCAGAUAUUGUAUCAACUGCUGCAGAGAGUAACGGAAUCAGCAUGUCGACAUCUCAUGUGCCUGUUCUCUCUAGUACUGCUGAUGUUAAACGUGACCCGAGAAGAGUAUGUUUUCAGUUUGACUUAUUCAAAUAAUCAUUAAACAGUUAUUUACAUGAUAUCCUAGCCCUGCGAUAUUUGAAUUCUUAUAUUUGUCCUUCAAAGACUUUGUUUCUUGCAUACAUACCCUUGUACUUGAAAACAUGCCGCACCUUGAAGAAAAAGAGAACUUUCUCUGCGACAAAACCAACUUUCCUCUCCAAUUGGAUGACUACUCAUCAUAAGGGGAUCUAUAAGGAACCACCUUUUCAGGGGUCAUUUAUGCAAAAUCUUAUAGAGCAAUGCUACUUGUACUUGCACCCACCCAUCCAAGUGUUUACCCACCACCUUUUGAGUUUUUGAUAUGUUUUAGGAAAAAAGAGUGGCAGGACUAGUAUGUAAAAAGCAGCCUUGGAUGGGAGGAUGUAAGAUUUACACCCACUUUUUGGAUAUAUAGCUUGCUCUAGUGGUUAAAUAUGUAAACUGAUGAUUUUGCCCGGAUACGUUUGUGAUAGAAUAUAAUAUAAUUGAUGUCCAUAUGCAUAAAUCUUUGAAUUUUGUAUGCACAGGUAUGUUGGAUGUUUCUUUUCAUCUGAUUUAUUUACUGUUAUUAUACUGAGGCAAUUUAAUUAUAGGAUCCUCGUCGCCUUGAUCCUCGUCGGGUGGUGGUACCUGCCGAUCUAAGUUCUGGAGCGCAGAAUGUGGAGAGCUCCUCUGUUAUGCAACCUGGACCUUAUUAUUCAGCUAAUAAUAAAUCUAGUUCUUUUCCUGAGACAAUCAAGGUUGAAAAUACACCAGAACCAUUACCUUCCAAAAAUGAUAUGGACUCUUUUGAGAAUUCAGCUGAUCGUGCAGUUGGCCAGCUAGUUUCCAAAGAGAACUUACAGCUUUCUGAUGAAGCUAGAGAAGUGAAGCCAUCUGUGGAAAUUGAUACACCACCCAUCGUAGUACUUCCAUCUGUUGUUAAAGAUGAGCAUGAGCCGGCAGUAUCUGCAUCAUCAGAUUUUACUGUAAAUGAUCAAGUAGAUAAUUACAUGCUUGAAUCUGACUAUUCUUCACAGACCACAAGGACAUCUACCAUUGAAGAUAAUAGUAGUCGUAAUUUGCCAAUGCUUCCGCCUUAUGUGGAUUUAAGUGAAGAGGAGAGAAGGUCGUUGCACCAAUUAGUAGUCAAGAGGAUAAUUGAUGACUUUGAGCGGAAUCUUGUUAAUGCACGACUUCCUUUGCUUGCACGUUUGGUUUCUCAGGUAUACAUUACUUUUCGUCGUCUCUUACAUUUAUCUACAUCAAUGUUUUCUUUCUACACAUUAGGCGAUUCUUUAUCUGUUUAAGGUCUUAGUUGCCUUACUGGUUAUUUUUAAAAUGCCACCAUAUGUUAUGACUUACUGCCAUAAAUACUGUUCAUGCGCUACUUCUACUCCAUGACUUGGGUUUAUGCUGAUUAUUGGAUGGCAUUGCAAGAUGCCGCGCCUACAUGUUGACACCCAGUGCUUGCCACUUAUGCAAUAAACCUGUUCUCACUCUAUUGAUGGUACUUCUAGUUGAUUUCAAAGAAGUUUUCUGUAGACAAUAAAAGGUUCCAUUUGAUCAAGGACUACAAUUUAGUGAAAAACUGAAUUAUCCCAAAAUUUAUUAUUAAUUCUAUUAAAAUCUUUAAUUCAAAUUCCUGCAUGAUCUUUAAUCAAAUAUUAUAAUAUUAUUUCAAUUUUUGCGAAAAAGGGUCAAAAUUUAGGAAAUCGAAGUUUUCUCCAAGUUGACCCUUUUCAUGAUUUCAUCAGAUUAAGAUCAUUGAAAUGCACGAAGAGUUUGACAACAGGAUUUGAGAACUAAUUUGUACUAUUUUGGUUGAAAAAUUUUGAGGGACCGAGGGUUUUGAGCUGUACCAUCGGCUUUGGGGGUUUUAAAGUGUUGAUACCGUUUUGUCACAUUACAGCAUGGUCAGCAUGCCCUGUGGUGACCUGCACUUAAAUCCUAAAUCCUUGCUUCUAGUUAUUCUGGUCCAUGCAAUCUAACUUAAAGAAAUCAGCAUUUAUGUCACACUAACUUAAAAGAAAUUGAAAUAUAUACAAUUAUGCUAGUGUACAUAUUGUGCUGGGGGCAUAAAAUCCAUUGUUAUGGUUCAGUAUAUUAUGCAUACUAUACUAGCAAAAAGCUGGCACAAACACUAUAUAUCGUAUUGCUUUUCCUGAUUGGAUCAACAGAAGAGAAUCGGAUACCGGUGGAAUCGUGACAACACAGCCAUGUAUAUGGACAGAUUUAAGAAAUUUGAAAACUUGUUGCAUAGAAAUAUGUUGGCAAGACUUAAUUAGGUAUAGAGGAAAUAUUAUAGGAAAAAUCAUGUACGGUGUUUACCUUUUUGCUGUUGUCCACUUAAUUAUUUUCGAAGUGUCUAGCUUGUUUUACCAACUUGACUAAUUGAGUCAAAUAAUAAGAAAGAUGUUGCAGACUGAAGUUGCAUACUUUUUCAAUUCACAAGAUUACGUAGAAUAAUACAUGUAACUCUUUCUGAAACUAGUGUAAUUUUAUAUGUGUUCUCUAAUUUUGUCCCAACAUUGUUCUUUGCAUAUAAUUGUUUGCUGGUUGUUUCCUUAAGUUGAUUGUAUCAGCAUCUAUUGCAGUUUCUUCUGAUAUCUGAUUUUCAUUGCCCCUUACAAAAUUGAUCUUUUGCUUAAAUCUCCAUUCCUGAAUUUAUUCUUUUGCCUUUUUAUAUUCUUCCCUUCAGCUUUAACUUUUCAUUUUGACAGAAUGAUGGUGAUGAUGACAUAUUUAAGUUAUUACAAAAGCAUAUCAUUUUGGAUUACAACCGUCAUAAGGUACUUAUUUUGCAUACUCACUUUGUUGUCUCUCUGUUCUUUAUUUUGUUCUUAUUUUGAACUUUUUAUCAUCUGAUAUGGCACACUUGCCGUAAUGUCAGGGUAUUGUGAAUAGUCUGUGGUUUAUAUUCAUAAAUUUGUAAUUGAGUAUUAAACAGGGGUGUCUUACCGGAGAUGAAUGAAGUUAUAGAUGGCCUUACCUACAUGUUAAAUAGACUAAGGUAUAAUUCCUCAGAAGAUUCACUAUUAUUCUGGGAAGCAUGGACCAAUCAAAAAUGUUCUCAUGUCUGUGUUGGAUAUGUUCUAGAUGGACGCUUCACAGGCACGUGUCCAUUGUGAGUCCAUUGUACACUCGCAUCCUACUCACUCGCUACACGUCCAUCACAUGUCCAUUGCUUGUCCUUCGUGAUCCUACAUACCCAGUGUACAUCCGUACUCCAUAGGGUGUUAAACUGUUGAUUUCCUAUCCAAUAGAAGAAAAUAAAUGUUUAGAGAAUAUCAGAAGUUUUUUCCCUAUUCAGUUGUAGUCUUGUAGAUAGUGUAUUAAGUGAUCAUUGAACAAGUAUGCUACCUCAUUAUAUUGCAAAGAAGGCUUUUAAUUGAAAAUAUGCUUUAAGUUCUACUUUGAUAUUGUUAUAGUUUUGUUUAUAUACAAAGCGAUUUAGGAAAAAUCAAUUUCUAAAAUAUAUUAUAUUCAUUGGUCUUGUUGUUGUGUCCAUAACGAAUAGUUGUGUUUUGAGUCAUGUUGUGUGCUGUGUUCUUGUUCGUGUAACCUAUGGUUCAAAUAACUCAGGUUUGAAUAGAGAAAGUCUAUUUGAGACUAGUUAUGGACUUAAAGAGUAUUGAGCCACUGAUAGUGUAAAAACAAAAGCAGAGUUGAAAAGGUGAACCCGAUACUAAAGACAUGCGAUGCUAGUAUUCCAAAUUUAUUGUCGUUGUUAGCAUUUUUCUGCAGUUUUUUGACUUAAUCGUCUUUUUCUUUUUCAGGGUCAUGAAUUGGCAAUGCAUGUCCUCUACCACCUGCAAACUGUCAGCAUUGCUGAUUUUGGUGGGCAUUCUUCUUCCUCUGUUGUCAGCCUUUAUGAGAAGUUUCUUCUAUCUCUUGUAAGUACAUUUUAGCUUCAUAAUAUUUUAUUUUGAUUGUGCUACUACAUUUACUUCGUAUUGUGCGGAAGUGCUCAAAUUUGUGUCUUUGUUUGUAGGCAAAGGCCUUGGUUGAUUCCUUUCCUGCUUCAGAUAAGUCGUUCAAUCGGCUUCUGGGAGAAGCUCCUUUCUUGCCCGAUUCUGUGUUGAAAUUGCUAGAGGAUCUUUGUGUCAAUAUGCAUAGCCGUGAGCACCAUGCAAAAGACAGUGAUGGUGAUCGUAUAACUCAAGGUCUUGGAGCUGUAUGGAGCCUAAUUUUGGGACGGCCUCUUAGUAGACAAGCUUGCUUGAACAUCGCUUUGAAGGUGUAAAUUUCUUGUACAUGUAGAAGAAGAUUCAUCAUUCACUGACCUUGGAAGUAAAUAAGUAGUAAAUAGUGUGUCAUGUCAAAGCUCUGUCUUCUGUUGAUUUGAGGUUGUAGACGUACUUAAAUUUGUAUACACGUGCAUAUGCACACCAACACAAUUUGUUUUAGAUGCGCUUCAUUACCUUAUAUCACACCCUUACUCAUGAAAAUGCCUCUCUUUGAGAAGAUAUCUAUGUUUUUAAUACAAAACUGACAUUUUUGCUCAUGAUUAGGUGACUGCCCAACUUAAGAUAAAUGGUGUUUUUGUAAGAAACUACACCUUAUAGUUGUAAUAUGAAAUUGCAGGAGAUAUAUGUAAAUGUCUCUUACAGUUAAUUCGAACAUCUGAAGUAUUAAGAUGAAAUGGCUAUUCUAUACACGUUACGCAAAUGGCUAAUGUACCAUGAAUUAUGCCUUCUAGAGAUCGAAUCAUUCAGUGGGGAUGUAUGACAGUAGUUUGCUAUCAGGUUUGUCUAAGAAAAAUGUAUAAAUGAUAACAAAUUUGAUGGCUAUUAUAUGAAUCUUGAUAGUCGCAGAAAUGAGUGACAAUUGGAAUAAGCACUAGCACAAAUAAGGUUUCAGAUCUCUCCUUACCGAAGAGUUUCUUUUUAUUAUAACCUUAUCACAUAUUUGAGUAUCCAAUUCAGUAGUUAUGUUUCGAUUUAAGGUUUAUUUUGGUGAUAAUUUGUCAAUGUAGAGCUCUUGAGUAGGAGCAUUGUAUCUUUUUUUUCCCUAGCAGAUACUGAAGUGGCAGUUCCAAAUAGGAAUGUGUAAGAUCAUUGGUAAAGAAUGUGAAACAAUUGUUUGUCUCCAAUAGUUUUAAGCUAUCAAAGAAUGAUGUUUUUAAUAAUCAUAUUCAACACUCUCCUCACGUCUGGACUUGAGACUUUUUGAUAUGCAUAAGACAUGGACUUUAAUUAAAAUGGAAGGAAAUUAAAUGAUACUAGGGGCUAGGUGGGAUUCAAACUCAGGACCUCUUGACUGAUACUAUGUUAAAGAAUGUGAAACAAUUGUUUAUCUUCAAUAGCUUAAGCUAUCGGAGAACAGUAUUUUAAUAUAUAUAUUCGACAAGCAUUAUUAUCUUUUAUUAGUGUGUUUUUCUUUUCCUAUAAACUUAUAGCUCAAGUUGUAAUUGCAGUGUGCUGUUCAUUCUCAAGAUGAAGUUAGGACAAAAUCUAUUCGAUUGGUAUGCAUACUUGAAACUUCUUAUUGUUCUUUUUUCUUUUUUUUUGGUUCUAAUUGUUAUUAUUUCAGUGUAUUCUGUUUCUAUCCUUUUGGAUGCUAAAUUUUUCGUUUUGCCUUGUCAUACAUUUAUGUUCAGGUUGCCAACAAACUCUAUCCUCUUCAUUAUGCAUCAGAACACAUUGAGCAGUUCGCAACAAAUAUGCUUUUGUCAGUUGUUGAUCAGCGAGUUUCAGAGACAGAUGAUACAUCUGUGUCCUCUAGAGAACCAAAAACAGAAGUAAUUUGAACCUUUUGAUCUCUAAAACUACCAACAAUGUUACAUUUUUUGCUUAAAGUGGAAAUGUGACCAGUUUCCUGCAUUUUUCCUCUUUUAUUUACUUGGAAGUUGGAAGAAGCAAGCAGAUUUAUUCUCUUAAAAGGAUUAUAAUGACUAUGACGUACUUUGAUUAUUGAUUACUUCUUUUCACUCUCUUUUGUCAUCAGUUUUUUUUUUUUUCCUAUUAAUUUUGUAAAUAUUGCUAACAAGAAUCUAUGUGUAUGGACUGUCAGGCAGGAGGUAUUCAAGAGACUUCAAUUAGCAGUUCGCAGAAUUCUGAGCCUAUUCGUUUUGAAAGCGAUUCUAUGAAGUCUUCUCUUGUUUCUCCAUCUGUAUCUCUAUCUCAGGCUCAGUGUCAAACUUCGUUGUUCUUUGCUCUUUGCUCAAAGGUAAAAAUUCCCAUAAUCAUCUUUCUCUUAACUGAUAAAAUUUUCCUCAGAAAGUCAGAAUUCAGAAUUUUUCCUUGGGUCAUUUAAUAGGACAUUAGGUUUAGCAGCAUAAUUCAGUUUCUUUUGUGUUUUUGGGGUCUUUUCAGCUGCUCUGCUUAUACAACUUAUAUUUUCUGCAGAAACCUAGUCUUCUUCGACUUGUCUUUGAUAUUUAUGGAAGGUCUCCAAAGGCUGUCAAACAGGUGCUGCUCUAUCUUCUCUUGCGUAUCUUUAUACUAGAGAUACAUAUAUAACCAUGCAAUUGUAUCUAUUAUAUACCGUUGUGAAAUCUGAAUUUUCAUGUAUGCUCUUUUAAAAUAAUAUAACAUAUAUACAUAUAUUAAAAUUCUCCUCUUUAAAUGACUUCUGAUACAAAAUCAACCGCCCCCAAUAAAUUUGAUGACUCAAAUUAAGAUAAGGAUAUUUUUGCAAGAAACUAUACUUUCAAGGGGUAAGCCUGGAAGAUUCAGACUUUAGGCCCUUGUUUGGUUGGGGGUUAAGGGGUGGAAUAACCCCUUAACCCCCAUAUUAUCCCCAAACACCCCAAAAAAUAGGUGGGGUUAGCUAACCCCACCUAACCCCACCUAACCCCACCUCAAAUAAAUUAUCCUGGGUUAGCUAACCCCACUUAACCCCACCAAACUCCAACCAAAUACUAUUUUCUAUUCAUAAUAACCCACUAUCUUUUUUAUCCCACCUACUCCAACCAAUCAUUAUCCUUCUUUAUCAAUCAUUAUCUUCUUAUCUCACCUACUCCAACCAAACACUAUUUUUCAUUAUUCUAGACUAACUCCAACCCCCAACCAAACACAAAAAAAUUUUAACCCCACUUUAACCCUGAACUUAACUCUAUCCCUGGAAUAGCUACUUUUUCCUUAACCCCGAACCAAACGGAGGCUAGGGGUAUAUAUGUAAGUAGAUGAUGUGCACAGUUGCGGCAAUAUGUAUUUGUAAAGGCCGCUGUAUAUCAAAUCCGUUUGAUGUAUAACAGUUGUAAGCAUGCAGUGCAUCCAUCGGCACAUCCCUAUCCUAGUGAGGAGUCUAGGAGCAUCCAACACAGAAUUACUGAAUAUUAUUUCUGAUCUACCUGACGGCGGUGAAAACCUCAUCAUUCUGGUAUAUCUUACUCUUUCAUAUACAAACAUUUUCUUUUCCCUUGCCAAUGCAUGCCACAGUUUGCUAAUAUGAUUUUUCUUUUUUUCGACUUUAUAGACAUUGGAAACACUGACUGAAGACUCAACUCCUUCGAAGGAUCUUAUUGCAACCGUUAAGCGUUUAUAUGAGACCAAGUUGAAGGUCGUAAAAUUCUGUUUCGUCUUUAUCUAUGUUCUUAGUUAGUUGUUAAUAUUCUAAUCUUUGUAAGAAUAUUUUUGAAUAUUUUAAGCGUAUCUUUUGACCUUGUGUAAUUUGUUCUGACUGGUAUAUUAUUUUUUCCUUCAGGAUGCUGCUAUUCUCAUUCCACUUCUAUCUUCACUUUCGAAGGAAGAGGUCUUGUCUGACUACGCAACUCUUUUCUGCUUAUGAUAUAUGUUUUUUGCCCUUGUGAAUUAACAUGUUAAUUAUUGUAAUAGAACUAUUGUCAUAUAAGAUAUCUCCUCUCUCUUACGUAAGCCUAAUGGUUUGUUAAAUAGUUGUGAACAUGUGCGUGCUAAAAAUUCUGUGGAACAUCUGUAUCAGUUAUGCUUCAUAUGUCUAUCUGAUGUAAAUUAUUCUUCAAGAGCGUGAAAAAAAUUUCGCUGUUAAUAUUAGCUGGAUAUUGUAUCGAUUGUGCUAACUUGCACUUCUGUUUUUUCUACCUGCUGCAGGUGUUGCCUAUAUUCCCUCGCCUUGUUGAUCUUCCGUUGGAUAAAUUCCAAGCAGCACUUGCUAGGAUAUUACAGGUAAUCUGGUAUAUCAUUUGAAUAUGUUACAAGUUCUACCUGCAUUAAUUUUUAGGGUGACAGUGGAUGCCUACCAGGUAUUUAGAUUUCAGAUGAAUAUAUGAUCAGAUGAUUAUUUGAAAACCUAGGUUGUAUGUUGCAUUCACUGUUUUAGAAGAACAGGGCUCACCUUUCCAAUUUUACUCAGUUUAAAGCAUCCAGUGCUUUUAUUAUACUUUCUCAUGCCAUAUUUCAUGCAGAAAGAGCCAUAUUGCUUUCAGAUAUUGUGUCGUUUGGAUUUGUAAUAACUCUUCUAUUGUGCCAAUCUUCUAUCUUUUCCUUGGGAACAUGAGAUCUCAUGGAAGGAGGCUUGUUUGAUCACUAAACUCUACAAAUUUUAUACCUUAAUUUGUUACUUUAUUUUUCACAACGGUGAUGAACAUUUAUUGACAAGGAAUACAGAAUCCAGCUCUUGGCUAGUGACAGGCCCUAGAGUUGGCAUUGAUAAAUCUUGGGAUAUAGUCACCCCAUAUAUACAGGAAUUUUGCUGAUGGAUCUUUUUUCUUCUCCAGAAAGGAUUUGUCAAAGUGGCUGGGUAGUCUCUAAGUGGAGGGAAUUCUUGAAAAGACUAGGUGUCUAGGUGGACUGCAUGGAGACUUUGGCAGUUAACUAGACAAUCUUUUUAAUGCCAAAUUGCAGAAAAUCCCCUUGUGCACAAUUGUCUUUUGCACUUAACCACCCUGAAUAUUUAAAAUAUGCAGAAAUCCUCCUCAAUUUUGUGUUGUCAUCUGUUAAUCUCCUUACAUAAUUUUGUCAUCCUUAAAAUUUAUAAGAGACUAAAAUAUAGUUCAAAAUGCCAACUAUACGCAUUGUAUGGAAAGAAAGUGAUAUCCAGACGCCCUUUCAUUUUCUCAGGUUUUUAUUUGAAUACCUGGUUGAGAAACACUUUUCAUUUUCUCAAGUUUCCAUUUUUCAAAUGAAUCUUGUUAUCAGAAAUUCUGUCGCUUGGUCAUAUUAAUUGCGGAGUUUCAUCUCGUCCAGGAAUAGAAAUGGAAUAAAAGUCGGGAAUAAGUUUAUCUCUACAAAAUAACCUAAUCAGUAGCUGAGAGUGAUUGUCCUUCGGAAUUUAUUUUUUUGCUGAAUCAAUCACUUGGUUUCAGUUUAUCUCUGGAUUGCCUGGCUCGUGUCUUAAUAUUUACUAUGACAACUUGCUUAGCUACUGAUCUCCUGCUAGCUCUUACCUUAUUUCUUGCAGCCUUCAGUUAGUAAGGAGCAAGAAACGUUUACUACAAUAGUAACUUUGGUCUGGCAAGAAACAGAGGGGUUGAAAUUGCGGAAGUAAAUAACUAAAGAAACGAAUAAUCAGAUUUUAGUUGACAAUGGAAGAGAAGUAAAGGUCAACCCUUGGAUUUUUCUUUUGAUGGCUGAAAGUUCCAACGGAGUCAAGAAGUUACCUAUUGGUUAUUGCUUCUCUCUUGAUUUCCUUAUGAAUAUGAGAAGUCUUAUUUAUCAUCAUAAUCCUCUAUCCACUUUUGUCUAGUUAUUUUUGAUGGCUCAAAGUUCCGUAGAUUGCCUCUUGGCUAUUGCUUCUUUUAUCAUAUAUGAACUGGUCAAUUCAAGUUAGUUUCCUUGGAUAAAGUCCUUGCCAUGUAUAAAUUGCUCAAAUCAAGUUUCUUGCCUUGUAGUUGGUAGUGAUGCUUUAUGUAUAAAAAAAAAAAAACCCAAUUUUACCAAAAUUUAAUCAACUUAUCUAGUUUCUUUUUUCUACUUGACAAUAUAAUUUAUCUUCAUCUGGUCAAGUGCAUUAUAUUUUUUGUUUUCUCUUUUCCUAUGUUGUUCUUGUACAUUUCUGCUUUAUUUGGCUUUUGAGCAGCUUUUGUUUUGUCUUCUUAAAUAUGAUCUAUAUUUUGUGGGACUGUUAUAUCUUUAACAUUCAUAUCAUAUUUUGAUGGAACGUCACUUCUUGGGCUAUAUACCCAGCAAUUACUUAUUCUAAAGUGUAAAUGAUUUUCCUUCUCUUUUGGCAGGGUUCAGCUCACACUGGUCCGGCAUUAACACCUGCUGAAGUUUUGAUCGCGAUUCAUGAUAUUAAUCCUGAGAAAGAUAGGGUUGCUCUUAAAAAGGUAUGAUCUCAUACACGAAAAAUAUUCUCAAUGCACGGACACGCAGUUACCCAUUUUUGCAAACGUAGAGGACGUUUAUAAUAUUAGCGCUCACAUGCAUACAUACAUAUCGACAGUCUUGUGUAGUUUGUAUCUUCCUACAUAAAAUAAGAAUCUGAUAAAUUGUAAUGGAAAUAUAUUCAGAUAACAGACGUCUGCACUGCUUGUUUCGAGCAACGCACAGUUUUUACACAACAAGUAUUGGCUAGUUCCUUGAACCAACUGGUAUGUUCAAUCAUCCAAAGAUGUCCUUGAUUUUUAGUUUAUGGUAACUUUCUUACUACCUUGGUUCCCUUACAGGUCGAGAAAGUACCUCUUCCUCUCCUUUUUAUGAGAACAGUAAUUCAAGCAGUGGAUGCUUUCCCAACUCUGGUACCUUUGAAUGUCUCUUUGUUUCGACUUUGCAUCUAUAAUAAGACACGCUCAUGCAGACAACAAUCCUCCGAGCUAUCCAUUCAUCCAUCCACACACACGUGCAUGCUCAAACACGUUUGUACACAUGCAUGUUAACAGUAGACCUAUAGUUACGAGAUUCUGAAGUAUAGGGUCUAUACAUUUAACAAACUUUAAGGACAAAAUGUCACUCAAAAUGUAUUACAAGUGGCAGAUUAUUCACGUUGUUUUAAGCUAAAUUGAUAAAUUGUCUUGCAACUUUAUUUUGCAGGUCGAUUUUGUUAUGGGGAUUCUGUCCAAGCUUGUGAGUAAGCAGGUAAGAUCUACACAUUGCUACAUAUUAUUAUUCUCGUAUUUUUAAAUGUUCUUCUCUAUCUUCAGUAUUUACUUUUAAGCAUGCGGUUACACUAGGAUAUUGUUGUUGCAUUUCAAUAAGAACCGUUAAAAUUAUUUUUUUGUGUCUAUUGGUGACAUUCAGUUGAUUGAGAGGUCUAUUAUAAGAGGAAAAUUAUAGUAUGCGGACCUUAACUCUUGUUAGUCAUGAGUAUUCUUUUUCAAAUAGUACCACGUGCUUUACGACAUAUUGAGAAGUGAUGGCCACAUGUAGGGGUGUAAUUUGGGCCGUGUCGGGUUGACACCACCCAGAUUUUUUGGGCCGAAAUGGGCCACAAGGUGGCCCGUCCUGGCCCGAAUUCAUUCAAGCGGGGCCACCUUUCUUUGGACUGUGGCCCAGCACGGCCCACGGCCCGAACCGGGCCAAGGCGUGCCCGGCCAUUUUGUUAUAUAUAUAUAUAUAUAUAUAUAUAUAUAUAUAUAUAUAAUUUUUCUAUAUUUUAAUUUUAUUUUAAAAAAUUUUUCAAUUGAUUUCAUAAAAUAUAUAGUUUUUAAUUAAAUAAAUAAGUUUUAGAUGGCUUUUAAAAAAAUUAUUUAAAAUUUGUCUUUUUUAAAUUAAUAUUUGAAAGAAUAAAUAAAAAAACUAAAAAGAAUAUUCGAAGAAAGGAAAAAAAAAUAUAAACAAACAGGCCGGCCUGGUAUUUAGGCCUACACUUUAGUAGACUGGGUUGGACUGGGCUGCACCCGGCCUUGUGGCCUGACACGGCUGGCAUCGCAUUUGGAUGUGGGCCGGUCCGUGCCGGGCCAAGGGCUUAGAGGCUGUGGCACAGAGCUGGGCCGGGCUGCAAGGCGGCUGGGUAUGGCCUAGCACAACCCGCAACCGUGCCAGGCCGAGCUGCCCCACCGGCCGCUCGGCCCAUUUGACACCACUAGCCAUGUGUGUCAAGGAGAAUACUGCAAACAGUUUUUAAGAGGACUAUUUUAAUUUACUUCUUUAGGUUCUCGUCUCAUAGAUUAGGAGAAACAGAACAAGCACUUAAUUACAUAGCCAUACAGCCACCAUUUUUCUAAGCUGUACCUAAUGAGAUUGGUUUCUUUUUCCUUUCUUUUUCUUGCAUUCAAUUCAAUCCCUCCACAACUUUUGAGUUAUUAUAUAGUCUGCUUAUUACUCAUCCUAGGAAUUAUUUUGAUUCAUUGUCAAAAGGGUUUGGUGGUGGUUAUAUAGAUUUGACUUGCAAUUUUGAUGGCUGUGUUUAAUAUGACAUAUAUAGAUGCAAACUUAUGGACAUGCUAGCAGCUUUAGCUGUGGUUCACCUUCGAGGAGAGAAGCUUGUGGCCUUAUUUGGCCAAACUGGAGCUUGCUGGAGAAGUGCUGUUUAGCUAGAGCUGUUUGAAGAAGCAUCAAAAACUACAUUAAAAUCUCCACAAUAACUUUUCACUGUAGCAAGGCAGAAGCUUUGAAUUGGAGUUUUAGCUUAUGGGUCUAAAAAGCUCAUUUCAGCUUUGUUGUGACAACAAAAAUUUUGGACUUCUUUGUUUGUCAAAAUAAAAGGCAUUAUUAGUUUAUGGAAACUUUUUGUUUUUUUAUUUUUAGUGAGGUUUCUUCAGAAGCCAGGCUUGUAUAGGACUCCUACCAUCCUACAUAACGUUACAUAUAUUGAAUAUAAUGGAUAUUAUAUUGCCAUUACAUCUACGUUUCUAUGUUUUCUCUCAUCAAACCAAUAGGAAACCACUGUCAACUUUAGUUUUGUUUCUUGUUGCACAAACAAAUUUGUUCAUGCUUUUAUUUUGUGGCUGUUAAGUAACAUAAUUUUAACUUCCUACUCCUGACCGAUAUACACACUCUACAUACUGAAGUGCUUUAUUCUGUCAUCUUUAUACACUGACACUCAGGUUUCUAUUGCAGAUUUGGAGAAUGCCGAAAUUGUGGGUGGGUUUUCUAAAAUGUGCUUAUCAGACACAGCCACACUCUUUUAAUGCCCUAUUGCAGGUAGAAUUUGUUUCUUAUUUAACCUGGCACAACUCGAAACUUUUACUUUCUCGGUUUACUAAACACAGUUCAACUAUUGCAGUUACCAUCGCCACAGCUUGAAAAUGCUUUGAUUAAAUAUCCAAACCUACGGGUUCCUCUUGCUUCUCAUGUCAGCCAGCAGAACAUGAGGAACACAUUGCCGAGGUAUGUUCCCAGUUUGAUUAGACUUCUCAGCCAAUUGCAUUCAAUCAUUCAUCAGUACAUCAACACUGAAACUGCAUUUGCUUUUAAUAGCCAAACUUUAAAGAGAUUUGAUUUCAUACCCAAGGAUUAAAGUGCCCAUCGGCACGGGCCGUAUCUACCGUGCUGUAUCGUGCCAGCAAGAUAUGGGUACGAUACAGCUCCCGUGCCGAUGGCGCAACUCAAAACCCUCUAUUCUUAAAAUUAGUAAGUUAUUUGCUCAAUAAAGUUCAAAAGAUUUGAUAAAAAUACGUAGUAAAUAAUUGGCAUAUUUUGUUGCUAAAGAAAGUAAAUAUUUCAUGCCAUUACGUGUCGCCAUACAUAUAUUUUUUGUGACUGACACACAUCGGUACAGCCCGGCACGCAUCGUGCCGGCAAGUUUCCGGCACGAUCCCAUGCCACGGCACUUAAAUCCUUGUUCAUACCCCUACAGUUAAAUUCAUCUGCUUUUGUAUAUAUAACUACAAAAUAUGUAUUUCAAUAUGUGCCCUUCGAAAGAGUUGAUUUCUUGCGUAAAUAUCCUUGUGCUUCCAAGUAUCUCUUUGAAAUCCUUUUCUUUCGACGUACUCUCAUGAAUUGGGUGAGUUCUAAGGUCAGGGUUUCUUCCUUUCUUUUUUUUUCUCCUUUUCUUUUAAUAAUAACCUAAGAAGCUGCACUUCUAAUGAGUGUGUGUGUGUGUAUAUAUAUAUAUAUAUAUAUAUAUAUAUAUAUAUAUAUAUAUGUCAAAAAUUUAGAUUCUACAAGGGAUAUGUUAUUAAGUAGAUGAUUUUGUAGGGUUUAUAUACUCUUUUUUGGUUACCUUUUGUGUCGUGUAGAGAGAGAUUAUAUAAUGGCUAGAUCAAUGGCAUACUCGGUAGGAUAAGUGAAACUUCUUUCCCGAUUGGUCUUUAGAGACCCUUCUGAAUGAUUUAUUCCUUGGAAUUGCUAUUUGGAUGUAGUUGUUGACAUUGAAUUUGAAAUAUUGAAGGGCUUUCUAAUCCAAAAUGAAUCCAGCAAUACAAUGAUAAUAGCGUAUCAUCAUUAUUAUUUACUUAUGUUCAAGUUUGUUUGUUCUAUUAUUUAAUAGUGGGCUUCUGUGGCUAAUGAUUAUGACUGCAGACAAACCCUGAAGUUACUAGGGCUCACAAAUGAUCCGCAAUAGCAGACGCCGCCAUCGUCAUUUUACGCUUCCCAGUGUAUGCGUCAGACUCGAGCUCAUCGGUCCACAGUGCCACCCUUUACAUGAUUCGGAGAAGUUUGAACCUUUUUGCGGGCUUGAUCGGUCUCCUAAGUACACAACUUUCCAAUCAAAAGAUUCGGACAUAACGUAUUUUGGUCUAAGUGUAUGUCUCCUGCAACGGUAAGCGCCAAAGCGCACAUUAUUGGGGGGGGGGGCGUGCAAAGGCCGCCGACCACAUUUUCUCUCACUAAAGUUUAUUACUGCACACACAUCUAUCGGGCGUGCAUUCAUACGAGCUCGCAUUCACAUCAAAUUUCCGUGGACGAGGUGUAUGAUUGAUCGGCAGAAUAUGUAACUAAUUGAAAGCGCCUCCUUGACUGUAUAAUAGCUGUUCUUUUGCUUGCGAAUAAGAAAUUCAAGUUCUUAUGUAUGCAUUGGAGUUACAUAUGCCGAGGGAACGAAGGACAAAGGCUUAGGGCUUAACAGUUGGUGUCGUCGCAGCUCACUUGUUUUAUCCAUUAUUGUAUUCUAUUUUUGUUCUGUAAUUGCUUUGCCCCCUUAUUUUGUCGUAAUUUCGUCAUCGUAAUUUAUGUUCAAUGAUCCAAUUUAAAGCAACUAAAUAUUGCUUGUAUGGUAACCAUUGGUUUUAUACCCUGUUAUUGUUGUUGAAUCUGUGUCUCCGAAAUUUUGAUUAUUAGGAGGAGAGAAGGUUAUCAUUUUAAAUUUAAUCUAGUGUCAUUAAGAUAUUUAAUUUAAUUAAUUUAUAUAGCAUAAUAGCAUAUUAAUUUAAAUGGUUUGAUUUCUGCUUUUUAGUGGCGUGACUUGUUUUGAUUGUUGAGUUGAAUGAAAAUUAGAAGGAUUUAAAUUUAAAUUAAAAUUUCUGAUUUUGGUUAUCAUAGUAUUUCACUUUCCUACUCUAUUUGAUAAUAGAUUUUUGGGAUAAAAAUAGGGAUAAACCGCAGGGUAGUUAUUUAGUGCAGUUCUUUGAAGCAUAGGAUAUAUAGUAAAAUGAGUUGAACUAUGGUAGGGUAAAUUGUUCACCUUUAUUUUAAGCAUCUCAUAUUAUGCGUAGGCAAAUCAUUUAUAAGACUUUAUGUAACGAUCUGAUUCACUAGUAAUAACAAUUCGUUGAAUUCAAACUAUCGAGUUAUUGUUGUUUGUAGGUUGAGUCGUUAUAUUCGGUAUUAGAAUAGGUAUAUUAGCUGAAAGUGUGAGACUGGCUUUAUAUUGUCAGAUGAUCUUGAGCUGUGUGUGAUUGCGUGACGAGGAAAAGACAAAUUUAUACCACUUUAUGCCCCACCAGAAAAAAGUUGUGUACAUGUCCAAUCUUUAACUAUUUAAUUUGAGAAAACAAUCAGUACACGUGGCGUCACGAUAGUGCCUUAUUACACGUGGUGUUUAGGGGGUGUUCCCACCUUCUCUCCCCAAACCCUUUUUCCUGAACCGUCCGCCCCUGUCUUUCCUUCGCUCUCUUUCUCUCCCUCGCUCUCUCUCUCCUCCUCUCUCUACCCUCCUGAACCGAACGGCCGACCCUCUCUCCCUCUCUCUCGCGUCGUCUCUCUACCUCCCUCUCUCUUCUCAACCAAUUGCAUCCCUCUUUCUCCUGAACCGAUCGCCUCCCUCUCUCCCUUCCCUCUCUCUCUCGCACUGUCUCUCUACCUCCCUCUCUCUCCUGAACCAAUUGGCCCCCUCUCUCUCCUGAACAGAUCACCUCCCUCUCUCUCCCCCCCCUCUUUCUCUCUCUCUGUCCCCCUCUCUCUCUCUAUCGCGGUGUCCCUACCGAUCUCUCUCAUGCCGGGUUUCUCUCUCUUCGAUCUUGGAGAGAACAGUGCGGAUCCUCUCUAAGCAACCGAUGGCCUCCCUCCCUCUCCCCCUCUCUCUCUCGCACCGUCUAUAGGUGACCCCUAACCCUAUACCUCUGAGCUCUACAGGUGAUGUUCUCUCUCGCCUUUGUAUUUACUAUUGUGUUCUCUCUCUUGCCUUUGUAUUUGCAGUGUCCAUUGCCUCUGACCCUAGAUCUAUUUGGCUCCUACUCCUUAGAGGGGCACCAAAAAACAAUGACCCCUAUUACCAGAAGCUCUGUUAAAAAAAAAAAAAAAUGUAGGGAUAUUGUGAGACCUUUUAAAAAAAAUGUAAAGAUAUCCUGAGAUCUUACUUGAUAUCACAGUAAAUCUUAUCAUCAUUCUCUUCACUAUAGCUUGCUUGACAAAGGGCUUAUACUUCAAAAACUGAUCACUAAAGCCUACUGGACAAUAAGGGCUUAUUUUGUGUGCUUCUAAGCCUAUAAAUAGCAUGUACUUUUACCUAAAAAAACAGUAGUAGCCUCUCUCUCUCUGCAGUGUAAGGUGAGCUAUUCUUAUUGGCUAGAGGACCCUCUGUCUGUUUCUAUACUAACUUAUUAUAUCCCACCGCCUCCCCUCUCCACUAUUUAUAGUUUUUUGUUUUACUUUCUAUUGCUCUUUAAUUUACUACACUAAACUGAUGGAUUUGGUACUUUUUUGUGGCCUGGCUGUUUUCUAACCUUGAUUCCUGGCUACAUUUUUUUUAAUGACUCUGGUUUUCGUUUUCGAAAUUUUGUUUUUGAUUAAUUUGUCCCUUUCCUAUCUUUUGCCCCUGAGCAUGACCCCUCUUUAAGGGAGAUUCAGUGUCAGAAAGGUUGGUCCACCUCUACACUAACUGCUGUGUCCUAUAAAACAGAAUAUUGGAUUGAGAAGGUUCCUUGGGUGUUCUAUUCAAAGGCAACCAUCUACCACAGAUUGGAUGGCCAUUUCAUGCAAACCCAUCUAACACUGCUAUAUUGGGGGUUUUGUUCUAAGUGUUUCAAAUCUUUUUUUUUUUUUUUUUUUUUUUUUUUUUUUUGGUUUUUUUUUUUUUUUUUUUUUUUUUUUUUUUUUUGUUAUGUUUUGGAUUUCUUUGCUUCUUGAUCUAAUUUCUUUGUUUUUUUGUUGGGGCGAUAAUGACAAGUGUAUAAAAAAAAAAGUGCUCUGAACUUUCUUUGGACUAUGAAACUGCCUGCUAUUUCCUGAGAGAAAUUUUGAACUUUCGUCUUCUAUUACCUGAAAGCAAUUUUUCCACCCGGCGAAGCAUGACUUCGGUGUUCUAUAGGAGGGCAACCAUCUUGCAGAGAUUGGACGACCUAUUCAAGGGAAGCCAUCUAUUAUUGUCUGUUCACUGAUGAUAUUGGGUUUUUUCUUUUAUGUUUUCUAACCCUCUCUUCUCUCCCAGCAUGAAGUGCGGCCAUGCCCAAAUGAUGAAGGAAAUGCUUUUACUUGGUUCCAUUUCCCACACUUUACUUGAGCCUAUCUGUUUUAUGUGUUUGGUUAUAUGUGUUUGGAUUACUUGGUUUACUAACUUACUACCUACUAUUAUUAUGUGUUGCAAUUACUUGGUUUUUCUUUAUUUUUCUUGCUAUGUUUUUUACUCGGGUUUUUCGUUUCUUACUUACUCUUCUUUCUCGACUAGGUUCCUUGCUUCUUUGGGUCGAUUUCUUUUUCUUCGUUAUUUUCUUUUCUUAUCCCUUCUCCUUUAUUUACUUUGUUCUUUCCAGACUGUUUUCCUUGGCCCUUUUUCUUUUCUUUUUUCCUCUUUUUUGUUUUCGUUUUGUUUUGUUUUGUUUUGUUUUUUUUUUUGACGCGAUGAUGACAACUAUCUCUUACAAUCCAUUUACAUCUUGCGGCUAUCUUACUCUCUGUGGCUAUCUUACUCUCUUACUGCUUACCUUACUUCUUUGUGGUUGUGCUGUUAACUGUCUUCAUGUUUUGCUACGUUCUCUUGAUUGCUCUUAUUAGGCCACACUUAUUUGGUUUGUUUUGUUUUGAUUACUUUACUUGGUUUGUUUUGUUUAAAAUCUUGCACUGCCUUUCUUUAAAAAAAUGUAUAAUUGGUCUGUUUUGUUUAAAAUUUUUGCACUAACAAUUUGUGCUACCCUUCCCUCUUUUACUUACUGAGAUUCAUCUUUCUUUCUUUCUUUCUUUUUUUUUUUUACCUGUUUCUUAAUUUUCCCUUCCCUCUCUUCGCUUUUUGAAUUGAAUUGCUUGCUUUUAGUUGUCCUUUCUUCUUUUGUCUUGGUUUAAUAGAAUGUUAUGGACUAAUAAACUGUUGUAGAUCGACUCAACUGUCUACACUAGACAGUUGUAACGACCCAGCCCACUAGCAACAAUAACUCGUUGGGCCCAAACACCGGCCCAAAAUGCUUAAGCCCAGUUAUUAUUACUAGUGUAAGAGUCUCUUAUAUACCCAAUAACAUCCCCAUUCCUAUCCAAUGUGGGAUUAUUGGGGUGUGACAAAUUCCUCCCGUUAAGGCCCUGAUGUCCUCGUCACACACACAGCCCAAGAUCACCAGGCAAUGUGAGACUCAUCUCGCUAGCCUUGUCAUCCAGACCCUGGUAUAGCCAGUCACCUUGUCAUUCAGACUUCGGUAUAGACUAUCACCUUGUCUUUCAGACCCUGGCUCAGUCGAGACUCGUCACACAUUUUCGGCUGGUGAACCGGCUCUGAUACCAAAUGUAACGACCCAGCCCCGUAGCAACAAUAACUCGUUGGGCCCAAACACCGGCCCAAAAUGCUUAAGCCCAAUUAUUAUUACUAGUGUCUGAGUCUCUUAUAUAUCCAAUCACAUUCUCAUUCCUAUCCAAUGUGGGAUUAUUGGGGUGUGACAACAAUACAGCUUUUCUAUGUGCAACCAUCUAACACUGUUCGGCUUCUUUGCUUACUUGCUCUUAUUUUUAAUUCUUUCCUUUUCUUCCUUGCUGUAUCUUUUCUUAACUGUAAAGGGUGUAAUUGGCAUUCCUGUGUUGUGGUGCGGCCAUGUUGGAUGUUGAUGGAUUGAAUAUUCUAGGUUGGAAGGCCUGUUUAAAGGCAACCACCUUCUAAUGAUUCUUUUUUUACUGCUUAAUAUUGUAGGUUGGAAGGUGUUAUAUUUGGUUUAGAUUUGUAGUUAUCUAAAUUGGAGUUAAAUCCUAAUCUAAUUGAGAUUGGAUAUAUUUAGAUUUAAUUUGGCAUACAUGGAUUAUAAUUAAGAGUGUAAUUCUAAUUGAAUUAGGAUUAGACUCUAAUUAGGAGACAUGUAUUAUAUAUACAUGCUACGGCUGAGUUAAUGACGCCGCGACCUAAUUAAGAGCCAUGCAAAUUAACGAGAUGUUGGUGUGGUUCAUCCGUACGGAAGGACUAUUCAAAUUAGAGGCAUUCUCUAAUUAAUUAAGUCAACCUUGGGCUGAGGAGCCGGUCCGUAUGAUUGAGGAGCCGAGCCGCAUUUGGAGUCGCUUUGACGGAUGCGGUUUUCGGCGUUUCGGAUCUAAUUAAGUUUUGGUCUUUUGAGAGAUUUUCUUUGUACUCCGCCUUUUCGACAUUAAUAAAGUAUUUGCUCCGUCUUUGUCCGUGGAUGUAGGCCGUUGGCUGAACUACGUAAAUAUCGGUGUGCUCUUUCCACUUUAUCUUUUUGUUUCCUGUAUUAAAUUAUUUUCUGGAUCUAUUUUUCGCCGUUCCGAUUUUAACAGAAGGUUUGUUAGAGGCUACCACUUACUGUUAAGCUUGUGGCGAAAAGGAAAAAAGAGAUGCUAUAUGCUUGCCUGUUCAACCUGAGCCUCACUAUUUUUUCUUUCCUAUUUUCUACUUGGAUUAUUUAUGUACUGGCCUUCCGUUUUUUACUUUUAUUUACUUAUUUCCUAACUGUGAUUUGUUUUUUCCCUAUUUAAUCUUGGUGUUUUUUCCCUUUACUUUAUUCAGGACACAAGAACUUCUUUUCCCUUUACUUUUUUUUUUUUUCCCCUUCUUUUGCAUCUGCUGCCUUGCUUCUUUGCAGUACCUUACUUACAUCUGCGUCAUUCUUUGGUUCAUAACUUCCUUUAUUGCAUUACUUUAUAAGAAAAGGAGAAGUAUUUGUCGGAUCGUUGGCGCUAACCAUUAAUCCCAAAAGCUCGAGCUGUUAGAAAUACGCAACCAAUUCACUUAAAGCGUACAGAAACAGCGCCCACGGGUCUCGAUUGUGACUCGGCCCACCUGGCCUCACGCCACUUCGAACAUGACUCGGCCCAACCCAGCCUCACGCCAUUUCGAACAUGACUCGGCCCACAUGGCCUCCCGCCACAGGGCAGGAUGCUGGCCCAUUUAAGCCAACAGUGAGCAACUCGGCCUAGGCGUACCACAGAUUGUAGUCACUGCCGAUGCCGAAGGUAAAUUCGUUGGAUAUGUAGAUUUGCAAAUUCCGCACAGCAAAACUGUCGUCCAAACUGUUCGGUGUUCAAGCUCCCUGUUCCCUGUUGCUACUGAUGCUGAGCAGGAAACUGCGCGCUUAGCUAUGAAGAGGCUUAAAGAAGAAUGCGAUUUGCGAUUCAAGGAUAUUAAUUAUGAUGACUCCCUCUUAUACAAGAGUUUAUAUGAUCAUCAAACAACCAAUUGCACCAUUUUAGCUACACAGUAUAGCAAUCUUUCUCGAGAACAUAAUUUUCUUAAGGAAUGUUAUGUUAGUACAGUGGCUCAAAAGAAUGAAUAUGUAAAUGAUCAAAUUAAGCUCCGAACUGCCACAGGGAAUGCUAUGCUGUAGUGAACCGUAUUACCACUGACCUGCCUACUGCCAAGGCAGCCCCCUCUCAGGCCAUGUCCAAUCAGGAUGCUUAGAUAUUCAGUCUACUUAACUGGUCCAUGCUUUUGUUUUCGGCAAAGUUAUGUUGUGCAUGGCGUUUUGGUCCAGUAUUAAAUAAUACAUGUACUUUGCUUUUUAUUUAGUGUUUUGCAGUUUGUGCAACUUUUGUUACAUUUCAAGUUCUUGCUGUGGUUUCUCCAUAUGAUUCUUCUGUUCAAGUUCUCGCUGUGGUUUCUCCAUAUGAUUCUUCUGUUCGUUAUUUUUUCCCUGCUGUUUGCUUUUCUCUAUUUGAUCUUGGUUUUUUCCCCUCCUUUUCUUUAGUCCAGUAUUAAAUAAUACAUGUACUGUUAGCUUUCUUAACAUGUGGGAAAUAAUUAAACUUAUUUGCCCUUAAAUGUGAGUAAUGCACCAUUUCUCUUUUGUACUGUGCUCUUUUUGGUACAUUCCCCACACUUGAAAAAUAAAAGGAAAAAUAAAAGGAAAAAAGAGAAAUGGUGCAUUACUAACACUUUAGGAGAACCUACUGGGUUCCCAUUUUUGUUUAAUAUAUAUUCGUUUUGCCCCCCCACAGUAGGUUCUCUUAAAGUGUUACAAAUGAGUCAACUCUAAGUUGUUUUUUAUUUCCUUUUUUUUUUCUCUCUCAUUUGCAUGCAAUGCUUUUCUUUGUUUUGGGUGUUUUAUAUGUUACAUGCCUUUUAAUUCACUUUCAAUUUUACAGUGUAGUUUUUAUUUUAUUUUAGUUACUCUCACUUCUCCCAAAAAAACUGUUUUUUAUUUUGCUUCUUAAUCAAAAAAAUCCAUGCAGUAUUUUGACAUGGGUUUCCAUUUAAUUGUGAGUAAUGCACCAUUUGUGACAUUUUUUUUAUUAUUGUUUGUGCAAUUAAUUUAUCAUUAAGAAAUAGGUGGGCUCCUUAAAGUGUGAGAAAUGGGACCAAACUUAGCAUUUUCCUUCUACACCUGGCGAAAGCCUAGUUAGUAAAUUCGCGAAUUAUUCGCAAAUUAUUCUCGAAUUAUUGAAAAUCCGAAUUAAACGGUCCAUUUACGAAUUUUUUCGAAAGAAAGAGAAUUAUUCGCGAAUUUUUGAGCCAGCCGAAUUAUUCGCGAAUUAUUUCCGAAUUAUUAAAAAUAUAAAUAAAAAACUUAUAAUUUUAUUUUUAAAUAUAAAUUAUUUUAUAUUUUAUACCGAAUUCGUUUUUUAAGCCGAAUUUUUCAACGAAUUUAAAAAUUAGAAAAUAAAUUUUAUACGUAUUAUAUCUGUACCAAAUUUUUGCCAAAUCCGAAUUAACUAACUAUGGGCGAAAGAAGCCCAACUCCCAACUACAUGUUGGGAGAAAAAAUGAGGCAACUAUAAGUUGUUUUUAUUUCUUUUUUUUUUUUCCCUCUCAUUUGCCCGAGGUAACAAAGCAUCGAAGAAUAACAACAAAAAACCUCCAAUAUGGUUGGUCCUCAAUAGAACAUCAAAUCGAAGAAUAACAACAAAAAAACCUCCAAUAUGGUUGGGCCUCAAUAGAACAUCAAAUGGCAAAAGAAAAAAAAAAAACACCACCCUCCAUUUUAAUGCAUUGCCAUUUUCCAGAUCAAGUAAUACUUUCUUCUAUUUUAAAGAGUUCACAUCAACCAUCUUUCUACCCCUCUAAAUCAUGAAUUUUUUAUUUUUCUACUUCCUUCUUAUAUUCCAUAACUAUUUUUUCUAAAAAAACUUCUGUAUUUAUUCUAACAUUUUUUUUGUAUAUAUAUUCUCUGUGUAAUUCCGGGUAUCCUACAGUAUGCCAUUAUUUGCAGUUCCAGAUACUUAAAUAUCUUUCAUCACCUUUUUCCUUACAUGGGCUUAACUGAAAGUGUUUACAGUAAUAAGGUACUCAUCCAAUACUUUCUUCCUUACAUUACCUUUUUGAAACUAGAUCUUUUACACACCUUUUUACCUACUUUAUACUGUUACUUAUUUGCUAUUUGAGUAGUUUUACAUAUUGUCGACAUAAAAUCUUAUUCAAAUAUGUGUUCUCUAAAAUUAGGAAUAGGGGUUUUUUAUAAGUUAGAAUUUAAGUUCUUUAAGUUUUUCAACACGCUUAUAUAUAAAUUGUUUCAAAAUUAUUUAGCAUUAAUAUCUGUUCGAUGCCUUUAGUUACCACUCAGCUCUUUUUCUUUUUUCUUUUUUUUUUUCUUUUUUGUACUUUGUCCUCAGGCCUGAAUGGACAUAUUACAAAUAUAUAGAGAAAAUAGAAAAAGAAGACGCCUUAUACUUAAUCAACAAAGAAAUGUUUCUCGAAAACGUCCUCCGAGACAUAUUAGUGACAUUAUUCAUGAUGAACCCGGCAAUCCUAGAUUCCAAUAUAAAGAGAAUAGAAGAAGGAGAAAACUUAUCUUAACCGGCCGUAGAAAUGCUACUGAGGAGCAUUGUGUCCAAAAUAUAAAUAGCAUUACUGAGGCAGAUGAGGGUUGCUCCAAUCUACAAGUAGACGCACAAAGUGUCGACCCCCUGUACCUAGGUUUGCCUCAAUAUGAGUGCCAAUCGUGUUCAGCUUUAUUAUGGUACCACAAAAGAAUAUAUAAACAUCGAAAUCAGGCUAUUCCAAGAUUUUCUUUGUGUUGCCAAGAAGGUCGGAUUAGUUUACAACUGCUACCACACACACCAAACAUAUUGGAUGAUCUAUUAAAUUAUCAGGGGCCUCUAGAAGCUACUAAAUUCCGCGAGAAUAUUAGAAUAUACAAUUCUAUGUUUGCUUUCACCUCCAUAGGUGCAAAAGUAGAUUACCAGAUUAAUAACAGGCCUGGUCCAUAUGUUUUUAGAAUUAGUGGUCAAAAUCAUCACGUGAUGGGUUCUCUUCUUCCCCCUGAUGGACAUCGACCUAAAUUUGCUCAAUUAUACAUUUACGACACCAAGAACGAGAUAGAUAAUAGGAUGCGAGCAUUCGAUGCACGUGGGAAUCUUUUUACUAUUGAUAAGGAUAUUGUAUCGGAUUUAAUCACGAUGUUUGAUAAUACAAAUGAAAUUGUGAAAGCCUUUAGAAUGGCGAGAGAUCGUUUUAAAGAAAGUAAUUAUUUACCUAUUAGAUUGAGAUUGAUUGGUGCACGAAGAGAAUGUUCAAGCCAAUAUAAUUCUCCAUCAUCUGCUGAAAUUGCUGGACUGAUAAUUGGUGACCUUGGUUGUGUGGAUCGACAUCGUGAUAUCGUAGUUGAACACAAAACUGAUGGUCUUAGACGUAUUAGCGAUCUACAUCCAGCUUUUAUGGCAAUGCAGUAUCCUAUACUGUUUCCGUAUGGUGAAGAUGGCUUUAGACUUGGAAUUCGAUGUAAUGAGAAUUCUCGUAGAAAAACAAAUUCAAGACAAUGUGUUACUAUGAGAGAAUUUUAUGCCUAUAGGAUACAAAAUAGAUUGAAUGAAGGAAAAUCCUUGAUUCGAGGUGGAAAACUUUUUCAGCAGUAUAUAGUGGAUGCGUUUACAUGUGUUGAGGAAGAAAGGCUUGCGUAUAUUAGGAACAACCAAUCAAAUUUGCGUUCUGAAAUAUAUAAAGGUAUUAGAGAUGCUGUUGCUGAGGGUGAUAUAGAUGGUAAUGCUAUUGGAAAGCGAAUUAUAUUACCGUCAAGCUUCACGGCUGGCCCUUGGUAUAUGAUCCAAAAUUAUCAGGAUGCUAUUGCCAUAUGUAGGCAUUCUGGUCCUCCCGAUUUAUUUAUAACAUUUACAUGUAAUGCACAAUGGCGAGAAAUACGCGAUGCAUUGCAAUUUAUUCCAGGCAAACGACCUGAAGAUAGACCAGAUAUUGUUAGCAGGGUUUUUAAGAUGAAAUUGGAAGCACUCAUGAAUGAUAUCAAGAAAGAAGAUUUUUUUGGCAGGACAACUGCUGGUAUGUUUAAACAUUGCCUAUAAAACAUAAAAUAUAGUCCGUUGUUAUUAAACCUUCUUCCCAAACUGAUUCUUUUGUAGAGCUUUACACAGUGGAGUUUCAAAAACGAAGCCUACCACAUGUGCAUAUCUUAGUAUGGUUGCGUGCUGAUCAUAAAUACUUAACAAGUUUGGAGAUAGAUUCAAUUAUCUCUGCAGAGAUACCUGACAAAACUGUUGAUCCAGAUAGUUACACAAGUGUUGUCAAAUUUAUGAUGCACCGUCCAUGUGGGUUGGCAAAACCAAACGCACCAUGUAUGGCGAAAGGUCGAAGCUCGAAACAUUUUCCCAAGGAUUACAAAAGUGAGACCGUAAUAAAUGAUGAUGGUUAUCCUAUAUAUAGAAGAAGAAAUGAUCAUAGGGUUGCUAUUAAAAAUGGGAUUGAACUUGAUAAUAGAUUUGUUGUGCCUCACAACCUUACAUUGGUUAAUAAAUACCAGGCUCAUAUUAAUGUUGAAUGGUAUAAUAAGUCGAGGCUUAUCAAGUAUUUAUUCAAAUAUGUUAAUAAAGGUCCGGAUCGAUCCGCCGUUGUUAUAGAAAAUUAUAUUAAUCAUGAAGCCUCCGGUUCCUAACAACUGUAUAAACAAAUUGAUGAAAUUAAGCAAUAUCUGGAUUGUCGAUAUUUAUCCGCGUAUGAGGCUAUUUGGAGGUUAUUUGAUUUUGAUAUUCACUUUAGACAACCAUCUGUUGAAAGAUUGACUGUACAUUUGCCUAUGAUGAAUAAUGUUACAUAUCAUAGUGGCCAAAAUUUGAUGGACGUUCUGAGGCGUCCUAAUAUUGGGUAACGAUGAUGCCCGCGAUCUUACAUAUGCAGAGUUCCCGACCAAAUGGGUAUGGCAUCCAAAAGAUAAAUUUUGGUCAAGACGCAAGCAAGGAAAUCGUAUAGGAAGAAUAGUUUACAUCCAUUCAAGUGCAGGAGAGCUUUAUUUCUUGAGAAUGCUUUUGAAUGUGGUUAAAGGUCCUAGAAAUUAUGCAGAAAUUAGAACUAUGCAUAGUGUUAUUCAUGAAACAUUUCGCUCUGCAUGUCAAGCCCUAGGCUUACUUGGAGAUGAUAGAGAAUGGAGAGAUGCACUGAGUGAGGCAGCACUUUGGUGCUCCGCAUGUCAGCUUAGGCAACUUUUUGUCACUUUAUUGCUGUACUGCGAGGUAACCGAUCCAUUUAAAUUGUGGGAAGAAUUUUGGGAAUCAUUUGCUGACGAUAUCAUACAUAAGUUACGGAAUAUUCUUGGGAUUCAAAAUCUUCGCAUGUCUCAAAUUGAACUCCAAAAUCAUGUUUUAUUUGAGCUUGAAAUAUUAUUUAAUAAGAACGGCAGUUCCCUUGCACAUUUUAAGCUUCCUAUUCCAAAUAGACUGGUUGUCGAUCAAUUGAAUAAUAGGUUGCUCAGAGAGGAAAUAGAUUACAAUUUAGAGGAAUUAGAACAGGAGCAUUUGCAUUUGUUUAGGGAAUUGACCAAUGAAUAAAGGGAAAUCUAUAAUGCUGUAUUGAUUUCCAUAUAUGAAAAAAAUGGGGAUGUAAUAUUUGUUUACGGACAUGGCGGAACUGAUAAAACUUACCUUUGGAAAACUAUUAUUUGCAAAUUACGUGCAAAAGGCAAGGUAGUGUUGGCUGUUGCUUCAUCCGGUAUAGCUUCACUUCUAUUGCCUGGAGGUAGAACGGCUCACUCGAGAUUUAAAAUACCUAUUCAAAUUGAUGACUCUUCUGUUUGUGAAAUAAAGAAGUCCACCCAACUUGCAAAAUUAAUUUCCCAUGCUAGCUUGAUCAUUUGGGAUGAAGUGCCUAUGAAUCACAUGAAUUGUUUUGAGGCAUUAGAUAGAACAUUGAAAGACAUUUUGGAAAUAGAUGAUUCAGAUGCUGGCGAAAAAAUGUUUGGAGGCAAAACCGUUCUUUUAGGGGGUGAUUUUAGGCAAAUACUUCCGGUGGUUGUAGGUGGAACUAAAGAAGAUAUUCUUAAUGCAUCAAUUAUUAGGUCUUAUAUAUGGAGCAAGUGCAAGAUUUUUCGCCUUACUACAAAUGUGCGUUUACUCCAAAGUUCUUCAAGUGAAAAAUCAGCUGCAUCUCUAGCAGAGUUCAGUAAAUGGAUACUCGAUAUUGGUAAUGGCAAAAUACAAGCUACUAAAUUAGACGGAAAAGAAGAACCAACUUGGAUUAAAAUUCCUGACGAUAUGCUUAUCGACAAAAAUACAAAUGGCAUACAAAAUAUUGUUGCAGAAAUUUAUGAUAGUAUUGGAGUGAAUUAUAAUAAUCCUGCCUACCUACGAGAUCGGGCUAUUGUUACACCAGUAAACGAAAUGGUUGAUGAGAUCAAUUCCUAUGUACUUACCUUAUUGCCAACUGAAGAACGUGUUUACUUAAGUUCACAUUCUAUAUGUAGUUCAUCCAGAAAUGUUCAGGACAAUGAUAUGCUUUAUCCUGUAGACUUCUUGAAUUCUUUAAAGUUCAAUGGAAUACCAAACCACGAAAUAAAACUAAAAGUUGGGGCUCCUAUUAUGUUGCUCCGCAACAUUAAUCAAAGCUCCGGUCUUUGCAAUGGUAUCCGACUGGUGAUAACCCAAUUGAGUCAUCAAAUUAUUGAAGCAGAAAUCUUUACUGGUAAUCAUAUUGGCGAAAAAGUUUCUAUCCCUCACAUAGUAAUGAACGUAACUGAUUCAAAAUGGCCAUUUGUAUUAAAGCGAAGACAGUUCCCAAUUCGAUUGAGUUAUGCAAUGACCAUCAAUAAAAGCCAUGGCCAGACAUUGCGAAGAGUUGGCCUUUUUUUUGUCCCAACCUGUAUUUUCUCAUGGACAGCUUUAUGUGGCGGUUUCGCGCGUUACUUCUAGAGAAGGGUUGCGCAUUUUCAUAGAUAAUAAGGAUGGCGAGCCUCAAGGUCAUACAAGAAAUGUUAUUUAUCGUGAAAUAUUUGCAAAUCUAUAAGGGCUGGUUGUUUAUUUUGAGAUUUUUUGUGUUCCGAAAUAUUCAGCUAUUCUAUAUAAUAAUUCAUUAUUAUUAAGUUGUCCUUUCUUUAUUUUUUACUCACCACAUUUUUUUUUUUAUGUGUAUAUAUAUAUAUGAAACAGGCCUACACAUUUGCAAUGGAGUACCAACUAUUAUCUGAAUUAUCGUUUCAACCUCAAAAUUGCAAGAUUAAAGUUCGAAUGUGUCCACUUUGGGAAUCGUCUGCUCCUUUUCUUAAAGGAGAUUUAUUUGGUUUAGAUUGUUUACUGGUGGAUGAAAAGGUAAUGACAUGUGUUCUUUACAUUUUUUGUUAACUCUCUUUUUAUGUUACUUUCUAACUAUUUUCAAAUUGGUAUAUUUAUUAGGGAUGAUUGCCUAUAUACCCCUCAUGCGUCUGGAAAUAUCCGAUCUACCCCUACUUUUUUUUUUCUUUCUAAAAUGCCCCUCAUAUGUUCCACCGUUAUUCCAAAAUACCCCCGCAGUUAUCCCCUGUUAGCUUAACUCGGGUUAAAUAUGGGUUAAAUGUAUACUAGAGUUAAAACCUAUAUAAAAUACCUAUUUUACCCCUACCUUAUUAUGCUAAUCCCUUUAAGUUAUCCUCUUUUUCUCCCAACUUGUUCUCCCAACUUGAUCGCCGGCUCAUCCGCCUCCAUCUCGCCGGCUCCUCCGCCUCCACCUCGCCUCAUCUCCUCCCAAACCAUGGGCGAGGAUGACGCCCGCUACCUCCCAGACCACCGGGGGGGAGUUGCGGCAGCGCGGCGGAGGAGAAGGAGGGGUGCCGCGACGACGCGGCGGCGCUGCGGUUGAAGCUGGCGGUGAUGGCGACGAUCCUGGUGGCGGGGAUGGUGGGCGUGGCGAUCCCGCUGGCGGCGGGGCUGAAGCUGCAGUGCCUCUUGAGCACGGAGAGCGGCUUCUUCGCCCUCGCCAAGGCCUUCGCCGCAGGCGUCAUCCUCGCCAUGGGCUUCGUCCACAUGCUCCACGACGCCGAGGCCGCGCUCACCGACCCCUACCUCCCCCGCUUCCCCUGGCGCCGCUUCCCCUUCUCCGGCUUCGUCGCCAUGGCCGCCACCCUCGUCCUCGACUUCCUCGCCACCCAGUUCUACGAGCGCAAGCACCGCGCCGCCACCGCCGCCAAGACCGACGCCGCGGCUGAGGACGACGAUGAGCGCUCCAUCAUUAAGUAAUUAGCACUUAAUUAUUUAAUAACUAUGUUCCUAGAAAUCAACUGUCGUGUUUUCUGAUGAUAAUAGUAAUAAUAAUAACUAAUAGAUUUAUUCAUAUAGUAUUUUAUUUUUAUAUAGAAAUAUUAUUGUAUAAUAUUUUAUUUAUAAAUUUGUAAUUAUUUAUUAAUAUUUUUAAAUAUAUAACUCUUAUAUAUUAUUAAUAUAUGUUUAUUAUAAUUUUAAAUAUAUUUAAUCUAUAUAUAAAUAUUAUAAUAGUAAUAUAUAUAGUAUAAUACCAAAUUUUUAAAAAUUAUAUAUAAAAAUUAUAUUUGAUCCCGAAUUUUUAAUUGGUGAACGUAUAAUANNNNNNNNNNNNNNNNNNNNNNNNNNNNNNNNNNNNNNNNNNNNNNNNNNNNNNNNNNNNNNNNNNNNNNNNNNNNNNNNNNNNNNNNNNNNNNNNNNNNNNNNNNNNNNNNNNNNNNNNNNNNNNNNNNNNNNNNNNNNNNNNNNNNNNNNNNNNNNNNNNNNNNNNNNNNNNNNNNNNNNNNNNNNNNNNNNNNNNNNNNNNNNNNNNNNNNNNNNNNNNNNNNNNNNNNNNNNNNNNNNNNNNNNNNNNNNNNNNNNNNNNNNNNNNNNNNNNNNNNNNNNNNNNNNNNNNNNNNNNNNNNNNNNNNNNNNNNNNNNNNNNNNNNNNNNNNNNNNNNNNNNNNNNNNNNNNNNNNNNNNNNNNNNNNNNNNNNNNNNNNNNNNNNNNNNNNNNNNNNNNNNNNNNNNNNNNNNNNNNNNNNNNNNNNNNNNNNNNNNNNNNNNNNNNNNNNNNNNNNNNNNNNNNNNNNNNNNNNNNNNNNNNNNNNNNNNNNNNNNNNNNNNNNNNNNNNNNNNNNNNNNNNNNNNNNNNNNNNNNNNNNNNNNNNNNNNNNNNNNNNNNNNNNNNNNNNNNNNNNNNNNNNNNNNNNNNNNNNNNNNNNNNNNNNNNNNNNNNNNNNNNNNNNNNNNNNNNNNNNNNNNNNNNNNNNNNNNNNNNNNNNNNNNNNNNNNNNNNNNNNNNNNNNNNNNNNNNNNNNNNNNNNNNNNNNNNNNNNNNNNNNNNNNNNNNNNNNNNNNNNNNNNNNNNNNNNNNNNNNNNNNNNNNNNNNNNNNNNNNNNNNNNNNNNNNNNNNNNNNNNNNNNNNNNNNNNNNNNNNNNNNNNNNNNNNNNNNNNNNNNNNNNNNNNNNNNNNNNNNNNNNNNNNNNNNNNNNNNNNNNNNNNNNNNNNNNNNNNNNNNNNNNNNNNNNNNNNNNNNNNNNNNNNNNNNNNNNNNNNNNNNNNNNNNNNNNNNNNNNNNNNNNNNNNNNNNNNNNNNNNNNNNNNNNNNNNNNNNNNNNNNNNNNNNNNNNNNNNNNNNNNNNNNNNNNNNNNNNNNNNNNNNNNNNNNNNNNNNNNNNNNNNNNNNNNNNNNNNNNNNNNNNNNNNNNNNNNNNNNNNNNNNNNNNNNNNNNNNNNNNNNNNNNNNNNNNNNNNNNNNNNNNNNNNNNNNNNNNNNNNNNNNNNNNNNNNNNNNNNNNNNNNNNNNNNNNNNNNNNNNNNNNNNNNNNNNNNNNNNNNNNNNNNNNNNNNNNNNNNNNNNNNNNNNNNNNNNNNNNNNNNNNNNNNNNNNNNNNNNNNNNNNNNNNNNNNNNNNNNNNNNNNNNNNNNNNNNNNNNNNNNNNNNNNNNNNNNNNNNNNNNNNNNNNNNNNNNNNNNNNNNNNNNNNNNNNNNNNNNNNNNNNNNNNNNNNNNNNNNNNNNNNNNNNNNNNNNNNNNNNNNNNNNNNNNNNNNNNNNNNNNNNNNNNNNNNNNNNNNNNNNNNNNNNNNNNNNNNNNNNNNNNNNNNNNNNNNNNNNNNNNNNNNNNNNNNNNNNNNNNNNNNNNNNNNNNNNNNNNNNNNNNNNNNNNNNNNNNNNNNNNNNNNNNNNNNNNNNNNNNNNNNNNNNNNNNNNNNNNNNNNNNNNNNNNNNNNNNNNNNNNNNNNNNNNNNNNNNNNNNNNNNNNNNNNNNNNNNNNNNNNNNNNNNNNNNNNNNNNNNNNNNNNNNNNNNNNNNNNNNNNNNNNNNNNNNNNNNNNNNNNNNNNNNNNNNNNNNNNNNNNNNNNNNNNNNNNNNNNNNNNNNNNNNNNNNNNNNNNNNNNNNNNNNNNNNNNNNNNNNNNNNNNNNNNNNNNNNNNNNNNNNNNNNNNNNNNNNNNNNNNNNNNNNNNNNNNNNNNNNNNNNNNNNNNNNNNNNNNNNNNNNNNNNNNNNNNNNNNNNNNNNNNNNNNNNNNNNNNNNNNNNNNNNNNNNNNNNNNNNNNNNNNNNNNNNNNNNNNNNNNNNNNNNNNNNNNNNNNNNNNNNNNNNNNNNNNNNNNNNNNNNNNNNNNNNNNNNNNNNNNNNNNNNNNNNNNNNNNNNNNNNNNNNNNNNNNNNNNNNNNNNNNNNNNNNNNNNNNNNNNNNNNNNNNNNNNNNNNNNNNNNNNNNNNNNNNNNNNNNNNNNNNNNNNNNNNNNNNNNNNNNNNNNNNNNNNNNNNNNNNNNNNNNNNNNNNNNNNNNNNNNNNNNNNNNNNNNNNNNNNNNNNNNNNNNNNNNNNNNNNNNNNNNNNNNNNNNNNNNNNNNNNNNNNNNNNNNNNNNNNNNNNNNNNNNNNNNNNNNNNNNNNNNNNNNNNNNNNNNNNNNNNNNNNNNNNNNNNNNNNNNNNNNNNNNNNNNNNNNNNNNNNNNNNNNNNNNNNNNNNNNNNNNNNNNNNNNNNNNNNNNNNNNNNNNNNNNNNNNNNNNNNNNNNNNNNNNNNNNNNNNNNNNNNNNNNNNNNNNNNNNNNNNNNNNNNNNNNNNNNNNNNNNNNNNNNNNNNNNNNNNNNNNNNNNNNNNNNNNNNNNNNNNNNNNNNNNNNNNNNNNNNNNNNNNNNNNNNNNNNNNNNNNNNNNNNNNNNNNNNNNNNNNNNNNNNNNNNNNNNNNNNNNNNNNNNNNNNNNNNNNNNNNNNNNNNNNNNNNNNNNNNNNNNNNNNNNNNNNNNNNNNNNNNNNNNNNNNNNNNNNNNNNNNNNNNNNNNNNNNNNNNNNNNNNNNNNNNNNNNNNNNNNNNNNNNNNNNNNNNNNNNNNNNNNNNNNNNNNNNNNNNNNNNNNNNNNNNNNNNNNNNNNNNNNNNNNNNNNNNNNNNNNNNNNNNNNNNNNNNNNNNNNNNNNNNNNNNNNNNNNNNNNNNNNNNNNNNNNNNNNNNNNNNNNNNNNNNNNNNNNNNNNNNNNNNNNNNNNNNNNNNNNNNNNNNNNNNNNNNNNNNNNNNNNNNNNNNNNNNNNNNNNNNNNNNNNNNNNNNNNNNNNNNNNNNNNNNNNNNNNNNNNNNNNNNNNNNNNNNNNNNNNNNNNNNNNNNNNNNNNNNNNNNNNNNNNNNNNNNNNNNNNNNNNNNNNNNNNNNNNNNNNNNNNNNNNNNNNNNNNNNNNNNNNNNNNNNNNNNNNNNNNNNNNNNNNNNNNNNNNNNNNNNNNNNNNNNNNNNNNNNNNNNNNNNNNNNNNNNNNNNNNNNNCUUCGGACUCUCCGCCCGCGGUGUGCUGCGCCCGUAAACGGCACCGGCGGAACUCACCUACCACCCUGCCACGCGUCGAAGCAAGCGAUAUUUACGAGGUGAAAUUUCCGGACCCACUUCUGGGCGCCCGGAACAUGGGAUCCGAAUUGGCUUCCAGUUUUAGUUAAAUUCAACACUCGUUUCUGGGCGACCCUAAACAUUUUCUGGGCGCCCGAAUCUGGCAAAACUCCAGUUUUGCUUAUUUGAGUGCGCCGAGUCCAAUUCUGCAUCCAAUUCGUGCAGAAUUGACUCCGACUCAGUCCGACACUCUCCAGAGAUGUCGACCAGUCUAAAAUACUGAAGCCAAUCCUAUCCAAAGCUCAGGAACACUACAAUUCAAAUGUCGGCUUACCGAGGGCAAAAUAUAUCUUAUAGAAAAGUUUAGUGUUAUUCCAAGCAAGAAAAAGUUUGUUGCCGUCUAUAUGAUUCAGAUAAAUAGGUGGACAUCUAUAACUGUCACACCCCGAAACCCGCCUAUUUGGUCGGUUUGGACACGCCAACAUACUGCCGAAAGGAUGUUGGGAUCAAAAAAAUUUUAAAAUUUAAAAUUCAAAUUAAAAAUAUAGAAGGUAAUAAAAUAAAUGGGGAAUGAUUAUGCUUGCCUUAGAUGACCAACUAUUAAAAGGAAAAGAUAUAAAAUAUAUUAUUGCCUUAUUUUCAAAAUUUUUUGAAUUAUUUCCCAAAUUGAAGAGGUCCUAGAACCACUAUAAAUUUGACCAUGGGAUUCAAAAAAUGGAUCUUUUGGGGGGAUUGAGAAAAAAAAAAAAAAAAAAAAAGAAAAAAGUGGGCAACAGGAGGGGCCCGCCUCUCCCUCUCUCUGGUUCGGAGAGAGAGAGAGGGGUUGGGUCCCCUCUCUCAGAUCAAAGAAAAAAAGGAGGAAAAGAAAAAAAUAAAAAAAAAGGAAAAAAAAGAAAGCAAAAAAAAAAAAAACCAGAGAGAAUGAAGGAUCGACGAUAGCGGCGGCGGCUAUGACGACUUCGACGACGACAACGACGUGCGAGGAGGCCUCAUGACCUCCUCUUUCUUCUUCUUCUCUGACAACGGCGGAUUGGUGUAUACGUGCAAACGUAUAGUAGCGAUUUAUUUGUCGGCUUGAUCAACUCGACCGUCUUCAUGAUAGGUCGACCCGAUCAAAUCUGACAUUGGAUCGUUACUGUAUCAUGCGUGCGUAUUCACUAAACGUCCGUCUCCCCAACAUCGACGAAAGAUCUACACGAGCGUGCAAAUGACGUGACGACGAAUCUCCAACCGAUUUCAUUGUGCGACCGUCUUCGUGAUAGGCUCGACACGCUCAAAUCUCAAAAAAAAAUAAUGAUAAUAUAAUAAAAUAAAAUAAAAUGAUAAAAUAAAUAUUUAUCUUAGAUCACUGUCUUCGUGAUAGGCUAGGUCUAAUUUGACAUAAACCGGGUCGCCGUCUUCGUGAUAGGCUAGAUCCAAUUUGACAUAAACCGGGUCGCCGUCUUCAUGAUAGGCUUGACCCGGGUUCGGUUCAUUAAACUGGGUCAUCAUCUUCGCGAUAGGCUUGACCCUGGUUCGGUUCAUUAAACUGGGUCAUCAUCUUCACGAUAGGCUUGACCCGGGUUUGGUUAAUUAAACUGGGUCGCCGUCUUCGAGAUUGGCUUGACCCAGGUUCGGUUGAUUAAACCGGGUCGCCGUCUUCGUGAUAGGCUUGACCCGAGUUUGAUUCAUUAAACCGGGUCGCCGUCUUCGUGAUAGGCUUGACCCGGGUUCGGUUCAUUAAACUGGGUCGCCGUCUUCGUAAUAGGCUUGAGCCNUUCGGUUCAUUAAACUGGGUCGCCGUCUUCGUAAUAGGCUUGAGCCGAGUUCGGUUCAUUAAACCGGGUCGCCGUCUUCGUGAUAGGCUUGACCCAGGUUCGGUUCAUUAAACCGGGUCGCCAUCUUCGUGAUAGGCUUGACCCGGGUUCGGUUCAUUAAACCGGGUCGCCGUCUUCGUGAUAGGCUUGAAAUACUUGAUUUGAACCAAGCGCAACAUAAUCAUGAGUUCAAUUUGAACUUAUAAAAAAUAGAGAAAAUAAAUAAGUUGGAGCCAAGCCUAAAUCAAACCGGCUUGGAUAUAUAUUCAAACCAAACCAAACCCAAGUCAACAACGGGUCUACCAAUCAUGGAUCAAAAAAAAAAACUAAAACCAAGUUGGUGAACCAAGUCUAAAAUGGUGAACCAAACUCAUAAGGGUGGACCAAACCCAAGUGUUAAACCACGUGUAUAGCAUUGAACCAAACUCGCAACAGUGAACAAAACCCAAAACGAUGAACCGAAUUGACUCAUAAGCUGGUUCAACUUAAAUCGAACUAAGACUCAAGAGGUUUGAACCAAACCAAAUAAUGAACCAGUUCGACCUAAACCGAACUACAAGUUGGUUCAACUCAAACUGAACCACAUGAGGAUCGAAUAGACCAAACCACGAGUCAGUUCAAAUUGAACUGAACCACAAAAGCGUUCCAAGUCCAGCCGAACCAAAGCAUAUACUGGGUUCAACUCAAACAAAAGCAUAAGAGGUUUGAUCCAAGCCAAGUCGAAUCAAUUACAAGUCGGUUCAACCUAAACCGAACCAUAAAGGAUUCGACUUGAACCAAAGUGAAUCCGAUCUGAACUGAACCGAAUCGGAUCCAGUCUAAACUGAACCAUAAAAGAUUCGACUUGAACCAAAGUGAAUCCGAUCUGAACUGAACUGAACCAGAUCCUGUCUGAAUCGAACCAUAAAGGAUCUGACUCGAACCAAAGUGGGUCUAAUCCGAGCCGAACAGGAUUCAACUCGAACCGAAGUGGAUCCGACUUGAACCAAACCAUUAAGGAUUCGACUUGAACGGAAGUGGAUCCAACUUGAACCAAACCAAAAAGGAUUUAACUGAACCACAAAGGAUUCAACUCAAACCGAAGUGAGUCCAACCCGAACCGAAUCAUGCAGGAUUCAACUCGAACCGAAGUAGGUCCGAUCUGAACUGAACCACAAAGGAUUCAACUUGAACCGAAGUGAGUCCAAUCCGAACCGGAUUCGAAUCGAACCAGAUCCUGUCUGAACCGAAUCAUAGAAGAUUCAACUCGAACCAAAGUGGAUCCGGUCUGAACCAAAUCAUAAGUGAUUUGACUUGAAUCGAAGUGGAUUUGAUUCGAACUGAACCGAACCGGCUCCGGUCUGAACCAAAUCCUAAAGGAUUCGACUUAAACCUAAAUGGAUCCAAAUCGAUUCGAACCAUAAAGGAUUCGACUUGAACCGAAGCGGAUCCAAUCCGAACUGAACCGAAUCCGGUCUGAACCAAAUCAUAAAAGAUUCAACUUGAACCGAAGUGGAUCCAAUCGGAACCAAACCAUGAAGGAUUCGACUUGAACCGAAGUGGAUCCGAUCCAAAUCGAACUUGAAGGAAUUCGACUUGAACCGAAGUGGAUCCGAUCUGAACAGAACCAUAAAGGAUUCAACUCGAGUCGAAAUGGGUUCAACCCGAACCAAACCAUAAAGAAUUUGACUUGAUCCAAAGGUCUCGGGGCGUGACACUAUGAAAUCCUAGAAAAUCCAUGUCUUGGGUGUUUUGUUUGAACCCUAAGUGGAAAUUGGGAAUUUGUUAUAUAUGAGAUUUAACUUAGGUUUGAUCUCUUGUAACCCCAAUUGGAGUAGAAAUCGAUGCGUUGGAAGACUCGGACUGAGAUUCCGACAAGUCUACGCCAAGUUAUUGAGAAAAUACCUCAUUUCGGCUUCGUUUGUCGCGGAGCGAGAGGAGUGACCAUUCAUAAAUCGCGGGAAGUGGUUUUCUCACAUUCCGGCAUCACUUAGAGGUGGGUGGUGCUAUCCGAAGUUAUCGAAUGCCUUAUUAUGUCUAGUCUUCUCUUUGAGCAUAGUGUAUAUGUGUAGUGAACUGAUGCAUUAUAGGGUAAGUAUGAUAUGUGGAUCAGUGGUAGCAUUCUUCUAUACUUGGUACAUGUGGAUAAUGCAUGAUAAACUUGAACCCUAUAGAUGUAUGAAAUGUGGUAUUAUGACACUAGUGAACAAGUGGCAUUAUGACUAGACAAUUUGGGAAACUCUAAGUAGUGUGAAUGAUAAACAAGGAAAAUGAACUUGUGACAUAAUGACAUUAUCAUGAGAUAAAUUGAUUAGCAUCUAGAGUGGACAUGCUAAACAUAGAGUUGUGGCAUUGUAUCCUCCAAGUGAGGAUUGGAACGUACUCACAAGUAGUCUAAUGCUCGAGGUAGGUCACUCCACUUUGGGCGGUGAGCUCCGGAGUUGUCAUCAACUGGGUUGGUAGUGGAAUUCUCGCCAGUAGACGGUCCCGUCGGGUCGUAGCGGAAUCCUCCCCAACAAAAGGGUUUGGUUGGUGAGUUGUAGUUAACCAAAUGGUUAACCAAGUUAAUUGGGUAAUGGUAACAAUGGCAUGCAUGCAUAAACUUCAUGAGUUAUAUGUUAUUCUUUCCAGCUUUGUAUAGGCAUCGUAGUAGAUAUAGUUGGUUACUAUCUGUUAUAUUUUCUUGCCUACAUAUGCCUGAGUAGACCUAGUGCGUGAGUCGGCAAGGUCGGCAGCCGAACCCACUGGGAACUUUCAUUAGUUCUCACACCACUAACCUUGCAGAUUCUAGAGCGAGCGGGGCGAUCGAGGAUCAGGGCACACUACAACAAAAUUGGGUUAUAGGGACAUAUAUUUGGGACACUUUUGUGUAAGUGUCCUAUUUAUACCAAAACUUUAAAAAAAAAUCACUAAUGCCUAAAUAUAAAGCUCAAUCUAACCAAAAAUAAAAUGUUACUCUACUCAAGCCACCCCACCUAGCACAUUCGGCCCGAUUACAAACAGAAAAGAAAAAAAAAGAAAAAUCGAUUAUCAUUUUCCAUUCUCACCUCACUCAAUCCACUGAAAUUCUAGACGAAGAGCCCUUCCCUCUCCUCCUCUUCCACCACCGUGCGCAGCCAACGAGAUAGAGUUUCGGCGAUUGAUAAAUGUUUAAAUAAGUGUUAGUAAAUUAGCAGCACUCUUUUUAGAUUAUACCGACACUUUUAACUGUCACUAUAUACCUAGCGACCCCAUAUAUAGCAACACUUUUUAAAAGUGUCAGUAAUUUAGCGAGCAGCACUUUUUUUUACCUGUACCAAUAUUUAAAAGUGUCGCUAUACACCGUUUUUGUUGUAGUGGCAAGGAUAUCGCGCCCUAGAUAGCGGGCCUCCUUCGAGUAUAGCAUGCACCCGGGUUAUGAUCAUUUUGUAUUAUGAUGGAAGUACUAUGUAAAUGAACAUCAUGUAUGUAGUUGGAAACCUAUGGUGUAAUUUUGGAUAAUGGAUGUAAUAUAUGAAACUUGUAUUUGGUUUCUUUUUGGCAUUGGAUAAUGUAUGUUUAGUUAGAAUUACUUUCACUUUUGUUGUUGUUGUAUUGCUUGGCCUCGUGCAAGCCAUGUAUAAUGGAAUUUAUUCUAGGCAAAUUUAUUAUACAUGUACCUUGGUUGUUGAGCCAUAGGCGGAUAGAGGAGGUUCUGUCUAUUCGGCGUUUGUUUGACGUGCUCGAACCGAUCAAAUUGACGGUCACGAGGCAUGACAGAUUCGUUGCAAAUUUACACUCUUGGGGCAUAAUAGAACAAUCUAAUAAGGUUUUACUCUUUACUCGAUCGAAUGGGAACAUGUAUUUGCUCCAAAUUUAUACUGUUAGGGAGCAUAAGAAUAGUCUAUUGAUAUUCCAGUUUCAGUUCAUUUGAAUGUGGACAUCGAUUUGUAACAAAUUUACACUCUUGGGGCAAAAUAAAACAAUCCAAAUAGGUUUUACUCUUUGUUUGAUUGAAUGAAAACAUAUAUUCGUUGCAAAUUUAUAGUGUCACGCCCCGAAUUCCUCGUUUCCCCGGGAAUACUAACAGACCCGCCGUAUACAUAGGAAUUUUCUCUGUAUACGAAGCGAAGCUGAACAUAUACCUAAAAUCAUACAACACUACAACCAGCAAUAUAGAGCUGCUAGAAAGAAAUAAACAUAAUUAAAAGCAAAAGUUCACUACACAUAUAUAACAUCCAGGUGUACAAAACGCUCGCUCUAGCGAGAUACAACAUAAGUAUGUAUAAGAACUCAAAACAACCACCACCUGUAGCUGAUACUCCUCUAGCUCAGCAACUCAACAGGAAGGGUUCUAACUCGCAACACCCUUUCCGUGAUCAGAAUCAGCAGGAGCAGCAGCCGUAACCGAAGUCUCUGCAAAAGAGGGGUAACAAAUGGGCAUGAGAACUACUGCAAAAACAAGUAGUCCUCAGUGGGUACCGCCCUUGUCACGCCCGGGUACCAGCGGAAGCAUAUCCGGCACGUGCACAGACCCGCCAUACACCUGCAGUAUAUAAGGCGUCUACAAGCAACAAGUCGAUAGGAAGUAAAACAAAGAAAGUCCUAUCCUGAUAUCAGAGCAAAGUACAAGUCGAUAUACAACGAGUAUCCAAUCCAAGUCAAAAUACAAAGAGUAUACAAUCCACGAUCUCAGCAAAAAGGAGAAGUAACAUCACUAUAAUCUCAACCCCGAAAGUAAAAUAUACAUCAUAGGUAUACAAAAGGAAUAGGUACAACGGUGGUCUCUCUAUACAUAGGGACAUCACCCUCGGCCGUAGCCCGAGUAGCAAGGUGAUCGACUAGCACGCUCCUAGUAGUCCCUAGCUAGGCGCGACUCCCUUGCCACGAUCCCUAGCCUCUCCUGUAACAGGCUCUGUAAAAACAACCACCAAAAGGGCGUGAGAACUAUUAACAAUAGUUCCCAGUGGGUAAGCCGCCAGCCUCGGCGAAUUACACCACUAGGCUCAUGAUGUACUAAUUGAAAGCAAAAACGAUAAUUGCAUGAUUUAUAAGCAUGAUGCUAACAAGUAAUGAGCAUGUAAUCAACAUGUAAUAGCAUUCUACAGUAAUGAAUCAUUUGCAUAAUAGGGAUAUGGCAAUUUCUGUAAUCAUGAACAUAGACAUGAAUAAUAGCAUGAACAUGAAAGUGACUACUGCACACUUUAAUUAAUAAACAUUCAUUACUGUCCUGUUUUCAUUAAGUACUAUCCUUUCAUUCACAGGGACCUACCCAAGGUAGUCCAGCUUGCGCCGCGCCUAAUGGCCCCGUGGUAGUAUACACUCCCCACGGCAAUCCACUUCGGCACCCAAUCCCGCACGGGCGAGCAACUGUCGCGUAGGCCAACUCCGGAGUGCCGGCUUGUAGGGAGCUACCCUCACAAGCGUGUGCGAAUGAGCACGAUGGCAAGCAAGCAAAGUCCAUUGUCCACAUAUCCCAAUAUUCAUAUUUUCAUUUACAAAGUUCUUACCCUCGAUCCUCUGAUCGGAAUGUCAAUACACAAAUAGGAACAAAAGCUAGUAUCCACUAGACUGUAAACAUGUAAUGGUAAAGCUAAAUCACAUAGCAUUAUAAUCUUUCCACUAGUAUGGCGCUAUCAACAUAGUCACGAGCAUAUCAUCGUUCUCUACGUUAGAGUCAAGAGAAUAUCAUUGUUCUCUACUUUAAAGUGCAUCCUACACUUGUUCAUAAGUCAUUCAACUGAAUUGAAUAUAAAUAGAAAUACUUUCAUGUAUAAGUGUUCUCUAUAUCAUAGAAACAUAAUAAACUGAUCUCUUGAUUGUUCUACUGAACUAAACAAAAAUACUUGAAUGCAUGAGUACUUUUAUGCAUGAACGCUCAUUCACAUAUGAUAAACGUCAUGAUGACGAGUUCCAAGCCUUUUAACAAUUACAUAGGCAUACAACUAGGCCACUUCUAUAAUACAUAUAGAACAUAGGGGAGCUUCACUUGCUCUGGUUAGGUCAAACCCACCUAGUACUAGGCUCCAAUUAUCCACAAGAAGUCCCACAACGGCUCAACGAAGCCCCAAUGCUGCUGAAAACCAAACGUCAAGAUCGGAUUAAAUCUACGGCCGAAAUGUCCAAUUUCGACCUAAAUUCCACUUAGUACAAAGUAACUCUUUAAAUCCCUGUUUUGGGACUAGUGUAAUACCUCAAGAGAUGUCUCCAAGAGCUCUCACAAGUCAACGAACGAUGAUCCAAGGCUCAGUCGCACUCUUGCUGCGAGCAAAAUCAAAACAGCAUCAAACUUGUCAUAUAUUAGCAACUUUAGUCGGAAUCUUGCAAUUUCAGCUUUCUAACUGAAAUUCUUGCUUACCUUAGGUUAGAGUACCUUCUAAACCAGCCUCCCAGGUCACUAAAAUAGCUUAAUAUGAUUCGCAAACCUGCUGCGAAGAAAAAACGCAAACUAUAUCAAGUUGCGGCAAAAACUCGCGUUUAAUUCCAAAUUCACUUCAUAAUGAACUAGGUUACACAAUCAAGCUUUAAAAUAGCUGAUCCCUGAUCUAAGGAGGUUCAUUCACAGCUAAUUAUCUCAUUUUAAUUGCUGAAAUCUCAGCCUAGCACAGCAAUAAGCAAAAACCCGAAAUUAUUACUCAAAUCGUCGAAUAGAACGUCGAUAACGGCGAAAGUGAGUCGCUUACCUUCUCAAGCUGCCAACCAGUGACCUGCUGGUCCAGGGCUGCGAAAACCCGUCCAAAAUACUCUCUCACACGUCCACGUAAGCUCUGCGACGCUCGCAAACAGCGAAGAACGCACGCGGCGACGAAAACAAGCGAAAUCGGCGAAUUCGACGUAGAGAGAGAAAAACCCUAGAGAGAGAAAGAGAAAAAUGGUGAAAAACCCUCCUCUGAUCUCAAAACCCUUCCACAGAGCUCCUGGAGUCGUGCUGGGGGUUAUAGAUAGGGAUCAAAAUGUGAAAUUACCAAAAUACCCAAGCUGCCACGUUUCUGCAUUGUGUACCGGUACACCAUAAUGGCUGUACCGGUACACCAAGCAGAAAAGGCUGAUUUCGCCCAAUCAAUGCACUUUCUCACUUUUAGCCAUCCAAUCACUCUCAAACUUGUCCAAAAACUUGUCUAAGUCCUUUAGAACAAGUAGGAUAGUUCCACAACUCAUUCCACACACUCGGACUCCGCAAUUUGCUAGAGUCAGUGUAUUACAUUUCACCCCUCCUCCAGAGUGGCACUCGUGGGCGCUACCCAACCGAGUAUGCAAGCGUGCAUCUGUCGAGCUCAAUCAGGCUCUCAUAGGCUAUAAUCAAGUAAACAGGGUUAAACAGGUCUAACAACCCAAACACACGUGCCAUCGGCACAAUCUGCUGCAAAAACAGUAAUCCGGGUCCACCGUCAACCCCAACGGCACCCCACAGUCCGGAACAGUCUAAACACUGCUAUAAAGAUAAGCUCAGCACCCCAGCACAAGCGUAAAUACAUUCUACCCUAUCCUGGGUAUCCACCGUCCACAACCUGCGGCGAUACCAACAACUACGGCUCCUAAAGCUAAAUCUGGUAGUUUAAGCAUGUGACAGGGUAGAAUCGCUGGUUUUCUCCUAAGUCAAUUCCAAGUCCAACAUGUAUAAUUUAUUUAACUCUCUUCAGCAUGCUUCAAAUUCAGAUUUUAUUUUACAUGCUAAUCGAUGAAUUCGAAGUAACAACAUAGUAUACAAAGGUUGAAAAAUACACAGAUCGACUAUGCAUAUGCUUAGGAGGAACAACCGAUGAUUAACCCACCUUGACACUAGCCCGAUGACGGUCCGAGCCUCUAGAAAUCCUGUCGAGGUCAACCGAGAUCACCCAGGUGCAGUAACAUAGAUACUCCAAAGCUCUAAACACCAAAAAUAUCAUAAUUCCAUCAAUCUUAUACACUUCAGCACAUAAGCUUAAAUUUUGCUCAAUUACAAUGCCAAUUUCACCUUCCAAUCUCCAAUUCAGGUGAGAAAAGAUCCCAAAAGCAGUGUACAAUGAUGGAAUAACAUCCUCUGGUUCAAAUCCAACUUCCUCCCAAGUUCUAAACACAAAAAGAUCAAAAUUGCAUCAAUAACCCCAAAAUUUAGCACUUAAGCUAGAUUUCCCUCAAUUUCAAUGUCAACUUACCUUCAAAUGCUCAAAUUAGAUGAGGGAAGGCUCCAAAACCAGUGGAGAAUGAUAGCACACUAGAAUCAGGUCGCAAUUCCAGUUCCCUCCAAGAAUUUAUCCAUGAAAACCCCAAAAAUACCAAUUUCAGCUCAAAAACCAUAGCAGCUGAGUAGAACAGCAAAUUGACUAUACUAACCUCAAUCAAUUUCUGUCAAAUUUUCUCCACGAAUUCUCCAAGAAGUCAGCUAACCACCAAACCAAGUUUCACAGCAAUCCGACCUUUCUACGUCGCACACGAGCCAAAACACCAAAGGUCGCUGCUGGAAUUCUGCUACAACUAUAGUCUUCAAGGUGGAAAGUAUGCAAAUUGUGGAAUUUGGAGUGAUUAGAGAGGCUAAACUGCAAUUUCGAGCUUCUCUGUGAAGGAUUGAAAGUACUUACUGGGGUCGAAUACAAUCUAUUUAUAUGGAGUUAGAAUGGUCCAAUAAACCCCAGGAACAAAAGCUGCUAACCUGCACUAUUGCAGAAAAACUCAAGAUUUGGGCGCCCUAAAUCCAGUUCUGGGCGCCCAGAACUUCCAGCCGGACAAAUAGUUCCUCGGUUCCUCCGUCCGACGGUCUGCUACACCGCUAUCCGGUUCCGGCGGAUCCCAUCUACCACACCCACGUGUCAACACAAUCGAUAUUCACAAUGUAAAUUUUCGGAUCUAAUUUUCAGGCGCCCUAAACAGGGUCCGAAAUGGCUGCAGUAUCUAAUACAAAACAACACUCAAGAUCUGGGCGCCCUAAACCCAUUUCUGGGCGCCCUAAACUGGCAAAACUCCAGUUUUGCUUAUUUGAGUGCGCCAAGUCCAUUUCUGCAUUCAUUUCAUGCAAAAACGACUCCGACUCAGUCCGACACUCUCCAGAUGUGUCGACUAGUCACUGAUACUGUAGUCAUUCUGUCAAUUAAACCCUAGGGACACUAUAUAUAGUGUUAGGGCGCUGUAGAAUAGUCUAUUGAUAUUCUAGUUUCAGUUCAUUUGAACGUGGACAUUGAUUUGUAGCAAAUUUACACUCUUGGGGCAUAAUAGAACAAUCUAAUGAUGUUUUACUCUUUGUUCGAUUGAAUGAGAAUAUGUAUUCGUUGCAAAUUUAUACUGUUAGGGCAUGGUAGAAUAGUCUAAUGAGGUUCCAGUUUCGGUAUUUUUGAACGAGGACAUCGAUUCAUUGCAAAUUUACACUCUUAGGGCAUAAUAGAACAAUCUAAUGAGGUUUUACUCUUUGUUAUAUUAAAUGAGAACAUGUUCUUUGCAAAUUUAUACUGUUAGGGCGCAAUAGAAUACUCUAAUGAGGUUCCAGUUUUGGUUCUUUUGAACGUGGACAUCGACUCGUUGCAAAUUUACACUCUUGGGACAUAAUAUAUAGAACAAUCUAAUGAGCUUUUACUCUUUGUUCGAUUGAAUGAGAACAUAUAUUCGUUGCAAAUUUAUACAUUUAGGGCGCAGGAGAAUAGUCUAAUGAGGUUCCAGUUUCAGUUCAUUUGAACGUGAACAUCGAUUCGUUACAAAUUUACACUCUUAGGGCAUAAUAAAACAAUCUAAUGAGGUUUACUCUUUGUUCGAUCAAAUGAGAACAUGUAUCCGUUGCAAAUUUAUACUGUUAGGGCGCAAGAGAAUAGUCUAAUGGGAUUCCAGUUUCGGUUCAUUUGAACGUGGACAUCGAUUCGUUGCAAAUGUACGGUAUAAUAGAGUAGUAUUAUGAGAUUGCAAGCUUUAUUCAUUCGAAUGUGAAUAGGUAUUUGUUGCAAAUUUACUUUUUUAGAAUAUAAUAGAAUAGUCUAAUAAGUAUCAAUCUUUGUUCAACUGAACGUGGACAGGUAUUCAUAGCAAAUUUGCACUAUUCGAAUAUAAUAAAACAAUUUUAUGUGGUUUUGAUCUUUGUUCAUUUGAAUGUGAAUAUAUAAUCUUUACAAAUUUACUCUCUUAUAAGGGUAUAAUAGAACAGUCUUGUAAGAUUGUAAUCUUUGUUCGUUUGAAUGUGAAUAACAUCUCUUACACGUUGACACGCAAGGAACGGAGCUGGUUGCUGAGGGCACCGCCAUGGAGUAUAUUGAUCAGAUGCAUGACAUUGAGCCUAUACAUCCUGAGAUGGAGCAUGAUAUGUAUAUUCGAGGAUGGGGUCGAGGAUGCGGACGUGAACGUGGACGUGGCAGGGACGAGGGCGAGAGCAUAGGAGGGGUAUGGAGAGGACUUGAUUUUUUUAGGAUUCUUUAGAUUUUCAUGUAUAUUUGAUGUUUCUAUCUUUUGUACAUGAAUUUUUCAUAUAUCUAAAUUUAUUUAUAUUAAAGUGUGUUGACAUUGGUAUAGUUCACUCUAUGUGCUUAAAGUGUGGUUGAGAUUAGUAUGGUUGAAUUUAUGUACUUGUUAUUGUGAUUGAAAUGCUUGAAAAUUUUAUUAUUUUGUAAAAUGUGAAAAAUGUGGCUGCUGCUGUGGUAUAGUAAACAACUAAAUAUGGUGAACCAUUCACCAUAUCUAAAUCCACAUCUAAAUGUGAUGAACCAUUCACCGUUUUUAACGGCACUGAAUGAUUCACUAAUUUUAAAUGCACUGAAUGGUUCACCACAUUUAAUAUUUACGAGACAACUUAAUGUAUACCAAAUGCGUUUACUGUAUUUAGACUUAACAGAUGGUGAACUAUUCACCGCUUAUAUAAAGCCAGUGAAUGAUUCACCGUCUUCUUGACAUUUUUACAUUUUUCUAGAGGUGAACCAUGUAGCGCUUUUACCUGAAAGCGGCGAAUGAUUCACCGCCUCUAUGUGUUUUCGCCAACUCAUCACUGCCCGCAUGUCAUCUCCGAACAUAUUUUUACAAACAUAAGUUUCAGAUGUCUAAUUUAAAAUAAACUUUUUGGACAAUUUUAGUAGGCUAAAAACACUAGAUUCAGUGAUCAGUCCUUCUACAAGUAACCAACAAGGGGGGCAAUUGUCGAUAUUGAAAGUAAGUACGGAAAGAAAAACAAGUAUAGUGAGGACCCAUGGAGUACCAAAAAUGAAGGAGAGGACCCAUGGGGCCAAAAAGGGUUUCGACAUGAAGAGUAAACUCUGACGGUAUGCUAUGCGGAAGGAUGCUUUAACGACGUGCCUUGCAGUCCUGUUUUGGCUAGUAAGAGCUUGGCCCAUUUGAAUUAGACUGAUUCAAAAUUCGAAAUUUGAAUGGUGCUGCCAAAGGCGCGCCUACCAAAAAAUGGCACACCUACAGUAAAAGGAGUUGAACAUCAUCAACCUACACACCAAUCUAUCACAGGCACGGCCUGUUUUAUCGUGGUAGGCACUAUCUAACCUAGAAGCAGCUGUAACCUAAUUUCCGCCGCUCCUCAACCACGGACGACUUCGCCCUCGACUACCAUUCAGAUCAUCGUCGGACCUCCUCGUCCUCACUAUCGAGAACGCACGCCCACAUGCCAUGCAUCUCCAUUAGGGCGGACAGAUCAUUUUGAGGACUGCUCUUGCACUGCUGCCCCCGCAUCAACACUUCAACCUGAACAGCGACAGCCCAAGUACCAGGCCAGGCCGUCGUCAGCUUGUUCGUGUGAAAACCUCUGAGGCCUUUUCCUCAAGCUCGACCCCGACCUCUGGUCCGCGCCUAACACCAUGUCAGCUCGCUACUUUCACACAGAGGGACCUUACCUGUCAGCUGGCAGCCAGAGUUGCACCACUGUACGGAGGACUUGCAAUGUGCUCGAGCGCGGCCGUGCCUGCCGGAAACGACGAUGGUAGGCCGCAAUGCUGCUGCCACAGAACAGAACGGACGAGGCUGGCCAGAAGCCCCCAGCCUCCAAAGGUUAUCAUCGAGCACCAGAAGACCCCCUCCCAUUUUUUUCGGAAAAUAAUAAAUAAAAUUAUGUACAGGUACCUACUUUUAUAUUGGGUAGGACAGUAUUCAACGAUUACCGUAACAGACAAUAGUGAGUUCAUCAACUUAUGUGCGGUUUCAUUUGCAUGUGAUACUUUAAGUGCUAAAGAAAAAUGUUAAAGGGUUAAAAAAAAGAAAAAAAAAAAAAAGAAAAAACAAGAAGAAAGAAUAAACUAAUGCCGCACAAAUUGUUCUCCAAGGUUUCACAAAGCAUAACUAACUUGGAUACAAGCAUGUCCGAGGUAUUACGCUUGUCGCUCACCGCGAAAAAGGCAGCAAUUCUUAAAUUCCGUUGAACUAAGUGAAUGUGGUGGGAGUUUAUACAGAUUAACUCAUUAUUCGAACCGAGGUACAUCUAAGCAUUAUUGGUAAGCUAGAGAUUUAAAGAGGCCGAGUUCAGUAUGCAGCACAUUGCAGCAGAGCAUUUCUAAGCACUUAGUGAUGAAUCAAAGAAAAUUCAUAUUUAUGCAAAGAUUCGGACACCGUCAAAGAGUGAAUCCUUAGCAAUCUGACUGACUAGUGCCUGAAAAAGAAAAAAAAAAUCAUCCUGCAGUCAUUUUGCAAAAAUCUUUGAAUAAUAAUGAAAAAUCCUGCAAAUAUCUUUGAAUAAUAAUGAAAAAUCAGAUAUUGGAAAGUGAAUAGAUUAUUUUAAUCAAAGUAGAAAGACAGUAAAAAAACAAGCUGUAGGUAUGAUAGCAAGAGGUGUGCAACUUGAACUUUGAAGAAGGUUUUAGGAGUUGUGAAACAAUCCUCUCUAUGGAGAGCUGAGAUUGACGGGAAAAAACCCAUAAAAAUUUGCAAAUUCCACAGCUGAAGCCUCUCCAGACAGCUGUAACAGGUACCAACUCAAGAAAGGAGGGGGAGAAAAAAACAAAACUCUCUCUGAGUAUUUUGUGUACCAGAAGUUGUAUGGAUUUCUUGAUAUCAUUGUGUUACUCCUUUCCAGUUUAUUUUCCUUAACUUCUGACCCCGUAAGCCAUUCCAAAAAUCACGAGCAGUCAUAACCUUCUUUCCUGGAAGCUGCAGCUCGAGGACCUAGUAGUUAAUAGCGUCAGAAUCACUGAGUAAAUCAAAAAAAAAAAAAAAAAUCUCCAGAAAAUAAAUUGAAAAUAAAUACAAGUUAAAAUGGAAAGAGCACCUCAAGCCAUGACUCCCCAGCACAUGGAAUCAGCAAUGCACUCCCAGAAAAGAGGAUCUCAUUUCCAUCACUUGCUUUAUUGCAAGCAUUACUACACACCCCUGAGGUGAUUAUCUUAAUCUCCAGCUCAUUAUGAUAGCCAACAUUAUUCACGACUUCUACUCUUGCCCGAGUUCCAGGCCAACCUGCAAAUGCUCGUACCUACAUGAUUUGGCUUGUAAUUUUCUUUUGGAAAUAUGCUAACCAGCUUGAAAUUUACCUUGUUAUGUAUCCGUUUAGCUUCUUCAUCGAAUGAGAGCCAUGACUCCUCGGAGGUCAACUGAAAUAAUGAAGAGGGUUCUUUUAAAUGAAACUUGGGCAAAAUUAUUAGAAAUAUCCAACACUGAAACAGCAUGGAACUCGUAAAAAAAAAUUAUUUUGGCCUAGUCAACAUUUGCCAAGCUACAAGGUCUUUCAUUUUAUUAAAAACUUUCUUUAACGGCCUCAGGUCAGGUUUUCUGUCCGCAUAGAGUCUAUGUGAAACUUUCAAUCUAUUAAUGAGUCUGAAAUAGUACCAUAGCAUCAAAUGUCCAAUAAAGGUCGGCAUUUCAACUCUACCAAAGCCCAAUUUCACGAUUCAUUUUCGAAAGCACCCAAUUUUAUACUUCGAAAGGUGCAAAAAGUCCAAACGCACUUUCCAACCUAACUCUGUUUAUGCCAUAAAAUUGUGGCGGCAACCACCACCGGAGAGGCAGUGGCGGUUGCCACCACAAUUUUAUAGCACAAAUGGAGGGAAGAUUGAAAACGCUUUUGGAAACUUUUGUUUUUUUUUCACCUACUAAAGUAUAAAAUUAAGUGCUUGCAGAAGCGCUAUCUAACUAGGCCUAAUACUGUCUGAAGAUUAAUCCUGCGGUGUCUUUUAAGGUAAAUAUAUUUCUAACUGUGCCAUACACUGUUAUUAGAGUAGUAUCUUUUAUCAAACAUGCAAUACCUGAAAAGAAAGUGUCUAACACUGGCACCUAGGGUUUUCGGUUCUGCAAAAGGAACUUGGAAGGCAUUGAAUUUUGUCAAUAAAUUGACACACAUAGAAAAGUAUAAUUGAUAGGCAUCAAAAUGUGGACUAUAGGCACGUCGGAUCAUCACUAGAGGUGAGCACUAUUCAGUUUAAACCAAAUUACCUGUCCAAACAGACAAGUUUGGUCGGUUCUGUUUUGGUUUUAUAAGUAAUCUGGUUCAGCUUGAGAUUGAAAAAUGAAAACUAGGAAAAGCAAAUCAACCUAAUUUGUAACAAUUUUGAAGCAUAUUAGUGUUCCAACAUUUUACGAAAUAUACAGUAGUAUUAGAUAAUAAUCAAAUAAUUAGAAAGUGUAACCAUCAUAUCUUACGAUUAAAGAUUUUACGAUAAACUAAUCACAUUUAUAUCUUCUUUUCAGUAGUUCAAUUUAUAUUUAUCCAAAAUUCUAUGGGAAACGAAUCAACUGAACCAAACAAACCAAACAUUUUGGUUCGGUCGGUUCGGUUCGGUUCGGUUCGGUUCACUUUUUGAGGGUUUUCUUUAUUUUAUAUUUCAUAGAGAGAUCCAUCAUUCGCUAGCCAAACAUUACUUUUUGUAUUUCAUAGAAAGAUCCAAUAUUCACUAGACAACCAACAAAUCCAAGUUUAAAAAGGUAAAUAUCGGCCUAGGAUGUUUUAAUCCCAGGGCAUUAUUGUUCUUAUUGUAGGGUGUAAUAUUGUUUGAUGAAGAGCUGUCUGAGUUUCACUGUUAGAACAAGGACUAAAAUACUCCCAACAGCUUCUUUCUAUGACAGAACCAGAAGAGCAGAACAGAAGCAAAUGCAUUGCUGCUCAAAAUCUCAUUUCUUCAUGAUGCAGAAGAAGCUCCGAAUUUUUCUUCUUUCCCAAAUGAUCUAAAGCUUACAAAGGUGAAGAAAAAGUAGACCCAAACAGAUGAUUUCGCAUAAAAACAGUUAAUGUCACAAGCUCAAAUCUACCUACCCCUAAUAUUUUUGGCCUAAGCAACACCUAGCUGAUCAAACUGAUGUCAAUGCAUGGCACUGAAAUUACAUACGCACUGAAUGCAGAACCUUACCAUCUAAAAGGCUACCUAAUACAUUUAUUUAUUAAUGCAUUAAAUUGGAAUAGAAUUCUCUAUCUGUGCAAUGAAGAGAAUUGGAGUAGAAUUGCCUAUCUAUAAAAGAGUUCGCGACCACGUACACGUAAGAAAGAGGUCGGUCCCUAAGUUAUUACUGGCCAUACAAAACCAUAAGACCGAUUCUCUUCUCUCUCUUCUAGAUAUUUCUCUCCUUCCCGCAUAUUUCUCAGGUGAUUCCUCUGCCACUUUCUCCGCCAAUUUCUCCAACCAUCUCCUAUUUACUUCAUUAGCUCUUCAUCAACUACUGGACCUAAGAAGGACAGCUAGCAACAAAGAGUGAUCAAAUAUGCACCAACUCUGUGUGCUGGCAUAGGCGUCACUACACUGCAACCACGCAUUAAGAUCAGCAAGCUCAGUACCAACCAUACCAUAGAUCAAGAACAUUAGUUAGUCUAUUGGAAAAACCUAAACACAAAAUUCUCGGUUUGGAUUAAGGUCAAGGAUUUAAGUGCCCAUCAGCAUGGGUCGUAUCUAUCGUGAUGUAUCGUACCAACAAGAUAUCGUCACGAUACAGUCUCCGUGCUGAUGGCACAACUUAAAACUCUAUAUUCUUUAAAACUCAUAUUCUUUAAAUUAGCCAGUAAUUUUCUCAACAAAAUUCAAAAGAUUUAAUAAAGAUACAUAAUAAGCAAUUAGAGUAUGUAGUUGCUAUAGAAAAUAAAUAUUUCAUCACAUUAUGUGUCAGCAUACACAAGUAUCUUUUGUGACCUGCACGCAUAGGCACCGUCUAGCAUGCACCCAGCCAUACCACGCCGGUUUACGGCACGAUCCCGUGUCACGGCACUUAAAUCCUUGAUUAGGGUUUUACGAAGUUCCAUAAGAAUGAUCCCCUAACAUUGUGUAAGGCCCUAUAAAGAUGCAUGGACAUCUUAUUCGACAUAUCUCUUUGAUUUACCUAGGAAGUAUGUCGUAUUUACGAGAUGAGUGUGACCAAAUGUCUAGAAUGAAUGUCAUAUUCAGCCUUCAAGUGAUCUUUUUCGGAAAAAGAUAGAUCAUCCCGUAGGUGCAAUAUACGAUCCUACCAAAUCAUGGAUGCUAAGAUCUUUUAAGAAGUGAAAAAAAUCAAACUAAAUAGUUUAAAAACACAAAAGGAUGCUAAGAUCUUUUAAGAAGCAAAAAAAUCAAACUUACAGUUUAAAAACACAAAAAAAUGUUCAUACCAAAUAAGUAAUAUCAUCGGAUAUCUUUUUCUAACAUCCAAACAGGGCCUUAGUUUCCGACCACUUCUGGUACUCAUUAUUAUGAACAACUGAAAUUAACAGAUAAAAUUUCAGCUUCUAUUACGACCUAAAAAAUCAAUUUUUUCAAUCAAUCAGCCAAUUUGAACUUUCCAUUAUGUUCUACAACUGCGAGCAACACAUGACUUUCAAGUGAAGAAAAAGUAUAUACAUUUUCAAGUCCCUAAUAGCACCACAAUGACUUAUUUACAUGCUGAUCUAGAGUUAUGCUAAAGUUCAAGUGGGAGUCACCAGAGUGCAUUUCUUAUGGUCAGGUCGCAGUACAUACUUCAACUACAGUUCAGGUGGGAUUCGGAAUAUUUUUCAUUGUCAAGUGACGAUGACGUUCUAAUGACAUUUAUGAGAACCCAAUGAGGUUUUGGGCUGGGUGGUCGACUAAAACAAAUCGAUUGUUCAUCUAGGAAAUUUCAACCUUUUGAACUUCAUGGUGAGUGUUCUCCUACCAAAAAUUAGGCCAUUUCUAAACUUUAAUCAAUUAUACUUUAUAAAUUUUGUGCAACGGAACAUAUGAACUAUUACUAAAACCAUGGGUAGCUGAAGUGCGAGAAUCAUUUAAGUGAACAACUUCCAAAUAAGACAUAAGAUACCUUGGGUGCAAAAGUAGCUUUACUGUCAUCUUGUGGUCGUGCUUUCAAUUUUGCAGAUCCAUUGAGAAUGGACGGAAGCUCAUGAAGAAGAAGUUCAGCUCCUGCUGAUCAAAGUCACAAGCAAUUAGUGGCUGUUUGGUUCAAACUGUGAAAAAAAUUUUGGUGGAAAACAAAUUUUCGGAGGAAAAUAAAUUUUACGCUCUUUAGUGUUUGGUUUGUAGAGAAAAAAAGUAGUUUUCCGUUACGGUUGUUUGGUUGAAAGGGAAAAAAAAAUAAAAAGUUAUAAGUAGAAAACUAUUAUAUAUAUUUUCUCUUCCUAUAUUUUACAUAUAUUAUUAAUAUAUAAUAAUUAUCAUAUUACACAUAUUAGUAUUAUAAUUUAUAUUUAUAAAUAAAAUAUAUUUAAAAUAUAUUAUACAAUAAUUAAGUAUGUAAUAUAAUAUAUAAUAGUAUAUAUUUAAACAUUCAAUACUAUAAAAUAAAUUACUAUAUAUUUAUAAAUAAAAUAGGGGCAAUUGCUUAUAUACCCCUGAAAAGUUUCCGACUUUCUAAUUUACCCCCUCUUAGAAGGCUAAUAAUAAAAAUACCCUUUUUACGUUCCAACUAUUUCACAUAAACCCCUAGAGUUAAAUUACGUUAAUAAACUGUUAGCAAUAACUAUUAUCUAUAUGAAAUUACUAUUGUGCCCUUUCAAAUAUACCCUUCAACCAUUAUCGACUUUUUCUUAUUUGCCCUUAAGUUAGGGGUACAAAAAAUAUUUUGAUUUUUGGUCUUUUCAAAUAUACCCUUCUACCAUCACCAACAUUUCUUAUUUGCCUUUAUAUUAAGGGCAAAAGAGGCAUUUUGAUUUUUUAACUCUAGUAGAUAUUUAGCUCACGUUUAACCCAAGUUAACUUAACGGGUGGUAACUGCAGGAUAUUUUGGAAUAACGGAGGAACAUAUGAGCAGCAUAUUGGAAAGAAAAAAAAGUAUGGGUAAAUGAGAUAUUUCUGAAGUUUUGAGAGUAUAUAGACAAUUAUCUCCAAUAAAAUAUUAUAUAAUAGUACAUUUUUAUUAAAAAUGAAGUACUAUCUCUCAAUAUAUAUAUAUAUAUAUAUAAAAGAAAAGAAGGGGGUAAGAGAGGUCUACCGUGGACCUCUCUCAUGAGGUCCACGAGAUGGAGGUCACCUAGUGGACCGCAUGCUGCACAUCCCCGCCUCCCCCAACGCUGCGUAUUUUCGUAGCGGAAGUUUUCGUUUUCCGCUCAUUUUGAGCAGAAACCUAAAACCUCUCAUUUCUGUUGAAUCCAUAAAAAAAAAAUUUUCGAGAAAAUUUUUUUUACGAGCAACCAAACAUCGGAAUUCUGCUUUUCAACCGAAAAAAUUUUUCGGGCAAUUUUACAUGGAACCAAACAUACCCUUUGCAAAAAGACGAAAGUAAAUUUUUAUGAGCAAAGUACUGUUUGAUCUAGUUCACUUUUAUUCUUGCUGAUUACAAAGGCAUAUUUUAUGAAUUAUGAGCACAAUGUUAUUUGAUCUAGGUAAUUUUCACCAUUAGUAAUUAGCAAGAUUAUAAAGGAUCACGCUUUUUGGGUGACACCGAAUAGUGGGUGACUAAGAUUGUGCUAUGGUACCUUUCAAAACACUUCGUUGAUUUCGGAAGUGUUUCGGCGGACUUUCGGAACUUUUAGCAGUUCCGGGGCUAUAUGUUUAGUGUUUUGAAAUCGACUUUGUGGAUCUUGACUCGGUGGAUCUUUCGUAGAUCCAGUCGACGUCCCAGCGCACCUCGAGCAUUAGACGCUGCGUGAUUACAGGUGGGUGCUUCGAUCCGGAGUCGGUACAGUGAUGCUAGCUCGGUAAUAUUCUUCCCCUAACUCUUUCCCGUUGUUUUGCAUAUUAUUGAUACCACUAGACUUCUGGGGCGCGUUUGAUUCGAAGUCAGAGUCGGAAUCGAAAUCAGAAUCAAAAUAAGCUGGAAUCGAAAUCGGAAUGACUCAUUACCUAAUUCUAUUUGGUUCAUCACCUGAAUCGGAAUCGGAAUAAAUCAUUCCCAUUGUCGGUGUUUGGUUCAGGUGGAUAUAAAAAACGUAAUCAAAUUACUAUACUAACAUUUUCUUCAUAAUAUUUUAAUUUAAAUUCAAAUUAAAAAUUAAAUAUUAAAAAUUUACAUCAAAAUUUUGAAAUAAUGUCAAAAUUUUGAAUCUAUUUUUUUAAAAAAAAUUAAACUUUGAAGUUGAGUGGAUAAUUCAAAAUAGGAAACUAAAUUUUGAUUUAUUCAAAUUCAAACUUAAAAUUAUAAUUCAAAUUUUAAUUUGAAUCCAUAAAUUUAAUUUAAGUUUGAAAUAAAAUUUGAAUAAAACUUUAUAUAAAUUAAAAUUUAAUUUAAAUUCAAAUUCAUAAGUUAGAUUCAAAAUACUUGAUUAAAUUUUAAUUUUUAAUUUAAGUUCAAAUUAAAAUUCACCACAUUCGCCUUGCCGGGAUGAUACUGAAUACUAAUAUCAUAAUCCUUCAGUAACUCCAACCACCGGUGUUACCUCAGGUUCAACUCCCUUUGAGUGAACAAAUACUUGAGACUUUUAUGGUUGGUGAAAACCUCGCAGUGCUCGCCAUACAAGUAAUGCCGCCACAACUUCAAAGCAAAGACCACUGCGGCUAGCUCAAAGUCAUGUGUAAGAUAAUUCUUCUCAUAAUCCUUUAACUGCCUUGAAGCAUAAGCAAUUACCCUACCAUGCUGCAUCAGCACACAACCCAACCUACUGUGCGAUGCAUCACUGUAGAUUACAAAUCCUUCCCCCUAUCACAGGAAGGGAAAGGAUAGGAGCUGACAUCAGCCUCUAUCUCAACUCGUCGAAACUCAUCUGACAGUCCUCACUCCAAACGAACCGAAUCCCCUUCCGCAUCAAUCGGGUGAGGGGUGUAGAAAGCUUCGCAAAGCCUUCCACAAACCGACGGUAAUAUUGUGAACUCAUAAUGCCGGUAACAUGUAGUUACAAUUUAUACGUGCUUUCUAAACUUAAUUCGCGCGAUAUAAAUUACCAGUAGAACUCUACCCGUCUACCGUACUAAUUGUUGUUAUUAACAAGAGAGAGUAUUCUUACCGGAGUUGAAGAGAAUUGCAAGUAAUUCCGUUGCCUACACAAACAUAAUAUACCAAAAUUGUUAGAAACUCAUCACUAAAGGUAGCCAUGCCACUAGCACAGGGUUUGCCACACUCCCAAUGCCAAUGUCAGCCUGGCCCUUUGUGCCAAUGGCACACAACUACCACAUUGGCAAGGAUCACAGAUUUCUUUUAUCAAUUUUUCAUAGAAAACCCUUUGCUGCAGUGUUAAUUUCUCUAAUAAUGGGUGUAAAAAUGGUAUAAGAGGCACUUCUCACAUAGUAAUAAAUAUACCGAUAACUGUAAAGGUCAUUUUAAACAAAUUAUAGAAGGACAUAUGAAGACAAAAAUUAAAGCCAUAAUUGAGUAAAAUUUUAUCGAGAGAAUUUAAUAUAGGUAAAUUCUAAAAUGAUACAAAAAUUUGGGGAAAAAUCUUCAAGUCUCUUGCUUGCUCCAGACGUUAGUAGCUCUACAAGAUCAAUAUAUCUUAGGAAACCCCUUUUCUUAACCUUUUCACUUCAAUAAAACUCAAACUGAAUCCAUGAAACUCAGAAACACCCAUUUUUCAGAUACCAUAUCAACUCAACAACGUGCCAGAUGUUGAGACGGCCUCGACAUGGUAGAACACUAGCAACAUAAGGCCGCAAAGGCAAUCCUUCCUCAUCACCAAUAUUAGCAUAUGUAUGUCGCUGGAUAAGUCAUUGAAGUAUCGAGAAACCAAAUUUCAUUAUUCCUUUACAUCAUUUACCCACUGAUCAAGUGGUGUUAGAAUGACCAACCAAAUUUGAAAACUCACAAUGAUACAACACUAAAAUUUGAUAUAAGAGAUUUUAAUCUUGCUCUAGAUAGUAGAAAAAGAUUUUCUAUCAAAAUUUCAUCUGAUUUGGAUAUUUCUACAUGGUUAAACUUACAAACGCCUCACAUCGGCCAAUUAAGUUGUAGAUUGCAAGAGCUUUCAAUCGCUAGGUAAAUGACAUAAAAAAUGACAAAAUUUGGUUGUCUGACGGUGUCGAUGGUCGAAUCGGAUGUUUCAUCAAUGAAAACAAAGGCAACUAGAAGCAUUUUGGCUCAACUCUCUCUGUACAGAGGGAAACCCUCUCUAUAUAGAGAGAGACCCUCUCUAUAUACCAAAGAGAAAUAGAAUAAGAAUAUUCCUAAAAGUAAACGGAAUUGUUUACUUCUACAGCAUUUCCAACGAUGAGACAUCAUAUCAACAAUCAACCCUAUUAAACGUGAUUUAGGUUAUCUGAACUUUAUAGGAAUCAAAUUACGUGAUUUAUCGACAUUAGCUGUCUAGCAUAAGUGGUUCCAAAAAUUGAAAAUUUUUAAUGGCUAGUAGGUAAAUUUAAGACCACUCAAUCAUCAGGUAAAUGGCGUAAAAUCAUGAAAUUUGGCUUCUGUGAAAUUCACAUAGGCUAGAUGAUGUUUAACGAUGCUGAUUGUCAAUUAUAAUGCCUCAUCACUAGAAAUGACGCAGAAGUAAACAUCUCUAUUUGCUUUCUAGAAUUAUUCUAGCUUUAUAUAUACACACACAAAACCUUUAAACAGGGUCGUUUACUUCGGCAUCAUUUCUGGCAAUGGGGAAUCCAAAUUAAUGAUUGUCACCAUUAAACACAAUUUAGGCUAUUUCAACUCCCUAUGAAUCGACUUUCAAGAUUUCACGAUAUCAUUUACCUAGGGAUCAAGAAUCUUAAAUCAACUUUUAUUAGCUGUUAAAAAUUGUCAAUUUUCAUAUCACUUGAAUAGUAGACAAAUGAUGUCUCGAAAAUCACAAAAUUCAAUUCAUAGAAAGCUCAAAUAGCGAAUAUCAUAUUUAACGAUGUCGACCAUCAAUUUGGAUGACCCAUAAUCGAAACUUAUUUGAGCUUUCUAGAAACUGAAUUUCAUCAGUUUUGAAAUUAUUCUAGUUCAACGCAUGCAUGUCUCCAAAAUGAAAGAUCAAAAACAAACAACCUUCUAAAAAUGGAGAAUAGGAUUCCCAAAUUUAAAACUAGCAUUGUAGCACUUACAAAAGCACAGAAUUUUCAAAAAAAAAAAAAAAGUCAAAAAUUUGAUCUAUUUGGUUUCUUCUACUCUGCUAAAUGCGAAAAUACCUCACAUAGGCUUUUAAAAAAGUUCAAGUUCGAGAUAACUUUAUCACUAAGUAAAUAUAGUCGUAAAUUUGUGAAAUUUGAUUCGUACAAACUUCACACACUCUAGAUCACUUUAAUGAUGUGGAUAGUCAACUUGGCUGCCCUAUCAUUGAAAAUGACUUGACGACAACCGAGAACACAUACUCUUGAGAGAGAGAGAGAGAGAGAGAGAGAGAGAGAGAGAGAGAGAGAGAGAGAAGUAUUACUAUUAUAAGUACACAAGCCUUCACACUUAAAAGGUAAUUUUCAAAAAUGGAGCUUCUGAGUAGACAUUAGGAUCACUAAACGUGCCUUACCAUAUAUUUGGAAGUGCAUAGGAUCCGAAUUUCAGACUAUUGAAAUUACUUUUGAGUGCAUCAAAUGGCCAAUGAACAUACUGUCAAAAUUGAACAACCUUCUAAAAAUAGAGGGUAGAACUCUUAAAUAUAAGAUUACGAGUAUUAUCUCGAUCUACAUAGUAUUUUCAACAAUAUAUUCAACUAAUUCAAAUUGUUCUAGACGAUGAAACAAAGGCCCUACAGAGGCCAUUAAAAUUGUAAAUUUUAAAACCAAAAAUUAGAUGUUGAAAUAUCAUAAAACUUGGUCAAUAGAUAAUUAAAGACUCCAAUUACAACAAAUGGUGUGGAUUGUCAUUAGGAAAUGCCCUAUCAUCAAAACCAGCAAAUUGAGCAACACGUGUAACAUCUUUGAAACAACAAAUCAGAGUAAUGACUAUAAUGCAAAAAGAAUACUCUUAUUUUUGUUUCAUAUUAGUGGGCAUACUAUGGUUUUGGAAGCAAUAUGUCCUUCAGGCUUCUAAGUUUUUGAGCAUCGGAUCAACAUUUGCACACACUAGCAUAAAGAUGCACACCAACUUGGCAGGUACCAAGAUUCCCGCUCAACUGUGCUCCAAGAUGUGCUCAUGCUACUCUCCACAUGGAUUUGAUGAAUGAAAAAUUAAGAAGCAUCAAAUCACCAUCACUUUAGAAGCAUGGUAGCCACAUUUUAUCUUUAUAAGACCUCAAUUUUUUUAUGGUAUUUAUAGCUCCAUGUUUUGGUGCUAUAAACAAUAUCAAAACCCCUAAUACACUAUGAAAAGUGCAAUUUCAACUGUCAAGACUAAACAUUGCCAGAUAAAUAUGUUGCCCACCUUUAUGCACUCAUCAACUUUCACUUUUUCAUAUGCAAUCACUGGUCCGGCAUCCAACGCACGAACAGUAUAAGCAAGGGAUACUCCUGUUUCUGUUACACCAUCCUAACCAUCGAAAAAAAUAAUAUUGUUCAAUUGUUCAAAUAAAUAAAUAUAUCAUUGGUUUGAAUGUAAAAAGGACGACAAAAACCUGUAAUGCCCUUUGAACAGGAGCAGCACCACGAUACUGAGGCAGCAAACUUGGGUGGAUAUUAACUGUACCUAUCAAACGCAUGCCGAAGAAACAAGCUUACAGUAGAAAUUUCAGCCUAUUAGCUUUCAGUCUUUGAUAUCAUAUAGCUGCCAUUCAUUUGAUUUCAGACAGAGAGUAGCAGCAACUAUUGAUAAAAAGCAGGUACCUUAUUUUAUUUCUGUAAUGGAGCGAAUUAAAAAAGCACAAACAUUAUUUAAGAAAAAAAAGUUGAGAAGAGAUAUGCAGGAUUUCAAGUGAUAGCUUAUCUAAAUUUGCAUAUAUCUUCUCUGAAAAGGCUAAAUGAACGAUACAACUGAUGGCUUCAUUAUCUCUGUAGUCAACAUAUGAGAAUGGUAUGACGGAGCAUGACAAAUGCAACUCCCAAUUAAAUUAAUUAUUAUGUAAAUUAUAUUAGGAUAAAAUUGUAACUCCUCAUAUCAGACUAAAAUGGCAUAUAAAUCAUUGAGCUGCCCUAUAAUUAUUGUACUACUAUCGUGGUAAAUAUACUAAAGAUCAUAUUAUAAAGAUCAUAUUAUAUGAUUUUCUAACAAUUCCACAAUGAAAAAUGUGAGCGGGUACCUAUCAUCAGAUGUAAGAUUAAGUAAUAGUCAGCUUGUUAAUGUAGUACUUCUGUAUAAUAUAAAACACCAAAAAAGGAAAACAUCACUAAAAGCAGGCAUAACGCAUCAAACAAAAAAUUACUUUUUGUCAUUUAUUUUCGUGCAACACUUUUUUCUUUUAUUAACAAUCUAACAAACAUGCUUACCACAUGAUGGAAUAUCAAGAAACUUCUGAGGUAAAAUAUUUCCAUAAGCCGCUGUGAUACAAAGUUCUGGAUUUAGGGCACUCAAAUUAGACAGAAAAGCAACCUGCAUAACAAUGACGAAUGUUAUAGUUCUAUCGUACAACAAACGACAGGUUCCAUUUGCUCAUAAAUGAACAUUUAGCACCAACAUAAACAGUGGAAGAUAAUGCAUUUAAUCUACUACCGCAGCAUGUCAUGAUUAAAAAGAAGAAACAAGGAACCAACUCAAAAGAGUUAAGGGCUUAAUGGUUUUUUAAGACCAAAGAUUGCUUGUGCCGCUUGUGUCAUAUCAUACCAUGAAAGGUUUUAAGUGCCCGUCGGCACGGGCCGUAUCCACCGUGCCGACAAAAUACCGGCACGAUAUAAACCCCGUGCCGAUGGCACAGCUCAAAACCCUCUAUUUUUUAAAUUAGUAAAUAAUUUCCUCAAUAAAGUUCAAAAGAUGUGAUAAAAAGACAUAAUAAAUAGUUAAAAUAUUUUGUUGCUAAAGAAAAUAAAUAUUUCAUGCUAUUAUGUGUCGGCACACAAGAAUUUUUUUGACCGGCACGCACCAACACGGCUCGGCACGCACCGUGUCGUACCGUGCCGACAAGUUUCCGGCACGACCCCGUGCCACGUCACUUAAAUCCUUGUCUACCAAGGCCGUGCCACCAUGUGGCAUGAUGGGCUGUUUGGCCUAACUUCUGGAAAAGUGAUUUAUAUAGAAGUAAUUUUAGUUUGGAGAAUUGAUUUUGAUGAAAAGCUGUAGAACGUUUGGCCGAAUUUAGAUAAAAGUAAUUUUUCUGAAGUAAUUUUCUAAAGCCGUUUGGCAAAAAAAUUUUGAUGCUUGCAUAUAUUAAUAUUUUUACUAAAUUUUAUUUUAAAAUAAUUUAAAAUUUAAAUUAAAAUUUUAAAGUUGGAUUAAAAGUAUAAUUUUUAAUUUUCAAAUUUGCACAAAAAUUAAAUUUGAAAUUUCAAAAUUUUAAAUUUAAAAUUUGAAUUUUUAAAUCUAAAUUUAAAUUUUUAAUUUAGAUGAUUCAAUAAAACCCAAAGUAUGAUUCAAUAAAAUAGAAGGUAAAAAUGUAUAAACUUAACCUGAACUUUGGUCUCUACCUUUUAACAUUUUAAUUUUGGAACCCAACUCGAGAUUAACAAUCAUCAAAAGUUAAGUCCAGGAAACAUCCUCUCAGGAUCUAACCACCUUAAUAAUGAAAUCUUAGUUGGAGUACACUAGUCAAAUACGGUUCGAAGCUACUGACUUUCCCAACUUAAAAUUACAGCUGUGCUACAACAAAUUAUCAGUUCACUCCAGUUAAGUUCCUUUUGGCAUGUAAUAAUAAUGCAAUCUUAGUCAGAAUACAAUAGUUAAGUACGGUAGCAGCUAUCGACCUUCCCAACUCAUGGUUGCAGCCGUCCUGAAACCAUCAACAGGCUAUUUUUGACUAUGCCAUAAAACCAAUACAAAAUUCAAGGGAAUAUUCUAGUCUCUGCUAGUGUUUUAAAAGGUACGAGCUGUGUCCCGGAUCCUAGGCAUAAAGCGCAUUUGCUAGGCGUGUGCCACAAGAAGGUGAAAGGUAAGGCACAUAUUCACGCAAACUUUAAAUAAAACACCCUUCAUGUUUAUCUAGUAAUAAUUUGGCUAGGUCAAUAGCAACACUUCAAAAAUAAGUUGUCACAAAUCAUUUCUAAGAAAACAACAUUCAGAAAGAAAUAACACAGAAUUGCAAAUAAAAAUGGACUUUUUUUCAAAACAACCCUAUAAAAUUUUCUAAUUGGGUAAAUAACCCUCUGAAAAAAAUUUUUGACAAACUAACACUUCUUUUGCCAUGUAGGAGCCACGUUGGAAUUUUCUCUUAAAGACAGUAAACAAUUUCACCGCCUUCAUAAAUACAUUAACCGUCUUUCUAAUUUCCCACAAAAGCGGUAAACUAUUAUUUUAAAUAGAUUUAAAUAUAUGUUGAUUAUAUGUAAUGAUAUAUUGAGAACAAUAAGAAUAUCUGGACUAUAUUAAGGAAUAUAUUCUAAUAUGUAUUAACUUGUAUAAUUGUUUUACAUAUGUUCAUAAAAAAUAUAAUCAAUCAUAUAAAAUAAUGAUUCAAAAAGUAUCAAACCAACUAUCAUCCAACUUGAUCAAAUGAUAACAAUAGAUAUGUAGUCGCACAAACUAGAUAAUUAGCCAUUCAAUAUAUAUGUAUGUUUUGUUAGUUUUAAUAACAAAAAAUAUGCUAACAAUUUAAUAGAGAAGGAAAAUCAUAUUUUCUAUUGCCUUUGUUGCUUAAUGCUAGAUUGACAAAUUAGAUGAAAGAGAGUAAACAAUGUGUGAAGAUAGAACGAGAGGGAGUGUCUUCUACCAUUCAAGAGCAAAAAGAUAGAUGAAAUGACAAAUUGAACAGAGAUUGGCGUUUUUCUCACUCUUUUCCUUCUUUUGAAUAGGUUCAGACGUGAGCUUUUAAAAAAAUUUUAAGUUUCGAUCAUUUUAGACCAAAAAAGAAUCUGGCCGUGUCCCCCCCGCAUCCUCCCGUAUCCCUCACGUAUCCGAGCCGUAUCCGAUGUUCUUUUUUAUUUUUUAAAAAUGUCGGAUACUUCAUUCCCGUAUCGGACAUGUAUCGGGCGCGUAUCGAUAUCCGAUACGUAUCAGAUACGAGUACGGCAUGAAAUUUGAAGUAUCUGUGCUUCAUAGGCGGUAAAUCAUUCACCGUCUUUUACUUAUUUACUGCUUCUUUCUAUAUCCCAUAUAUAAUCCUAACAAUCUGAAAAUUCUAACAAUCACAUAAAACUUUCAACAAAUCACAUAUAAUCUUAACAACCUGAAAAUCCUAAUAAUCCAUCCAUACAAUUAUAACAAUCAAAUAAAAAUUCUAAUAAUCCACAUAUAAUCCUAACAAUCAAAUUUUCCAUAUAAUCUACGUACAAUUCUAAUAUUUAUGAAGACGGUUAAUCGUUACCCGUCUUAAUGAAUGCGGUGAAUGAUUCACAGUCUUUAAAAGGCCUCAGAGACUUUCAGAAUGCGGUGAACGAUUCAAUGCAUUUUGGAAAAAAUCCUACGUGGCUCCUACAUGGUGAAGAGAUGGUUAGUUUGCCAAACAUAAAUUUGGCAGGAUCAAGGUUUUAAGUGCCCGUCGGCACGGGCCGUAUCCACCGUGCCGUACCGUGCCAAGAAGAUACCGGCACGAUACAGAUCCCGUGUCAAGGGCACAGUUCAAAACCCUCUAUUCUUUAAACUAAUAAGUAAUUUCCUCAAUAAAGUUCAAAAGACGUGAUAAAAAGACAUAAUAAAUAGUUAGAAUAUUUUGUUGCUAAAGAAAAUAAAUAUUUCAUACUAUUAUGUGUCGGCACACAAAGAAUUUUUUUGACCGGCACGCAUCGGCACGGCUCAGCACGCACCGUACCGUACCGUGCCAGCAAGUUUCCGGCACGACCCCGUGCCACGGCACUUAAAUCCUUGGGCAGGAUUAUUUCGCAAAUUACAAAAUUUUAGCGGGUUAUUUUGUAAAAAAGUCCAAUAAAAAUACUAAGUGCUAUUGCAAACUAGCAAAAAUAAUGUGAUAUAAGCAAAUAUUCCUCCUUUUUUUUCUUCUUUUAUGUGCCGCCAUUGCUAAAAGCUGCCAAAGCUGUUGGCUCUACAGCCAUUGCAACUCCUAGCACUAAGGCGCCACGUGCAAAAAGAAAGAAAGGUGGUGCCAAGAGAAAGAGGGAGAGGUUUGGGAAAGUUUGUGAGAGAUAAUGUUGAAAGAAGGUUUAUUUUUCAUUCUAAAUCCAUUAAAGGUUACCAGAUCCAUUUAAAAAGAGGGACUGAUUACAUUAGGAGUACAGCCAUUCAAAAAAAAAACACACAUUAAGACCAUAAUCUGCCGAGUCAUGUGCAUCAGCCUAGGCUAGUGCAGUGUGCCUCAAGGACCUGUUUGCUUGGGUGCAAGUGGAAAGGGUUGAAGUCGUUUUCGGGUGGAAAUGGCUUCUGCUGUUUGGUUCGCCGUAACAAAGACACUGCUUAAACUUGAUUUACCCAAAACAACGUAGUUUGACUUUGACCCAUCCUGCACCGAAGUCAAUUACGCUAGAGAGAGGUGAAAAAAAAAAAAACUAGGGCGAAGUCAGUUACGCUUGAGAGAGGUGAAGGAAAAAAAAUAAUGAAAAACUACAGUAGGUAAUGCUAGCAAAUUUAAAUAUAUUCGUAUGGUACUAAUUACUCUUUUAUUUAGUUUUCCCACUUUAGCUGUUGUUGGAUGCUAAGUGCCAGUAGUUUUGAGUUGAAAUUAGUCCAGACUAAAGCGUCAGCCAUCACGACUUCAAUAUCAUUAUUUCCGACAGUUUUGUGAAGAUAAAAUCACUGAGGGCUCCAAGCAGAGCAAGAGGUUCUUUUGUUUCCUCAAUUCAUGGGAAAUUUUUCCCAAUGUUUUUCAGCUUUAGGUCUAAACAUUUAAUUCUAGAAUAAUAUAAUUUUUUAUUCAAGUUAUUCUAUUCCUGACUACAUUGGAGUUAGAGCAUCAAGAGCUAACCUAAUUGAAUUUAUGUUUGCAUCAUAGGCAUGAUGCACUUGUAAAAGGUAGACAAUUAAAGAAUCUGAUGAUACAUCUGCUAUCUUAAACAAGGAAAAUUAAACAAGCAGACAUAAGCGAGAACAACAUCUAGGCAUUAGAAACAUAAGCCUGUACCUCCGCAGCUCGUUCGGGAGUGAAUAUGAGUUCACGAGGAAAUCCCCUUUCCAGGGCAAGUUGCGCAACUGCCGAAGGCAUCAACUUUCUUCCUCUAUCCCGUGCAGCAGGCGGUUGAGUAACAAUUGCUGCAAGCUAAACCAAAUCAUUCUCAGUUUUCAACCAAGUGAACCAAACGCACAAUUGGAUACAUUGAUGAUUGCCACAUUUUAAUUGUUAAACAACAAAAAUUCUUGUCGUCGUUUGCAAACCAAAUCGAUCUUGUCAUCAUUGCAUACCUUGCAACAUAACCUGUAAUCGAAUAUCAGAAGGCGUCCUUAAAAACCAAAAACACCAACAAAAAUUUUAAAAAAAAAACAACUAAAAUAUUUUGCUGAGAAACAAACCCUACAAAUGUGUAGGCUGCAAGUACUUUGCCAUCCAUUUACAAACUUCAUCACAUAGUAAUUUGUGUUUGAUCGCACAAGUACUCAGCGUCAAAAGACAUAUCAAGAAAGACUUUAACACGAUUAAAUACGAAAAGAAUGUGGAUCAGGUAAAGGCACUAGAUUUCCAUUAACAACCCUACAAAGCACACCCUGCGUUCAUGAGGAGUCCUACAAUCAUUAGAGCUUUCGGAAUUAAACCAAUAUUAGUACGAAAUACCUGAAAAAUGGAGUCGGGGUCCUCAGACGCAGCAAGUAAUUUGUGCAGAACGGAGGCGGAGACCUGAAAUGGCACACAGAGCUAAGAAAGUGCACAGAGAAUAGGUGAGGAAAAGGACACGAGAGAGAGAGAGAGAGAGAGAGAGAGAGAAAGAGAGAAACCUGGGGAGAGCCCAAGAAGACAAGGUUUUUCUUUCGCACUGCCGCUGCAUCGAGCGCGGAGGCAGCUCCAUUGCCAGAGCAGAGGAAGCGGCGCAGUGCAAGAGUGGAGUGUGGUGCCAUCAUCCGCCUUUUGUUCUAUCUACGGAUUGGAUUCGUUACAAACCCGAUUUCCUAUGCGCUAAUACCUAUAAACCAUAGUUAGUUAAUUCGGAUUCGGCAAAAAUUCGGUACGGAUAUAAUUCGGAUAAAAUUCGCCUUCUAAUUUUUAAAUUCGUUGAAAAAAAGGGCUAAAAAACGGAUUCGCCAAUUAUUCGGAUACGUGAUUUAUACGGAUAUUAUACGUUCACCAAUUAAAAAUUCGGGAUCAAAAACUCGGCUAUUAAAUUGUUUUUUUCUCUCAAGAUUUACACUAUUAGCAUAAAUACUUAUAUUUUUUAAGAAUAUAAGAAUAAAGAACUACAAAAUUAACUAAUUAAGUAAAAAAAAAUAUAACUAUAUUAUGCCUCAAAAUAAAAAAAAUAAUUAAGCUAAAUAAAUGAUCAAGAUAUCCAUAAUUUAAAUGUAACAAUAUAAAAGGUUCACAUACACACAUAGUUAGAAACUAAAAUCCAAGAUAAACUGGCCACUUUAAUAGUGCAACUACAUAUCUAAAUUCUACAAGUCUAAACAGUAAACAAAUAAAAGAUACAUAAAGUGUAGAAAACCCCACUGAGUCAAUGUCCAUAAAGCACAUCCACAACAAAAUUUCUCCUUUUGCAAUGUGACAAAUCAUGAAAUGAUUAUGGUAUAAUACAAAGAGUGUCCUGUCCCGAAGUUAUUAAGAUUAUUUAGCUCUAUUUGGUCCUCUUUGUGCAUAACAGUAGAGGCACAUUCAUUAAGCACCAAUCGAGCCAUUGUGUAUAAAAAAGUAUCCAUCAGAUGACUAAAAGCUCCAAAUUUUGCUUUGAAGAAGAAAACGUCAAAUCGUAACCUGGUUUGUAAAGAACCACCUCGAUUGACUGAUGCUAUCGUUGGUAUAGCGGAACGGAAGCGCGAAGAGGAAGAGGAAGAGCGACGAGAGGUUUCGAUUUCUGAAAGUGAAGAACGCCGAUCUUCGAUCUCGAUUUCUGAAGAGAGGCUUCCCGAUGGGUUCGCGAGCGGCCGAAGAAAGGGGAGGGAAGGACCGCGAACGCGCCGCAGGUCCGGUGCAGGGCGGCGCACCGCCGGGUCAGGGUGAGAAGUAGGCAAACCUUGUUUUGGGAGGGUGGGUGGGGUGGGGUGGGUGGCGGGGGCGAUCUUUUCUGAAAGGGUUUUUUUUUUUUUGGCCUUCUGGCGACAGGGCGAGGCAAACCUGUUCUCUGAAAGUUUUUUUUUUUUUUUUUUUUUUUACUGUUUUGGGCCACCCGUUGCAGGCUCGCAGCAUGCGGCGGCAACCGCGCCGUUCUUAUGAGCCGAAUUAUUCGCGAACCGCGUUUAAUUCACAAAUAAUUACUUUUAUUUAAAAAAAUGUGAAUUUUUUCGAAUUUUUAGAAAUAAUACGAAAACGGUUAUUUUAUUCGGCUUUUCAAAAAUUCACGAAUAAUUCACGAGCUUUCGAAAUUAAACCAAUAUUAGUACGAAAUGCCUAAAAAAUGGAGUCGGGGGCCUCAGACGCAACAAGUAAUUUGUGCAGAACGGAGGCGGAGACCUGAAAUGGCACACAAAGCUAAGAAAGUGCACACAAAAUAAGUGAGGAAAAGGACGCGAGAGAGAGAGAGAGAAACCUAGGGAGAGCCCAAGAAGACAAGGUUCUUCUUCCGCGCGGCCGCUGCAUCUAGCGCAGAGGCAGCUCCAUUACCGAAGCAGAGGAAGCGACGCAGUGCAAGAGUGGAGUCCGGCGCCAUCAUCCUCCUUUUGUUCUAUCUACGGAUUGGAUUCGUUACAAACUCGAUUUCCUAUGCGCUAAUACCUAUAAACCAUAGUUAGUUAAUUCGGAUUCGGCAAAAAUUCGGUACGGGUAUAAUUCGGAUAAAAUUCGCCUUCUAAUUUUUAAAUUCGUUGAAAAAAAGGGCUAAAAAACGGAUUCGCCAAUUAUUCGGAUACGUGAUUUAUACGGAUAUUAUAUGCUCACCAAUUAAAAAUUCGGGAUCAAAAACUCGGCUAUUAAAUUGUUUUUUUUCUCUCAAGAUUUACACUAUUAGCAUAAAUACUUAUAUUUUUUAAGAAUAUAAGAAUAAAGAACUACAAAAUUAACUAAUUAAGUAAAAAAAAUAGUAAACUAUAUUAUGCCUCAAAAUAAAUAAAUNCUUUGGGCCACCCAUCGCAGGCUCGCAGCAUGCGGUGGCAACCGCGUCGUUCUUAUGGGUCGAAUUAUUCGCGAAUCGCGUUUAAUUCAUGAAUAAUUACUUUUACCUAAAAAAAAUGCAACUUUUUUUGAAUUUUUGGAAAAAAUAUGAAAACGACUAUUUUAUUUGACUUUUCAAAAAUUCGCGAAUAAUUUACGAAUAAUUCGCGAGCUUUCGGAAUUAAACCAAUAUUAGUACGAAAUACCUGAAAAAUAGAGUCGGGGGCCUUAGACGCAGCAGUAAUUUGUGCAGAACGAAGGCGGAGACCUGAAAUGGCAUACAGAGCUAAGAAAGUGCACAGAGAAUAGGUGAGGAAAUGGACGCGAGAGAGAGAGAGAGAGAAACCUGGGGAGAGCCCAAGAAGUCAAGGUUCUUCUUUCGCGCGGCCGCUACAUCGAGCACGAAGGCAGCUCCAUUACCGAAGCAGAGGAAGCGGUACAGUGCAAGAGUGGAGUCCGGCGCCAUCAUCCGCCUUUUGUUCUAUCUACGGAUUUGAUUCGUUACAAACCCGAUUUCCUAUGUGCUAAUACCUAUAAACUAGCUCUCUUCCAAAAAAAUAUUCCCAACAUACCCUCUUUUAAAAAAUAUUUCCUAAUCUAACCUUAUUUAUACUAAUUAUACAAAUAAUUUUUAUUACUAAUUAGUAAUUAGAGAAGAGGAGUUUCUCUCUCUUCUCUUCCCCUCUUCUCCCUUUUUCGCUGCUGCGUGCCACUCCUCGCCGCCGCUCAGCCACCCACCAUCACGAGAGGAUGAGCCAAGAAGAGGUAACAUUGAUGGGGGGUGGCACGCCGGUGUUGGUGGGCUGCAGCAGUAAGGAAGGAGGGGGUGGGGGAGAGGGAAAGAGAGAGAGGAGAAAGAGGAGGUAGGUAGCUGUGAGGGUGGCGGCGGUGGACGGCAGCCGUCAGGAUAGAGGGGGGAGAGGAGGACGGCAGUCGUGGGUGGCAGGUAGCCGCAAGGGCUGCAGCUGCUUUUAACAGCGAAUGGGCCGCCGCAGAGAGAAACCCCUUUACUCUCCUACUUACUACUAAAAAAAUAUUUUUUAUAAUUUUUUUAAUCUAAUUAGUAUAAUAAGUAAGAUUUAGAUUAGGAAAUAUUUUAAAAAGAAUGCUAUGUUAGUAAUAUUUUUUGAGUUCGACUACUAUACUCUUAUAUGAGUAUAAGCUCUUUUGUACUCAUAAGUUUUCGGCCGUUAUAUCUACCCCAUUGAUCAUUUUUAUCCGUUAGAUCAUACUAUUCAACCAACUACCCACUCAACCCUAUGGACCACUAUCAUUCUAAUCGGGGACCACUAUUAUUAUAACCGCACAUUCUUUCAUCCAACGGCCAAAAAUUUAUGAGUACAAAAGAGUAUAUACUCAUAAGAGUAUUGUCAUGCCUCGGAGUCCCUUUAAAUUUAAAAGCCAAUGCGAAAGUGCCCAAUUUUUUUUUAAAAAAAAAACCUUGACCCCAGAGUAUGUUAGAUCUCCCACAAAUAUAGAGAAUUUACUGUUCACACGGAGAGAGUCUCUCUUGUAUUUGCACGGUGUCGCACAAGUACAAAAUACAGCCACAACAGUAUGAACAUCCACAUACAUAUACCACAUUACAUUUACCAUUCAUUCCAUCACAGAUAAAUAUAAAUUUACACCUAUUAGUUUAAAAUGUUUCCUAUCCGAAAACUCACUUUGAAACACUAA